rnacentral:lncRNA from 1 species
AGAUACUCAUCAGCAACCUUAACAAUGAUGAACAAGUUGUUGAAGUGAUCAAAGGGAUUAAUAAUUGCGGACUUUACUCUGAUUAUUAUUUAUAUGAGGUGAAGGUGAGUAUUGAGAAGCACUGUAGCAGCAAGGCAAAAACAUGGAUUGCUGAAUUAAUUAACACCUAUUUUCGCAGUCCGUGGACUAUUAUUGCCUUAGUCCCUGCCACUAUUCUUCUUUGCUUAACUUUUCUCCAAACCUAUUACACAAUGAAUCUUUCCAAGUGAAGGUGUGUGCCAAAUGCCGUUGUUCAAGUUUUAGUUGAGAUGUGUUUCGAGUAAGAGAGGUUUGAUGCUUUUGUGUUCAUUGUAUCUAUCUUUGUAUUAUUCUAAUUCAAAUCUAUCAAUUAGUGUUAUAACAAAUGUUUUAUCUAUUUAUAGAGAUUGAAAACAAUGGUUAUAAGGUCUUGAAUUCAUAUUUUGAAUGCUAAGAAUUUGGAUACAAAUAAUAGGCUAGAGAAGGGAGGCAAAAUUAAUGUUUCUAAUCAAUUAACUAUUCACGAUAUUAAUAUCACUUGUUCAAGAUGAAUUGAUAGAAACGUCAACAUCUUAUUAAAAGGAAAAACCAAUAGUGCGAGGACUUGGGGAAAAAAGAUUGAGAAAUAAUUUUGUUUAUGGUAUCUGCCAUAGUUCAAAUCCAUUAAUUAUGACAAAACUAGUUGUAGAAGGUUCUGGGCUGCGCAUGCUAUCAGCGACAAUCAUGUUCAUUAAGCCCCUGUUUGGCCCUCAUUACAUUAAAUUACAUUACAUUUUAUUUUUCUCUCUUGUAUUUUCAACUACACAAUCUUUUAUAAAAUAAUAUUAUAUGUAAACCGAAAAUUUUUACUUCCUUUUGAACCAUUCAUUUUUCAAAAAAAUAUUAUUCCACCCAUUUUUACUUCGAAAAAUGGGGGUCAAACAGGGGCUAAAAUUCUUCAGAAACCGGCAAUCUCCAUCCCAUAGAAGCCAACUAUAGUCGUCCCUCCAGGAGAUGCUACUUUAUCUUUCAGCUGACUGGGAUGUUUUCCUGUAUCAACUGUCAUUGAUGCUGCUCCCAAUACCUGUAAAACUUUAAUAUCUGAGGCUGAAUGAAGUUCAGAUGCCAUAAAAAGCACUAUAAAAGAAGAUAGAAUUUAUAAAGCACAUUUUGUAGGAGACAUAAUUUGAAUAAACAAGUUGGUCUCCUAAGAUUUAGAUAAGAGCAAGCACAUGUCCCGACUGAGAUGAAAAAAACAUCUAGUCUGCAUGUGAAGGGUCUGUUAGAAGACAUUCUGUUGGAUAUUGGUUAAAUAAAUCGAGAAUUGAAAAAUCGAUUAAAGUUCGUAUCGACUUCGGCCAAAUGCUCAAAAGCUCGACUCAAUUCGUUUAAGCAAAAUUGUUUGCCACUUCGCCGCUUCGGGGCGCACAAACGGGGAUCGACCUGCCCGGUCAGGUCGCGAGGGUCGAGGGGGCAGCGGCCCUCGUGGGGGGUCGGGGGCAAUGCCCCCGAAAGAGAAUUUUGAUUUCUCUGCAUGUAUUGAAGGGAAUAUUUGGCAUUUCGAAAACCAAUAUCGAAUGAAUGAAGAAAUUACGAAAAAGGACGAAAAUCAGUGAAUAGACACCUUUUCAUAAAAGUGCAUUGUUUGGAAAGGGUGCAUGGUUUGACCUCAACCAUUUUGUCCACACCCUUUCAUGGUCUAUAAAUAGGACCCUUUGGGUAUCCUAUUCCACACAACUUGAUAUGCAAAACGUCUCUCAUCCUUUCUUCUGUCCAAAAUCAAAAUCAUUUCAUUUAUUUUGAUUUUCCUUCAUUUCAUCCUUAAAGUACACAAGCCUAAAUUUGGUUCAUUGUACUUGUGUUUUGGAGUGCUACAAACACAAGUGUAGCCGUUGUAUCUUGGGAGUCGAUUGCCGAAAUCCGUAGGCACCGUUGCGGGCAAAUUCGACUUAAGGACAAAGAGUCCAACUCUUGCCUCGGCUUUGUCACCAUCAUUAUACUUAUUUCGGCGUCACUAUUCACAAAAAUCAUCCAACACAUUCUUUAAAAAAAAAAAAAAGGCAUUAAGAUAAUUCAUGCUUUCGAAUUGGUUAUAAGAAUAAGCUUACACAGAACAUACUAUAUCGCAUGAUAAAGUAAAUAUAUCCAUUGGCUUAUGGUUUGAGAAGCUAGCAUGAGCACCAGAUCCCUAGGAAGACUGGCAGGCACCCCACCAUCAGCCAAAGCUUCUAUUGCUAAAAAUAAGUAUACUGAUCUACUACCAAUCAACAUUCCAGGAGAAGAUAAACUAGUUAGGUAGUGUUUGAUUUCCCUUUUUUUCCAUGAAAAAUGGAAAAUUUUUCCAACUUUGGCCAAUUUGAAGUGUUUGAUACCAAACAAUUUCCAUGGAAAUCAUUUUCCACAUUUUCUCCCACGCGAUGCCUUUUCCUUCUUUUUGAGGAAUUGAAAUUCUUAUAGGUUUGAUGAGAAUUGGAAUUCCAUGCAAAUUUUUUUUUCCUUUUUUUUUUUUUUAGCAGUGGAAAAAAAUUCUAAGAAUUAUUGUAAAAAAAUAUUUUUCUUUAAUUGACAAUUUUCAUGUAAAACAAAGCCAAACAAACAUCCAAAGAUAGAUGAUUUUCUUGAAAAUAUAUAUAUAUAUUUUAUUUAUUUAUUUAUUUAUUUUUGGGUUUUGGCAAUGGAAACAAAUUUCAUUCCCAAUAGCAGUAAAUUUUAUCCCUUUAGUUGACAAUUUUCAUGUAAAACAAAGCCAAACGAAUAUCAAAAAAUACUUUUAUUUUAACAUUUUCCACCUAGAAAAUUAUACCAAUCAAACACUAUCAAUUGACAAUUCCCAGAAAAUAAUUUCCCAUCAUUUCAAUUCUCUGAAAUUCAUUUUCUUUCCACCCAAAUUUCACCUUUGUAAUCAAACAGACCAUUAGAAUAUGCCAAAUUAGCCUCAUAUUUUCAGCUCUAGAAAAUAUAUGGCUAUCGCUUGCAAGCUUUGCGUUAAGAAUUAACCAUACAACAUGAAAACAUGAAAAAAGUAAACAAUACCUCAGGCCAGUGAUUGCAUCAAACAGUUUCUCAUCAGCUGUCCGGACCUUACCAAUAGCUCCAAAUAACUUGGAAAUUAAUUCUCCAUCAUCUUUAGUAGCUGCAUCCCUCAUGCUUAUAACUAUGUACAUGUUAAUUAGAUUGGUAAAACUGCAUUAUCAUUCUAAAUCGCAAAACCAACACAUGCAUAUCUUUGUGUAGUAACAACAAACUCAAAAUUGGAUUAACACUGUGAAAGAUAAUGGGGAGGAAAAUCUUGAAGUAGUGUGACAGAUAAUAGAGAUUUGAAAUUCAAAAAUGACGUGAUUUGCAAUUAUUUUAUCUAUUUAACAAUUACAAUAACAAUGAGGAUCCAAUAUGUAAGUUCAAUUUUAGUGAAACCCCAAGUUUUCAAUCACACCAUUAACUCUGAAGUUGUUAUUUAAUAUUAGGCAUUCUACAAGUGACAAGGCAAAAGCAGGAGAGACAGAAAUUGGUAUUCCAUAUGCAGCAUUGCCAACAGCAGCCGUGUUCGGCAUCACUCAAUAAAUUGACUGUGACCUGCCCACUCCUGGACAAAUGAAGUGUGACUUAAGAUAAAUAUGGAGCCAACAAAUUAUAAAAUGCAAAAGGACUUUCGAGGCAAACACGAGGUCUAUGGUUGGGACCAGUUGGUGAUUACAACUUUUGAGAGCCACAAGGUAUAGAACAGGAGGAAGUCACGAAUUUAUAAUAAAGCACGAAAAAAAUUAAACCUGGCCAUAGAACAUAAGCCUCAAAGAUAAUAUAUAUAUCAACAACGUGAAAAUAUGUGUUGGUAAGCAUUCAAUUGCAAUAACAUGCAAUCUUUUAAUUUAACUCCAACAACAACCGAAUUUUAUGAAUAAACCACACGUGAUGAUUGUGGGCAACAACCCCAAAAGAGAAACUUAAAAAUAACAUCAUCCCAUAUAUAUAUACACAUAGAUGUAUCAGUCGCUGCUAACAAUUUAAAUCGAAGAAUUAAGUUUUUUGUAAUUGUAUUCAUGUUGUCGUCUUCUUUCACUUCCAUUUCUUAAAUCCUUCGGGAUGCUUAUCUAAUUGGGGGACGAGGAUAGGUGCGAGCUUUCAUAAGAAAUUCUUUCAAAGAGAGGAUAUUAUCAGUGAUUCAACAGUAGUCUAUUUGUUUAGCUUGCUUGGCAUUAGUAGCACUAUUUGUUUAAACCGCAGCAUUUUCCCUAUGCUAAACUGGAAUUGUGCAGAAUUAUUUCAUUAACAACGGACUGAAGGUAUUUUGUGUGGACUUUUUUAAGCUUAGACUGGACUGGACUGGGCAGUACAGUACAGUUUUGAGAUAGGCGUGACGAAAUUUAUGAGAUGCAACUUAUACAAUUCAGCAUAUGAAAGGUGUCCAAAACGGUGUUUUCUUUUUCCUUUUCCUAAAGUUUUCUGAUUCUGCUCUUUGAGAUUGUUCCUUGGAUAAUAGCCAUUUGUGUCUAUAUUAGACAACAAUUUUCCUUCAUAUAAAAUUUCUUUAAUUGUUGGACCGACAGAAAAAUAAACAAUUUCCAGCAUUAUCUCUCUUGGCAUUGGAUUCUCUUCUCUGUGGAAAUAUCUCUCUUGGCAUUGGAUUCUCUUCUCUGUGGAUACGAGUACUGCCUAUUGCUUAAGGUAGAGCAGGACGGUACGAACCCGUCAUGCAUGUGUGGCCGGGCCCACAAGUCCAGCCCAUGUCGACUAGUUCAAUCGGACUUGAUGCUAAAAUAUGCUCUCAUAUUUCCCACGUAAUUCUAUGAUCCAUAACCAGCCCCUGUGCAAAGUGGAAAGCUGAAGAAAAAUGAGGUUGUAGACCAGAACCAGAUAAAAUUAUUUGAUUAUAAUGAUUAUGACUAAUUCGUGUUACUUGUAUAACAGAUCCCUACAUAUGAAAGUUGUCUAGUUGCAUUUCAAUAGCUCAUUUGAAAAAUAAGAAACCUAGAGACUUUUUCACUUCCUCAUAUCACCUUGACAGAAUGAAAGUUUCUCAAAACAACGAAAAUAGAACUCAAUGGCAGGGACUAAACAAAAGAACAGAACAGGGAAAUGGAACAAAUAGAUAAGCUAGAACAAUACCAACUUGAGGCUUGACAGAUAAUAUGAUGACAUCACUGUCUUCAACUACUGAUUUUUGAGACGCACAAGUUAAAUGAAAUGACAUCAAUCCUUAUAUAUGACAAGGCAACUGUGACUGCCCCAAGCCCUAGACCCAAGUUUCACUGAACAUAAGAAAUGUUACACCAAAAAGAAAUAAUAACAUGAUUUUAAGAGAAACUAAGUAUUCAAUAACUAUUCAUUUUAAGAGAACUUAAUAUUUAGAAGGGGAAAAAAUCUUUAUAUUUAACGACUUUGAUUUCAAGAUAAAUACUUUUAACAAUAAUCAUCAAAAAUCCAAAGAAAUUCAUAAAAGAGAAAUUUUCCUAAAUAUUUUUCUUGAGUUCCACAACCAAAAACCACUUGCAAUCAUCGGUGUCCUUGAACAAUUAAUUUCCUAUAGGGGAAAGAGAGGAGUCAGAUAAAAUCUCAAUAAACAAGUAGCAAGUAGAGUACAUUCAACAUGAAUACUACAUAAUCAUACUUACAAGUGGAACAAUGUGAAUUUGAAGCCAAUUCUUUUGUAGGCCCGAAUUUCACAUGUAGUACUAUAACUCCUAUCCAUCUUUAAUAACAUAUCAUAUUUGAACUCAUAACAUAAUUGAACGUAAGAAGAUACUCAAAUAACUUUGAUAACUCUAAACUUCGUCCAAUUUUUCUCAAAAAAAUUGCGUGAGCGGGGCAGGAAGAGAUGGCGAAUUGAGUGGUAUAUACUCACACACAUACACUUGGUAUUAGGUUUUAGGGGGAAUAAUUUUUUUUAUAAUCCUAGAAAAUAAUAAUUGCCUUCUAAUUAAAUAUGCACACAUAAUUUUGCAAGCAAGAAUCUCAAAUUUUCCAUAAGUGUAAGUCAAACAAUACGACAAAAAUCCGUACCAGUUUGAUUGAAAGAGCAUUCUAGGCUUAAAUAGAUGACUUAACAAUAAAUUAUAUAACAAGAAUAUAAUUCCCUUAGCCAAAGAAGAUAGUUCUUUUAUUUUUUCCAAAACACCAAAUCUAAGUUACUGUUCCUAGGGCGAAGAAAACUGCAUUUUCAGAAUUUGCAAAUAGGUCCCUCAAAUAUGGACAACAAAACAAUUUUGAACCAAACUUUUGAACUCUUAAAAGUAGGUCCUAGUUUCAAAAUCAACAGUCAAGGCCUAGAAUUGGAGGUUUUACAAUCUUUUCAACUUAAAAUUAAAUUUCGUCCACCUUGGUUGUCGUCAAAAGUUGGGAGAAGUUAAAAGUUUUCAAAGUUCUUUUUCAAAUGAUAAUUUCCCCAACAUUCCUUGUCCAACCUUCAAGAAAGGUAAACAAGCUUCAUGUGGUUAGCGGCUAUAAUGCACCAUCAUGUAAUGUUCAACACGAAAAUUGGAGCUGAUGCAACAAGUCGGUAACAUGUUGAUUAAAAUUUUUAAAAUUCUUCAUCAUAUAGUAUAAAUUUAGUUUUAUAUUUGUGAGUAAUUUUUUUAUUAAAAUCUUUUAAAUAUAAGUACCUAUUUAUUAUUUAACAAUAUUUUUAAGUUCAAAAUAUAUAAUAUUUAUGAUAAAAAAAAAUGGUCAUGGUAGUGUAUUUGAUUAAUAUCGAUAUCUGACACGCCAUCCUAUUUGAAGUAUUCAUGCAACACAGGUUAGCGGGUCAUCUUUAUUUAUUUAAAAACAUAUAUACUUUUCACUAUUUUACAAGUCCAAAUAUGAUGUGUAAGAUGGAUUGGAAUCGUAGUAUUAAGUGAGAAAUUUGAUAAUAUGAAGGAUUGGCUUCAAAUUCUCGUUCCUUCCCUUAAAAUAUUAUUAUGUAAUAUCACUAAUUGGACCAUUUUUUGUUGUAACUCCACCUUGCUACCAGUUUUAGAGACUUUGUAGCAUCCUUCUCUUCCGUCUACGCCAAAUUAAUGGUUAGCAGGUGACCCAUGCUUGGAUGUGGUUUGCAGUGGUGGAACUCAAGAAAAUUACUUUACAAAAAUUUCUUCUUUAUGAUUUAUUACAUUUUUAAUUUUAUGUAAAUUUACCUAAAUAGACAUAUAUAAAAUUAAAUAAAAACAGAUCAUUCUAAAUUCAUCCACUCAUUUAUUUUAACUAAACUCUUUUGAACCUUUUUAUAUUCUUUCAGAAUUUGUGUUUAAAUAAAAUCUUAAUUGAAUGAAACUUAUCAGGACAACAAACGACUCGCUGAAAUUGAAUGUUACUAAUAUAAACAGUAGAAGUACCUCCGCAAUAAGAUUUUUAUAUGAAUGAUGUUCAUAUCUCAGAUUUAGAUGCGCAAUAUGCCCAACAGUUACGAAAGUUGAAGGAAUAAUCAUACCUUGCGGAAGCAAAACCUCCAAAAUCUGUAACAAUUACAUAAUCGUCAUAUUAUACGAGCUCAAGAGGAACUACUAUAAUCCAAAGACAUUUUAAUAAUUCAAUGCACUGAGCUUCUGCCCGCAGCACAUAUCAGCAUGGAGUCAAUGAGUUUUCACUUCUUGUAUUUAGCUUACAAACUAAAGUGAAUAAAAAUAGGGGAAAAAUUUCUAUGGAGCAAUUUUCUUAUUGUGAUGGCAGUAUGAAAUCAUUCAAAAGAAAAUACAAAUGAUAGAAACUAUAACACUUCGGCUUUUCUUGCCAAUUAAAACACAGAAAUACAAUGGACAAAUUAUUUGUUACUUAGACCCUUGUAAAAAAUGCAAGAAAUAUCCGUAUCACAAACUUGACACGUGGAGAAGGGCUUGGUAAUAAAUUCCAAAACAACGUUACAGAUGUUUCAUAAGUUAUAAGACUGUUUUGAAAAAAAAAAUGCCAAUUGUCCAUAGAAUGCUGUAUAUUACAUUGGACAUUGUUUUGCCAUGGAAUGAAGAACAAGAGUUCAGAAAUGUACCAUCUUUCUUGGAUUAAUUGCAGACUUUCACACCACAUCUUAUACAAAUAUAAGAAAACCACUAUUUCUGAUUCCAAAAGCUACCCUCUUGUUUACCUCUUUUUUCAUUCAUGAAAGGAGUAUUGAAAUUUUUCCAUGUCUACACAUCCAGAGUUUUAGAGGUUUGAUAAAGUUUAACCUUGUAAAAUACCCAUUAUUAUCGCCCAAUUGAAGAUUACAUUAAAUGCACAGAGUCUCACGUCAUCCAAGUUUUUAUAAAACUUAGCAGAGUCGAAGUGCACACAGAUCGUGUGUAAACAUAUGUGUAGAACAGACAGAAGAAAGAAGCAUGAAUAAAAGUAUAACAUUCAUGUAGAAACAAGAAGCUAGCAAGAAAAAGGAAAGGCAAAAAUCAGAAAAGUGCAUCGAAUGUCUCAUUCUGUUCCCAGUAAUAAUAAACAAAGUCUCUUACAUAUAAUGGGGAUGAAUAUAGUGAUAUAUUUUUUUUGAAAUUUAGAAAUUAUUUUAGGGAUGUAUUUAGAUGGGGAUGGAUAUAUAAAAUAUGUGUGGAUAUAUAGUGUUUAAAUGAACUAAUUCAAUAAGGACAAUAUUGGAAUGUUACGUGGAUGACAAUAGUAAUUUUUUAAAAUUUUAAUAAUUUAGUGGGAAUGAAUAUAGAAUGGGAUGAAUAUAUAAAAAUCAUGGAUAUAAAUAGUCGUACCCUUUAGAUAUUAUCUAACUGUUUCAUACCCUUUAGAUAUUAUCUGACUGUUUCAUAGCAAAUGGGCCUUUGAAUUUGCACUCUGAAAUGUAAAAGACAUGUGCCUCUACAAUGGUAAUCCUUUCAUUCACCGCUUGUCGUUUUUACCACUUUCAAAAUUAAAGAGAACAAUGGGUGGUUGGAGGCAUGGGGUAAAAAGGGGAAAACUUAAAGUAGAUUCUUCAAAAUUCACAUGCAACCAUCCUUUAUUGUCGUAACCUUCAAUUAAUUGAAAUUGGACUGCUCUGUACAAUGGGUAAAUAAUCUCUAAAAAUGAGCAAUAAAUAUGGAACAAACAGGCGCAUAUUGUAUGGAAAAAUGCUGUCUAUAGUUACUUCAAAUAAUUGUCUGGUCUGUCCUCAGUGGAAACUGACGUGUAAAGGUAAGUUGAUGGCCCGGUAAUUGAAUUAUUAAGAGAGUGGAAAAUGCUGUGCAGUUUGCAUCAUUGUGAUAAAGCAAUCGUACAGAAAUUGGAAAUUUCAGUUCUUGAAUGUAAUGGAAGACCAACACCCUUCAGCAAAUAACACCAGAGAUACCGAAUGUAAAAUUCCAAUUCCAGAAGGUGAAGGUGAAGAUCAUCAUCAGUAUUUCGAUGGUCGCCGAAUACAAAGAGUGCCCCAUUUUAUUCGAUUCAAGAAACACAACGUAGAGGAUUAUUACGCUCCUAAGAUUGUUUCCUUUGGCCCUUAUUACCAUGGCUUGCCAGAACUUGGAAUGGCAGAGGAAUUCAAGCACAAAGCCCUUACAAUGUUUGUUUCAAGCAGCGGCAAAGACAGAGAAUUAUUCUACUGCCAGAUCUUUAAAGUGAUUCACCAGAUUAGAAAUUGUUACGUUGGGGUUUCUAGAGAUUCAUAUGAUGAUGGAGCACUAGCAGAAAUGAUUCUUCUAGAUGCAUCUUUCGCUAUUUAUCUAAUGACAAUUUCCUUAGAAGAUGAAGAAGAAUAUUUCCAUUUCUGUCAACAUCUUGGAAUGGCUGCAGUGUCAUUAGUAUAUCGUGAUAUGAAUUUAUUGGAGAAUCAAAUUCCACUCUGGGUUAUUAAGCUCUUGAUUAAUUUAAUAUACGGAGAAGGAUCCAUGUUACUUUGUAAUUUCUUAAGUUCCAUGAUUUUGGAGAAUACCAGUCUAACAAGAAUUCCUGGAGAAGAUAAAAAGCAACCACUUCACCUUCUAGAUGCUUAUCAUCGACUACUUGCCCAAGAAUGGGAUACAGCAGGAAAAAUACUCGUCCAGCCUGUUAAAAAAAGUCAAUGGCGGUCGUGGAAGAAAGAGAAUCGAAAGGAAUUUGGGAAAUGCAAUCGUCAAUUUCGUUCAAUCACCGAUCUCAAAGCAAAAGGUAUUCACUUCAAACCUAGUUCAUAUUGUUUGACGGAUAUUAGGUUCAAAUCAUACACAUUUUAUGGGCAAGUUCAACUCCCGGUUUGGCUUUUCACUUAUAUUUCCAAGCCAUUCUUUAUAAACAUGAUUGCAUAUGAAGCAUCUCCAGAAAGUGACACUGGCAUUCCUAUAAUAUGUUAUGUUAAUUUCUUGAAAUCGCUCAUUGUUAAAUCUGAAGAUGUGAAGGAACUGCGAGAAAAGAAGAUACUCUUUAGCACCCUCGACAGUGAUGAACAAGUUGUUGAAGUAAUCAAAGAGAUUGAUACUUCCGGACUUGACAAUUACUAUAUUUUUGAUGAUGUGAAGAUGAGAAUCGAGAAGCACUGCAGUAGCAAGGCAAAAACAUGGAUUGCUGAAUUAAUUCAUACUUAUUUUCGCAAUCCGUGGACUUUCAUUGCCUUACUCGCUGCCACUUUUCUUCUUUGCUUAACUUUUCUCCAGACCUAUUACACAGUGAAUCCUAAGUAAAGGUGUGUGGCAAAUUCUGUUCUUCAAGUUUUAGUCGAGAUAUGUUUCGAUUCUUCCAAAAAAGAUAGGUUUGAUGCUUUUGUAUUUAUUGUAUUAACCUAUGUUUGUAUUAUAGGAAUUCAAAUCUAUAAAAGUAGUAUUAUAACAAAUGUUUAUCAGAUGAUUGAAAACAAUAUAAGUUCUUGAAUUUAUAUUUUGAAUGCUAAGAAUAUGUGAAAAAAUUAUGCCCUCAAGAUGUUAGAUUAAUUGUCUUGUCAAGAAGAUUUCACUUAAAAGAAAGAAAAGAGAAGGGUGGGUGACGUUAGGCAGGAUAGCGAUUAUCCUUCAGGCUAGCUGCAACAGAUAAUUCACAGGAAAUAAUACGAACGAGAACCCCCAAAGAUAGAGAUAAUUCACUAAAAUUCAAUUCAACUUUAUUGAAUUGUAGAAUGAUGAAAAUAACCCACAAGCCGGGUUAUACAGCUGAGAAAAUUCAAAAUUAUCGAAAUUUUACCAAAAAUAGCAAAAUCUUGAUAAUCAUACCAAAAUGAAAUACGUAAUAAAAGAAGUAUCUUGCCAAAAAUCUGGCUCAAAUCGAGUUCAUAAUCAUCUCGAAAACGGAAAAUGAAAUAUUACCAUAAAUGUAAAAAAAACUAAAAAAUGAAAAUUUUGAAGGGAAAACAGCGAAUUUUGGCCUCGAAAUUGACAUGCACCACAAUGUGUGCACCAAAAUGAGCUUUUUGAAUUGGGUUUAUAAUUGCAAUUCUGACAAACGUAGCCAAAGUUAUGGCCAAAUUAUCAAAAAUAUUCAAAAAUGUCCUAAUUAAAAAAAGAUCACAACCACUUGCCAUCUUUGUGCCAAUCUACCAACUCAUGGUAUCUUGUGCCAUCAACGUGCAUCACUUGACUCGAAACCUCUUACAUCAGUCGCCCCGAAUUGAAAAAAACUUGCCCUCGAGUUCACAAUAGCUUCAUUUGAAUUUAUAAAAUAAGGGCAUAGGCGCUUCACAUUGAAGACAUCAGAAGUCUUCAAAUGGUUGGGGAAGCGCAACCUGUAAGCAUUAUUAUUGAUCUUUCCCAAUACCUUACAAGGUCCAAUCUUCCGUUCCUUAAGCUUAUUAUACUCCCCAACAGAAAAGCAAUUACGGUCUAAUACCGCUCGAACAAAAUCACCAACAUCAAAAAACACCUAACGACAAAGGCUGUCGGCCCGAACCUUGUACUUAGCAUUACUCUCUUGAAUGGUUAGCUUCACCUGUUCAUGGAUAUCCUAAAGAUGAUCUGCCAUUUCAUCGGCCUUGUGACUAAAACGACCCACAUGUGGGAUAGGGGCUAAAUCAAGUACUCCGAAUGGAUUCCGACCAUAGAUAAUCUCAAAAGGGCUUAUUUCAGUGGUUCUAUUCUUCAAUUGGUUAUAGGUAAAUUCUACUUGAGGCAACACCAAAUCCAACUUCUUCGGUUUAGUCCCUGCCAAACUUCUCAAAAGGUUACCCAAACUCCGGUACACCACCUUGAUCUGAAAUUCUGUCUGGGUGGUAGGCGUUACUAAUUCAACCGCGUUCCUAGUUUCUACCAUACGUUUUUCUCGAAAUGACUCAUGAACUUGGUGUCAUGAUCAGAAGUAAUAGACUGGGAAACACCAUGUAAAUGCAUAAUCUCCCAGAAAUAAAGAUGGACAAUCCGGGUAGCAUCCAUUGUCUUUUGACAAGCUACAAAAUGUGUCUUUUUGGAAAAUCUGUCAACCAUAAUAAAAAUAAAAUUCAUCGCCAAUUGAGUACGGGGUAAGCCAAUACAAAAUCCAUGCUGACAUCAAUCCAAGGGGCUUCAGAUAUAGGUGAAGGCAUGUACAAUCCCGCAUUAGUGAGAGCUCCUUUAGACCACUAACACACAUAACAAUGCCCUACAUAAUGCGCCACGUCACUACUCAAUUCGGGCCAAUAAUAGUCAAAAGAAACCAAAGCCAAUGUCUUAUCUCACCCAAAAUGUCCCUCGUUAUGAAGUUCACUAAUAAUUUGCUGUCUCAAUGAACAAUCUGAAACGCACAACUAUAAUCUACAAAGAGAUAGCCAUUAUGCAAAAUGAAGUCAUGUCAUUGAUUAUCAGUUACCUCCUGAAUUAUCUUCUCAAAGGAAGGAUCUAUAGCAUACAUAUCAGGAAAUGCCUCAAAUCCUACAACCCUAGUGCUCAUGGUAGUAAGGAGUAGUGUGCAAAGGCUCAAUGCAUCUGCGACACAGUUCAGACAACUAGCUUGGUACCAUAGUGCAAAUGUGAACUUCUGCAAGUACGCCACCUACUUUGCAUGCCGUCUACCCACCCUAUGUUGACCAUUGAUGUAUUUUCAGGGCUUCAUGAUCUGUGACAAGAAUGAACUCCCUCUUUACCAGGUAAUGACACCAACGUUUCAGCGACUAUGGCAUAAAACUCUAGAUCAUAUGUGGAAUAAUUCUUUUUCGAUCCUGAUAACUUCUCAUUGAAAAAGUCUACUAGGUAUCCCUCUUAACUCAGAACAUCGUCAAUGCUAACCAGAUGCAUCACGAUUUACUCCAAAUAACUUUUCAAAGUCAUGAAGUGCCAAAACUGAAGCCUUUAUCAUCUUUUGCUUGACAAAUUGAAAGUUGGUCUCUGCCUCCCUUGUCCACUAAAAAUCACGUCCCUUAAAGCACUCUGUGAUAGGAACAAUUAGAGUGCUGAAUUUUCUUAUGAACCGGCUGUAGAAGGACGCCAAUCCAUGGAAACUUCUGACAUGUUGCAAAGUGAUUAGUAUCUAAAAGUGCUUUAAAGAUAUAUAAUUUACAAGGCAUUUUACAUUCACUUUGUUUAAAAACACUAAUGUUAGUCUCUAAUUUCAAUUUUCUUGCUGUAAAUUCAAUUUUCAUAAAUACAUGGUUAAAAAUGCAAUUAAUUAAAAUACGUAUUUACAUACAUGUCGGCAUGAGUAUUAUACAUUUGAAAGAGUAUCUAUUUCAUGUAUUUCACAUGUAUUUCCAAUUUAGAACAAGUGGAGCAAGUGGAGGAAAAAAAUGUUGAAAAGUCAAGAAUUGUGACUGUCUCAAGCAAGAAGCAGCUGUCAAUAAAAUGAUCAUAACUUGAGCUGCAGACAUUGAACCAAGGUAAUUCAAGUUGGGUUGGAAGAUAAGGCAUGUUUCUACAACUUUCAUGUUUUUUCAAGAAGUCAAAUUCGUAUCACAAGGCAGCCAAAAUUAUCGUGCAAAGACCAGCUUAUUACCUGCCGAAUACAGCUUUUCUACCUGUGAAGCAGUACUCAUUAUUUUUGUCAUAUCUGGAGUUAUAUAGAUCCAAUGAACCUGAUAUUUGGACCAAUGGAAAGCUAACUCAAGUGGAAAUAAUUUAUCUGUUGAUCAUAAGUCCAAAUUUGCUACAAAAUGUAUCUGACAAUUGGCAUCAAGUUGCAUAUUCCAGCUGUCUUGAAGCUGGACAGAAACAAGUUGCAUUGUCUACUUGCAUUUUUUAUGUUCCUUUGCAUAAAAAAGGGGACUUUGGCCACGAUUUUGAGAGAAUCAAUUCCUCUCCAUCAUAUUCUAGUUUCCUUCAUUUUCUUUGUAACAUUUCAUUAUGUAUUUCUAAACCAUUAGCUAGAGCUAGGGGUGAAAUUUUGGUGAAUGCAUAGUAUCGUCUUUGAUCUUUCAUUUUGUUCUUCAAUGUUCAUCUUUUUACUUGGUUGAAGUAUAUGUUCUACAAAUGGUUUUGAUUUGUUAAAGAUUUUGAUUUAUUGUUGACAAUUUUGGCACAAUAAAUGCUUAGAUAAUCUCUACAUUCCACAAACUUAUUUUGACAUAUUCUCUCAAACAAUUAUCAAGAUUUAUCUUUUAAUAUAUAAUGUUUUAUCUUCCAUAUGAGAUCACUCCUUAGUUGAUUUUCAUAUGAGUUAAAUUAAAGAUCAAGGGCGAUUUCUACUCAUUUAUCCGAAGUGAAUCCCCGAUGCUCUAGUGUUCGUCUUCGUCGUAUUUCCACCAACCAUUUACUACUCAUAGACUAGUUUAUUUCCUUCCAAUUCUCCGUGGUUCGACCUCGGACUUCCGAGAUUUACUACCUGCGACAACCUGCACUUAGGUUUGCAACCUUAAAGUUGUAGCACAAAGUCUUUAGCAUGGGCUAAUUCAAGAUCACCUCUAUUUUCGAUUGAUCGGCAUGAACACCAUCUGUAGACACAACAAAACCCCAAAAAGUAACAGAAUUCAUGAAGUAAGAACACUUAUUCAAAUCGAUGAAUAGGAGAUCCAUCCUCAGCAUAUCAAAAAUAUCACAGAGGUGGUCAAAAAGGUGACGCUCAUGUUAGACUAUAAAUGAGGAUGUUAUCAAAGUAGACUUCCACGAACUUUCCCAUGAAAGGCUGUAAAGCCUGAUGUAUGAACUAAAUAAAUGUGUUCGGCGCAUUGGAUAGUCCAAAGGGCAUGACCAUCCACUCAUACAACCCAUGUUGCGCCUUGAACGCCGUUUUCCAUUCAUCUUCAGGCCUUAUUCUGAUUUGAUGGUAUCUGCUUUUAAGGUCAAUUUUUAAGAAGAACUGAGAACCGGACAGCUGAUCUAACAUAUCAUCUAGAUAGAAAAUUGGGAACCUGUACUUCACUGUAAUCUUGUUGAUUGCUCUGCUAUCAACACACAUAUGCCAAUACCCAUCCUUCUUCGGCACUAGUUAAGCAGGAGUGUAGCAUCUCUCUAAUAAUUCUACCGCCUGUUACUAUAACUCUUCUACUUCAUUGGGACUGAGGUAAUAUGCUGGUCGGUUAGGUAAGCUUGACCCAGGAAUAAGGUCGAUCUGAUAUUGAAUAUCCUUCAUAAGUGGUAAACCCGGAGGAAGAUCUUCUUGCUUCAGGUCAGAAAACUCCGUUAGCAGCUGCUACAAUUCUGUUGGUAAAUCUAGAUCCUCGUUCACUGCAUUAUUCUCAUAAGGUAGCAUAGACAAGUCUUCAUGCCCAAUCUCAAUCAAAAUCCUAGACAUAACGAGCAGGUUGGUAUUAUUAACUAUUUGUUUAGGGAUAGUUUCUUCCUAGCAAGGCGCCAACACAAUCUUCUUCCCUUUGGUACUAAGGGAAUAUGUAUUCUUCUGUCCAUUAUGAAUAACACUGUGAUUAUACUGCCAAGGUCAGCCCAACCAAACAAGACAAGUAUCCAUAGACACAACAACACACCAAGCAUUAUCAAAAUAUUUCUUACCAAUUGAUAAAAAAACACUAGACAUCGCCUCUUUAUUGUUACAUUAUUACCUUUAUUCAGCCACAAUAAUUAAUACAGCUUGGGAUGAUGAUCUGUCUUUAGUUGCAGCUUCUAGACAGCCUCUUCGGAUACUUCUCACAACUGCCACUGUCAAUGAUCAUCUUAUAGACUUAAUCUGCACUGUAUAGGUCGUGUAGAAAACAUUGGUCCUCAAACAAUCGUCCUCUGAAUCGAGUUCAAAAUCAUCUCAAAAAUGACAAAUACGUAAUAAAAGAAGUGUCUUGCCAAAAAUCUGGCUUAAAUCGGGUUCAUAAUCAUCUUGAAAAUGACAAAUGAAAUAUUACCAUAAAUGAAAAAAAUAACUAGAACUGGAAACUUUGAAGGGAAAACAGUGGAUUUUGGCCUUGAAAUUGACGCUCACCACAACGUGCACGCCGAAAAGAACUUUCUAAAUUGGAGUCAUAAUUGCGAUUUUGAUAACCGUAGCCAAAGUUAUUGCCAAAUUGCCAAAACGUGUUAUCUGACAACUCGGCAUCACUCGACUUGAAACCUCCUAUAUUAGUCACUACAAGGUUGGAAAGAACUCGCCCUCGAGUUCAUAAUAGCUUCAUCUGAAUCCACAAAAUAAAGGCUUAGGUGCUUCACAUUGAAGACAUCAGAAGUCUUCAAAUGGUUGGAGAGGCACAACAUGUAGGCAUUAUCAUUGAUCUUAUGCAGUAGCUCACAGGGUCCAAUCUUUCGCUCCUUAAGCUCAUUAUACUUCCUAGCAAGAAAGCAUUCAAAGGUUAGUACCGCUAAAACAAAAUCACCAACAUCAAAAAACACCGGACAACGAUGAAUAUCAACCUGAACCUUGUACUUUGCAUUACUCUUUUGAAUGGUCAGCUUUACCUGUACAUGGAUACCUCGAAGAUGUUCUGCCAUUUCAUCAGCUUUGUUAUUGAAGCGACCCACACGUGGAAUUGGAGCCAAAUCAAGUACUCCGAAUGGGUUCCGACCAUAGACAAUUUCAAGAGGACUCAGUUUUUUGGCUAUAGAUAAUCUUAAAAGGGCUCAUUCUAGUUAUUCUAUUCUUCGAUCGGUUAUAGCUAAAUUUUGCCUGAGGCAAUGCCAAAUCCCACGGCUUUGGUUUAGUCUCUACUAAACAUCUUAAAAGGUUACCCAAACUCUGGGAUUCACCACCUCAGUCUGACCAUCUAUUUAGAGAUGGUAUGCACUGCUAAAAUUCAAUUUCGUUCCAAGUUUCUCCCACAAACUCCUCCAUAAAUGACUCAUAAACUUAGUGUCACGGUCAGAAGUAAUUGACUAUGGAACACCAUGUAAAUGCACAAUCUCUCUAAAAUAAAGAUAAGCAAUCCGAGUAGCAUCCAUUGUCUUCUAGAAAGCUACAAAAUGAGCCAUCUUUGAAAAUCUGUCAACCACAACAAGAAUGGAAUCCGAUUAGUGAGUUUUACCACAAAAAAAAAAAAAAAAAAAAAUCCAUUGCUCAUUGAGCAUGGGGUAAGCCUAAUACAAAAUCUAUCCUGACAUUAAUGCAAGGGGCUUCAGGUAUAGGUAAAGGCGUAUACAGUCCCACAUUAGUGAGAGCUCCUUUAGACCUCUGACACACAUAACAUCGCCCUAUAUAUUGGGCCACGUCACUGCUCAAUUUGGGCCAAUAAUAGUCAGAAGAAACAAAAGUCAAUGUCUUAUCUUGCCCAAAAAGUCCCUCGUUAUGAAGUUCACUAAUAAUUUGUUGCAUCAGUGACCAAUCUGAAAUGCACAACUAUAAUCAUUAAACAUUAAACAAGUAGCCAUUAUGCAAAAUAAAAUAAUAUCAUUGAUUAUCAGUUAAUCCUAAAUUAUCUUUCCGAAUGAAGGAUCUGCAGCAUAUAUAUCAAAAAAUGCCUCAAAUCCUACAACCUUGGUGCUCAUGGUGGUAAGGAGUAGUGCGUGACACGGUUCAAGCUACUAGCUUGGUGCCUUAGUGAAAAUGUGAACUCAUACAACUACGCGACCCACUUUGCAUGCGGUCUAUUUAGCUUGUGUUGACUAUUAAUGUACUUUAGGACUUCAUGAUCAUUGAUAAAAAUGAACUCCCUCUAUACUAGGUAAUGACACCAAUGCUUCAGGGACUGAACUAUGGCAUAAAACUCCAGAUCAUAUGUCAAAUAAUUUUUCUUUGAUUCUGAUAACUUCUCACAAAAAAGUUUACUGGGUGUCCUCUUGACUCAAAACACCUCCAAUGCCAACCCUAAAUACAUCACAAUUUACUUCAAUUCCAAAACUGGAGGCUCUGUCAUCUUUUGCUUAAUCAAUAAAAAGCAAGUCCUCGCCUCAUUGGACCACUGAAAAUCACGUCCCUUAAGGUACUCUGUGAUAGGGACAAUUAAAGUGCUAAAAUUUCUUAUGAACUGACGAUAAAAGGAUGUCAAUCUAUGGAAACUUCUGACAUCUUGCAAAGUCUUUGGCUUGAGCCAAUUCAAGAUCGUAUAUAUUUUCAAUUGAUCUACAUGAACACCAUCAGUAGACACAACAAAACCCUAAAAAAGUUACAGAAGUAGAGAAGAAAGGACACUUAUUCAGAUCGAUGAAUAGGAGCUCUAUCCUCAACAUAUUAAAAAAAGCAUGGAGGUGAUCAAAAUGUGACGCCCAUGUCAGACUAUAAAUGAAGAUUUCAUCAAAGUCGACUACCACGAACUUCCCCACGAAAAGCUGUAAAAGCCUAAUGUAUGAACCUCAUAAAGGUACUAGGCGCAUUCGAUAGUCCAAAAGGCAUGACCAUCGACUUAUACAACCCAUGAUGUGUCUUGAACGCUGUCUUCCAUUCAUCUCCAGACCUUAUUCUGAUUUUGUGGUAUCUACUUUUAAGUUCAAUUUUUCAGAAGACCUUAGAAUCGGAUAGCUGAUCUAACCUAUCAUCCAGGUGGGAAAUUGAGAACUUGUACUUCACUGUAAUCCUAUUAAUUGCACACAUGGAUUCAUACUCUCAUAGAUGUAGCCCUUUUCCAAUAAUUAUACCACUUAUCACUAUAACUCUUUAGCUUCCUUGGGAUUGAGGCCAUAUGCUAGUCGAUUAGGUAAGCUCGACCCUAAAAUAAGGUCGAUCUGAUGCUAAGUAUUUUUCAUUGGCAGUAACUCCGGAGGAAGAUCUUUUGGCAUCAGGUCAGAAAGCUCCGUUAGCAGCUGCUGCACUUCUGCUCGUAAAUUUGGAUUCUCGUUCACUGCACUAUUCUCACGAGGCAAUAGGGCAUAGACCACUUCUUCACACCCAACCUUAACAAAAAACCUGAAUAUAGAAAAUAGGUUGGUAUUAUUAACUAUUGGAGCAGGGAUAGUUUCUUUCCGAUGAGAUGCCAACACAAUCUUCUUCCCUUUGAUGCUAAGAGAAUAUGUAUUCUUCCACCCAUCAUGAAUACCGCUGCAUUAUACUGCCAAGGUCAGCCCAACAAAACAUAACAAGCAUUCACAGACAUGACAUCACACCAAACAUUAUCAAAAUACUUCUUACCAAUCGAAAAAGACACUAGACAUUGCCUCUCAGAUGUUACCUCAUUGCCUUUAUUCAGCCACGAUAAUUUAUACAGCUUGGGACAAUGGUCUAUCUUUAGUUGCAGUUUCUUAACAUCCUCUUCAGAUACUACAUUCUCACAACUGCCACUUUCAAUGAUCAUUUUACAGACUUUAUCUACAACUGUACAGGUUGUGUGGUAAACAUUGGUCCUCAACCAGUCAUCCUCUGAAUUGCCCUUGGGAGUUAGCAGACUCUUGUGAACGACUAGAGUCUUCUGACAAUCUCUAUAUAGUACGUCUUCAUCAUCAGCAUCAUCAUACACAGGUUCUCCAUCCUCCUCAAAUUCACCUAUCAUGUUCUCUUCAAUCAGGAGAUUUUUACUCUUCUGACCAGCCAGCUUCCUACAAUCAGUCGCCGUAUGUCUCUAUUUACUACAUCUAAAAAAUUUAAUACUUGAGUUAGAAUUGUCAUGCGGUGGCUAAUGUGCAGGCCGAGAUUCUUGAGGGCGAACUGGCUGACUACUUUUUUCCCUGACCACUGGCCUCCUGUUCUGUUGCUUUUCCAUGGCAAGUGCACCCUGGUAUGCUUCAGAAACGGUCCACAAUAAGUGAAGGCUGAGAACAUUUUGCAGGGGAUUACCUUAAUCCCCUCAAAUAUCAUGCCACCAUCUGCUCUUCCGUCCCAGAUAAAUAAUUUCGGGCUACUAGUUGAUAGAACUCCUCCAUAUAAUUGUCAAUCGUUCUCGUGUCUUGUCUCACUGAAUGGAGCUACUAAAACAAUGUUUGAGUGUAGCCAAAAUGAAGAAAGUGCGCUUUCAUCUUUUUCUUCAUCUUCUUCAAAUCAAUGAUUUUGGAAUUGCACUACUGCUCUCGUGAAUGCCUUAACUGUUCCCAUCAUACAGAUACUCUACCCUUGAGUUUGAUGGUGACUAGUUUUAUCUUGACACGAUCUCAGACCUCCUGAUACUAACAAAUACGCUCUGCUUCGUUCAACCAAUCAACAAAUCCUUUGGCCUAUAACAUACCAAAAAAUUCGGGCAUAUCCACUCUGAAACUGAGGUCUCUAUGUCGAUCCUUCGUCUACAGUGCUCCUAGACUUGAGUUCAUAAUCAUCUCGAAAAUGGAAAAUGAAAUAUUACCAUAAAUGGAACAAAUAACUAAAAUGGAAAUUUUGAUAGGAAAAUGGUGGAUUUUGGCAUCAAAAUUGACGCCCACCACGACGUGCGCGCCAAAAAGAGUUUUCCUAAUUGGGGUCAUAAUUUCAAUCAUAUCACGAUCACUUAUCAUCUUUCAAAACUGCCCUGAUUAGGGAAAUAUCACGAUCACUUUCCAUCUUUGUGCCAAUCUGCUAACUCAUUGUAUCUUAGGACUUUCAACGUGCUAUUUGACAACUCGGCAUCAAUUGACUUGGAACCUCUUGCAUCAGUGGGCAAAAUAUUGGUUGUUCAAGAUGAGUUGAUAGAAACAUCAACAUCUUAUUAAAGGAACAACCAAUAGUGCAAGGACUAGGGGAUAUAAGAUUGGGAAAUGAUUUUAUUUAUAGGCAUCUGCCAUGGUCCUAAUACAUUAAAUCUGACAAACCUUAUUGGUAGAAAGCUCUCAGCUAUACUUGCUGGCAUCAACAACCGUGUUCCCUAAAAACCAGCCUUCACCAACUCAUGAAAGCCAGCUAUAGUUGUCCUUCAAGGAGAUGCAAUGACAUUUUUAACUGUUGGGAAUUUACUUAAUCAUGCACAUCGAAAAAUAAAAUAAAUUUCAAUUCCAGCCAAUGAUCUGCUUUGUGUUUAGAUAAACUAUAAUAGGAAUUAUAGCUUUGUUGAAUUCUAAAAAUUUCUUUUGUUUUCUUGAACUUGAACAAUCACGAUCUGUAAUCCACAACUAUCCAAUUGUCUAGCUUCCAAUGAAAAUCCACACAGAGAACUAGGGUUUUUAUUUUUCUUGUGCUAGCAAGAAUAAUUAUGUUCUCUAUUGAUUUUUCAAACCCUAGAAUAUUAAUAUAAAUCUAAGUUGACUUGGCCCGUCUCUUAACUUAAUUUAGUCCAAUAUUUAAUUAAUCUAAUUAAUUAAAUUUGGUCCAUGAAUUAAUUAAUCAAAUUAAUUCAUUCGGACAUAUUAACAAGCAAUCUAGUUAAAUAAUUGUCCAACACUUAUCAAUAAAUUAAUUGCUAAAUCUCAUUCUUCUAGUUUUCCUUUUGUGUGUGACUCAUUACGUUCUCAAUCAUGAUACAAACGAUGUGAAUUAUUAUUUUGAUCUAAUCAAAAUUGAUAAACUAAAACACCCCAUUUAAAUUACCACUAAUUUGCAUCUGUCAUCCCAGAUUGACAUCUAAUAAUAUGUCAAGACAAUAUAUGUAUGGAAAAAUAUCAUGUGGUAUGACAAAACCAAAUGUGUUUGUUUACUGUGAAAAUAUAAUCAUUUCGUCAAUAAUAUCCAAUUAAUUACGAGAUAUGGAUAUGUGUCAAUCUCAAUUAUUGGUCAUAUCUUUUAUCCCACAAUUAACUCAGUGUAAGCAGAAAAUUCCUUUUAACUUAUGAGUAUAUCUUGGCCAAUGAUUUCAUUAGCAACUUAACUUGAUAAAAUAUAGAUCAUAAUCUCUUACUAUCUAAGAGUAACAAAUCAUUUAUUGAUCAGUCACAAUAUGAAUUAACUUACCCGAAUGAUGUCGUAUUAGUGGCCCUUGGCAAAGCAACAUCUAAUAUAACCAAAGUAUGACAGUUCUCAUAUUAGAUAUAAUGAUGACUUUAAGUCAAAGGACCGUUUCCACAAUCGAAAGUUAAAAAUUAACCAUUGACACUCAGAUAGUUAUCCAUGUUGAAUCUUUCCACGGGUUUCAAAUGUUUUAUUGUAUAAGAAAACAUUCAAGUGUUCAUUUAAGUGUCACUACACUUUAGCUUAUGAGAUUAACUACUUAUUUCACAAGUAAGAAAUGUCAUAGGUGAUGCUUUAUCCGUAAUAACGAUAUCCUUAUCUCAUUAUUACUUACGACCAUAUAUGAUUUAAGAUUCAGUUAUUUGUAAUUUGUAUCUCAUAAUUACAACUCUUUGUGAUUAACAAAUUACUAGGAUUUGAAUCACGAACUCUAUUAUUUAAUUUAAUUGAAUAUUAAUUAAAUAAUAGAUAUGCCAUAAAAUUGCAUCAAUUAUAUAUUAAAAGUGUUUAUGUCCAAAGUUGAUGGACCUAAGGCAUAACACUUACAAAUUCCCACUUGCACUAGAUUCAAUAACUUAUGUAUCUAAUAUCAUAAGAGUCUAUAAAACGAUCAUGUUUAUAUUGUGUCAACUAUUUGUUAGUAUAUCUACAAUAUUAUUAUUAGUGGGAAUUCAUUCUUUGCUUACAUCAUUUCUUUUCAUUAUCUCUCUGAUGAGAUGAUACCGUCUUAACACAUAAUUGGAUUAUUGAUGAAACCUUAGUUCCUUCGCUUGCGGGAUGGAUCCAUUGUUAUCAUAAUACAAAUGUAUGUAAUCAACAAUGUUAAGAACUACUCAGAGUUUAUUAAUGAACUUCUUGAUCCAUAUCAAAACCUUUAUUGCUUCUAAAAAAAUAGUGUAUAAAGCUUCCGCUAUUGAAUCAAUAUUGGUUUCCUAUUUGGAACCUUUCAAACACAUUGUUUAAGAGUAAACCAAUAUACUGAUUGAGAUAUUUUAUCAUUCUUAUUUGACUAGAAGUUAGCAUCAGUAUAUCCAUGAACUCUCAUUUCAUUUUCUUCAUAUAAAAUCUUCUCAAGAUUUUAUAUAUGCAAAUUGCGAUGAGUUAAGAAAUCUUCUAGUUCUAUCUUUACAGAUCAAGUUACUUCUAUCAUAUCUUUCAUAGAGAUAUUAUUUGACAACCAUGAUUUCAAUGAUUGAAACAUAGGGAUGUCAUUUUCUAUUAUAUAUAUAUACACGACAAUGCUCCUAUUUCUUCUAAAAUACAUGGAUCUUCCUUAUUUUUGAUAAAAUCAAAUCUUUUGACUUUUUCAUCAAAUCGAAGAUUUCAGUUCCAAGAGGCUUGUUUCAAUUCAUUUAAGAACUGAUCAAGCUUGCAUACCAUGUAAGCAUAUUUAAAUACAAAACUUUUGAGUCGUGCCUACACUUUCUCUUGUAAGUUCCUAUUAAGGAAUACAAUUUUGACAUCCUUUUGCCAUAACUCAUAGUCAUGGUAUAUAACUAUUGUACCCAAAAUCCGAAUAGACUUUAACAUGGCUUUAGGCUAGAAGGUUUAAUCAAAGCCAACUCAUUGUCUUUGUUUGUAUCCUUAUGAUAUUAGCUUUGUUUAUUAUGUAUGGAUGUUUCCAUCCAUGUCGACCUUUUUGUGUAAACCAAUUUACAGCCUAUGGGUUCUAUCCCAUUAGGCUGGUCAAUCAAGGUCUAAACCUUGUUUACAUAUAUCGAGUUCAUCUUGGAUUCCAUGGCCUCUUGCCCGUCUUUUUGAGUCAACACUUGAAUUUGUUUCUCUAUAACUAAUAGGUUCAUCAUCCUCAAUUAAUAAUGUUUGAUUAGUAAAUUUUGGAGUCGUACCUUCGAGGUUGAAUGAUCCUGCAAGAUUCACAUGGAGCUUACGUGUAUUCAGAAGUCUCUACUUUCUGAUCAAGAGUAUGUCUUUCAACAUGUACAGGAUUAGACUCAGGGUUAUCUACUUGAUUAACUAUAUCUGUGGAUUCUUGAACUCCUUCAAGUUUUAUUUUGCUCCUACUGUCAUCUUCUAGAAUAAAACCUUUUCUAAGAAUAUGACAUGUUGUGAGAAGAACACUUUCAUCUCAAUAGGAUUAUAAGAUUGAUAUCAAAUAUCUCUUUUGGAUAUCCCACAAAUAUAUAUUUAUUGGAUUUAGACUCAAGUUUAUCCGAUUCAGUGUACUUCACAUAAGCAUCAUAACACUAAACUUUCCUAUGAGAUAAAUUUGGACUAUUACAUUUCCAUAGAUCGUACGAGAGUUUUGUUGACCGGCUUAGAUGGGACACAAUUUAGUGUAUAGUACACUACAAUCAGUGAUGACCCUAAAACAAUUUUGAGAAGUUUGCAUGGCUCGUUAUUAAUCGUAUUAUAUCUAAUAGUCUACGAUUUCUCCUUUUAAAUACAUCGUUGUGCAAUGAUGUAUGCUAGAAUGUCCAGUGCAAGAGAAUCUCAUUCUCUUUUAGAUAAUCUAAAAUUCGCUACCUUGAUAUAGCUUAAUGUAAGAAUACCUUCACCUAAUUGUUUCUCUACUUCUAGCUUGAAUUCCUUAAACCUUUCAAGAAUUUCAUGCUAGUUUUCAUUGUCAUAAUGUGAUGUAAUAAGAGAAAUCUUAUCUAGAAUUAAUUAACAUGGGUCCAUAUACAUCAUUAUGUAUUAGGCCAGUAAUUAUGCAGUCAUUUCUCUUUUUCAAGUAAAAGGACAUGUGGUCAUUGUGCCUAAUAUGCGUAAUUGCAUUUAUCGAAUGAUUCAAAAUCAGUUGUCCCCAAAUAUACAUCUCUAUGUAACUUUAGAAUUGCAUUUUCAUUCAUGUGAUCAAGUUUGCAAUGUUAGAUUUAGUUGUUAUUCAAAUUAUCAGUUUUAUGUCUCUAAUAUUUUAUACUCAUUAUAGAAUUUACCAUAACCAUUAAGAUCUUAUCAAGAAAAAAGAAAACAACAAUUGUACUUAACAUUAAAAUAGUUCAUGUCCAAGCAUGAAAUUUAUUUAAUGUUCUGAUAAUGGUGGAUACAAAGUAACAUUUCUCUAAUUUCAAUACUAAGCCUAAAAGGCAGUGGCGAAAAAGUAUGCUCUUACAAGCAGUGUAGCAACCUAUGCUCAUUUUUAACUUGCAGGUCAACUUCUCCAUUUUUCAGUGUAUAUUACUAUUUAGUUUCUACAUAUUUAUACAAGUAUAGAUCCAUGUCUAGUAACUAAUACUCAAGAAGUUAAUGAUGUAGACAUAUAAGCCUUGCAAUCUCUCUUUCAAUGGUCUUUCAUUCCAAAAUGAUAACAAAGUUCAUUAGAUUUAGUAUUUUCCUUCUUCGCUUUGACCAUCUUAGCCAUCUUGGAUGCUUUUAUAAAGCAUCCUUUAGACUUCCUCUUACAACCCUUAGGGGAAUCAAUGACUAAGAUUUGCCCACUACAAAUUUUAAUAUGGAUUUAGCAACUUAAGCACAUUCAACAACUUAAUGAGUGAGCAUUCGAGCUUUUUCAUGUUAAAUUCAUAAUAAAUUGUGAAUAACUAUCUUUGGAGAACAAAGUCAAUAUGUAGGUCAUGUUUCAUAGUUGAAAUCAAUUGAGACAAAUUUUCAAUAUAGUCAAUAUGUUUAAUACAUGAGUAAUGACUGAAGAUACUUCUGCCAUUAUGCACUGUUAUAAUUGCUAGAAAAUCUCAUAUCCUUCCACAUGUGAUUGUUCACCAUUAAACUUCUUGAGAUGAUGAAUCAUUACGUUAUCAUUUAUACCCUCAUGUUGCUUUUGUAACUCAGGUAACAUAGCUGCAAGCAUCACGUAUGUUGUAGAACUAUCAUCAUCACUAUGUUACUAUAACAGCCACCUCUUCCUUAGUUGAGUCAUCAGCAAAUGUCUUUGGAAAGGGCUACCUAAUGACAUAACUAAUCUUCUCAUGCCUGAGAACAAAUCUCAGAUUGCAGUGCCUAUCAAGAAAAAAUGGUUUAAUUGUUGGCAUCUAGUAUGCCUCUCAAAUAUGUAUGGUUACUUAUGAUUCUACAGAUAUAAGUUAUGAAAGUAAACGAAUAAUAUGCAUUAAUUUAUUUAACAUGUUCUUUUAUCAAAUUAAUUAUGUUCCCACUGUUUCACUUAAAUUUAUAUCCUUCUUUUAUAAAUUUAUGGAAUCCAUACUUGACUCCUAGUGGACUUGGAUCCCAUUUGUUAUAUUAAGACCUUGAGUAUACUCAACAAGUCUUAAUAAAAUAUUUGGAUAUAUACUAUUAUCAAUUGUAUCUCCAUACAACUAUCGGAUCAUUAAACUGAUAACUUUUUGUCUUCACACAUCAUAUAUGUUGGCUUAACAUGUCUCUAGAAUUUAUCUUCUUGAAUGUACUCAGCAAAAGAUAAAUUUUGUUUAAAUCGAAACUCAUUAUUCAGAAAUAUCGAAUAUUUCAUAGCAUCAAACAUAUACCUAAUAGUCGCCUUGAGUGUACUAAACAAGCUGAGAAGAUUUAGGACUCUGAUUUUUCACUAUAAAGAUGGAAGGUCCCGAGCCAUAGAAAAGACUAGUUUGUCUAUUCCUAGGGGUAUUGCAUUGAGUUAUACAGUGCUCCAUCUCUAUGGUUUUGUCUUCUUAUUUCUUCAACUAGCUAUAACCUAUAUCCUAUACUAAUUGCCACACUGGCCUAAAUGAUUGGACACAAAUAAUAAUUACAACGGACUCCCAAAUCCAAAAUAAAUAAAAACUUGUAGUCUUAUAAAAUAAUAAGAAUAAAACUAAUCAUCUAACACAUCCACAUGAUCUAGUCCAUAAUCAUCCACUAAUAAAACAUUCACCAUAUAAAUGCUUUCGUAUUAUAUUCUUUUAUUUUUCAAGUUUCUUGCAAUUAAGGUCAUCUAAACUAAUUUAGACAAAUUGAUUGAAACAAUUAAAUAUUCAAUUAAUCAAAUUAAUCAACUAAUCAAAUUAGUGGAUUUAUUUAAUUAAACUCAAAUUUUAAUUGAAUAUCAAAUUAGAAUCCAACUCUAAUUUCAAACUUUUAAGUAGUUGAAUUUAAUUAAAAUAAAAUUUUAAUUAAAAAAGAAAAAUUAAAGUCCAACUCUAAAUCCAAGAUACUACGGCGAACUUAUUUAAUUAAAUACCAAAUUAGACUCGAGCUUUAUUUCCAAGACAAAUUUUAGGACGAGACAAUUUAAUUAAAAUCAAAAUGUAAUUAAAUGUAAAAUUAGAGUUCAACUCUAAUUUCAAGAAUAUAUUGGGGUGAAUAAUUAAAUAAAAAUGAAAUUUUAAUUAAAUACUAAAUUAGAGUCAAACUCUAAUUUAAAUUGAACUAACAUUUUAAUUUAGGAUAAAACUCCUAAAUAAAAUAAAAUUCUAUUUAUGGUCAAAAUUUAAUAUUUAAAUUAAAAUCUAAUUUUAAAUAUAGUAUAAUCAAAUUUAAAUAAAAUUUUAAAUGGGUCAAUAUUAAAAUUUGGAUCAAAUCCAAAUUUCUAGUUAAAAUUGAAUUUAAGGUCAAACAUUUUAAAAUCCAAUUUAUAACCACUUUCAAAACAAUUUUAAGUCCCUAUUCAAAAUUGCCAUCAAAACCCUUUUGAAAAUUGCACUAUGAUCCAAUUUCAAAUUGUUAAAGGCACCCCCAAAUUUCUAAAAAUUCAAACAAGCCUUUUUUUCUCAAAUUUUCAACCUGACCCAAUUUUUUCAUAAUUGUAGACAAGGGCCUCAAAUUUCUCAAAUUGCAACCAGGUCCUGCAUCCAACAAUGCUGUCACUUGAAAACCCUAGAAAAUCAUCCUUUCAUGGCGUAGCGCCGACCAAAGCUCGACAUCGGCACGACGACAACACAGGGGAUGUUGCCGCCAUCAAAUAGCGGCACCACUCCACCAAAUCAGCUGCAUAGCAUCUGGGCGCUACUGCUAUGCUAUUGCUGUAGCAAUAGCAGCUACGAUUCGUCUUUGCAGUAGAGAAUGAUGAUUGGCGUUGUUGCUACUCGUUGCUUCGCGUGCUGCAGCAAAUGCUGCCAUAGCGAGAAGCGUCUUUUCUGACCCUUUGACUCCGAUGGCAAUUGCUGUCGCUAGAAGUGUCGUCGGCCACUGGGUUCAAACCUGAUUUUCUGACCGGUAAAAAUACAUUUUCCUUUUCAGAACAUAUUUUCAAGAUUAAAAAUAAUUUUCUAAAUAAUUAGAUUCAUGAAAAAGUAAUAAGAAUCAACUUUUGAUUUUUCCUAAUAUACAAAACAACUUUUAACAAGCACAAAUUUGGCUCUAGUACAAUUGUUGGAAAUUUACUUAAUAAAUAAAUUUUAAUUCCCACUAAGAAUUUGCUUUGUGUUUAGAUAAAAAUUAUCAUAGGGAUUAUACUUUUGUUGGAUGAAAAUUAUCAUAGGAAUUAUACUUUUGUUGAAUUCUUCAAAUUUCAUUACUUUUCUUGAACUCAAACAAUCACGAUCUGUAAUCCACCGCCAUCUAUUUAACUGUCCAGCCUCUAAUGAAAAUUCACAUAGGGAAUAAGAUUGAAAGAACUAGGGCUUUCACUUUUUUUGUCCUAGCAAGAAUAAUUAUGUUCUCUACUGAUUUUUCAAACGCUAUAAACCUAUUAAUAUAAGUUCAAGUAGACUUGUCCCAUCUCUUAAAUUAAUCCGGUUCAAUAUUUAAUUAAUUUAAUUAAUUAAAUUUGGCCCAUGAAUUAAUUAAUUCGGACCUAUUAACAAACAAUCCAGUUAAAUAAUUGUCGAACACCCGUCAAUUAAUUAAUUGUUAAAUCUCAUUAUUCUAGUUCUUCUUUUGUGUGUGACCUAUUAGAUUCCCAACCACGAUACCUAAUGACUUAAAUUAUUAUUUCAAUCUAAUCAAAAUCGAUAAAUUUAAAUAUUCCUUUUAAUUUAUCACUAAUUUACAUAUUCGUCCUAGAUUGGCAUCUAACAAUGUGUCAACGCAAUACUUGUGAAAUGUCACGUGGUAUGACAAAACCAAAUUUGCUCGUUUACCAUGAAAAUAUAAUCUUUUCGUCAAUAUGAUUCGAUCAAUUACGAGAUAUGGAUAUUUGACAAUCUCAAUUAUUGAUCAUAUCAUUUAUCCUACUAUUAAGUUAGUAUAAGUCAAAUAUUUCUUUUUGACUUAUGAGUACAUCUUGAUCAAUGAUUUCAUUAUCGAUUUAACUUAAUGAAAUAUAAAUCAUAAUUUCUUACUAUCUAAGAGUGACGAAUUCUUUAAUAAUCAUUUACAACCUUGAUAUGAUACUCGUAUGAUACCGUAUUAGAGGUCCUUGGCAAAGCAACAUCUAAUGUCACCAUAGUAUGAUUGUCCUCAUAUAAGGCAAUGUGAUGACCUCAUAUCAAAUGACCAAUUUCACUACCGAAUGUUAGAUAUUAAUCAUUGACAUUUAAAUAGUUAUUCACGUAGAUUCUCCCCAACGGGUCUCCAAUGCUUUGUUCUGUAACAAAACAUCAACGUGUUCAUUUAAGUGUCACCACACUUUAACUUGUGAGAUUAGCUACUUACUUCAUAAGUAAUAAGGAUAUUCGCACAUGAUCGUCUAUCCAUAGUAACGAUAUCUGCAUUUCGUUAUUACUUACGACCAUAGAUGAAGUAAGUAGCUUGCGAGAUCAACUACUUAUUUCAUAAGGAUAUUUGCACAUGAUCGUCUAUCCAUAAUAACGAUAUCUACAUUUCGUUAUUACUUACGACCAUGGAUGAUUUAAGAUUUAGUUAUCUAUAAUUUGUGUCUCACAAUCAUAACUAUUUGUUAUUAACAAAUUUCUUGGAUUUGAAUCUACAGACUCUGUUAUUUAAUUUAAUUGAAUAUUAAUUAAAUAAUAGAUCUAUUAUAAAAUUGCAUCAAUUAUAUAUUAAAAGUUUUGUAUGUCCAAAGUUGAUUAGACCUAGGGUGUAACACUUACAUUGACUGCUAUUAAUGUUGCUCCCAAUACCUGUAUCAGCUCAAUAGCUAAGGUUGAAUGAAGUUUUGAUGCCUCAAGCACUACAACAGAAGAUAGAAUUGAAUAGUAUAUUUUGUUGAAAACAUACUUUGAAUAAAUAAGUGGGUUUCCUCUAAUUUAAAAUUUUAGAUGAUAUAGUUCGUCAUCAGUCAGAAUAGACACACGUCUCGGCUGAAAAUGGAAAAAACAAAAGAAAAAAGAUAUGUAGUCUACAUAUGAGGUGUCAUGUUAGAAGACAUUCUAAAUCCAUAGCAAAAAGAACAAGAAGAAAGAUUGCAUUAAGAAAUUUAAUGCUUUUAGAUAGGUAAUAAUAAUUUGUGGAUGAAGUGAUCAUAAUUUUGACGUGCGAUUAAGCCUAUUAGAUUACUUAGAUAAAAUAAUGGCUAUAUUCAUUUUCAAGACUCGAGUUUUACCCUUUUUCCUUGCUAUUUACCAUAGGGUUUUAUAUGAAAAUUUUGGACUUUUCUUCAAGGACUAUAGUAUUAGUUGUGUAAAUUGAGCUUUCCUAGGUGGAUUAGUAUCGUUUGCUCCACCGAGACAAUUUACGACAAUACAUUGGAUUAUAUGUAGGGUGUUUUUAUCAAGUUACCAUUUGUGAAGUAGUUAAAACUUCAAUGAAUAAUGGAUAGAAAAAUGCUUUAAUAAUCAAUUUGAAAUUUCUUAUGUAAAAAUGAAAUAAGAAAAUGUUGUAAAUUUUAUUAGUGAAUAAAAAUUAUACUACUGCAGCACUAGUUAUUAUUACCAUUGUAUCGCUAAUCUUCCCUAUAAAUAUGGACUUUGGUUCUUAAUAAUACACACACAAGUCUAUUGACUUCAUUAUUAUUAUUAUUAUUAUCAGUAUUAUUAUUAUUAUUUUCUCUUUAGUUUAUAGCACGUUAUCAACUAGAUUAUCUCAAAAUUAAAGUGAAUUAGUUAGAAAGUAAUAAUUUUUAGGAAAAAUUGCAGCCGAGGUACCAAACUUUUCGUUUAUUAGCAGACUUUGUCCAAACAUUUAGUUUGUGUCAACUACAUUCUCAAACCUUUCAAAAAUAUGCACCGAAGGUUCAAAUGGAUGGAAACCGUGUGUUUGAUCGUUAGUUGAAUAGAAAAGUCAAAAUUUGGACCAAAUUAAAAAGGGCAAAGUGGUACUUUGAAUUUUUUCUUAAUAUUAAUAAUUAAAAUAAUUAAUAAUAACAAUAGAAAAGUAAAAACAAAAUAAAUAAAAAUCAAAGAAAAGAAAGGGAAUACUGUUCAUCUUCAUCUUCACCCCACCCCACCAAAUCGUAAAUCGCACUUUACAGAGGAACAAUUAAAAGGCGAUUUGAGGUCGGAAUUAUGGAACGGAUAAUAAAACGUGAGAGCGAGAUUCAGAUCUCCCAUAUGCCCAAACACUAGCACUGCUCAUACUGCGCACAUCCAACACUGGUUGAGGGAAAUUAGGGAAUCAAAAUUUAUCAAGUCUGAUCUUUAAGAAAACUUUCGGUAAAUUCACCUUGUUCCUUUUUUUUCCCUUUAACUUCUACGAUCUCGUCUGAUAUCUCAAAUUUUAUUUUGGAUCUGAAAUUUCACGACUUAAUUCAAUAUUUGCAAUGUAAGCAUCAGACCCAACAAAUUUGGACUAAUAUUUAGAUACCCAUGGGUGGGGUGGCGUGGGGGGGGGCGGGGAGGGAGAUGAACAGUAUUCCCUUUCUUUUCUUUGAUUUUUAUUUAUUUUGUUUUUACUUUUCUAAUGUUAUUAUGAAUUAUUUUAAUUAUUAAUAUUAAGAAAAAAUUCAAAGUACCACUUUGUCCUUUUUAAUUUGGUCCAAAUUGGUCAAAUUUUGACUUUUAUAGUCAAUUAACAGUCAAAUGGACGGUUUUCAUCUAUUUGAACUUUCGGUGCAUAUUUUUGAAAGGUUUGGAACUGUGGUUGGCACAAACUAAAGGUUUGGGCAAAAUCUGCUAAUAAACGAAAAGUUUGGUACCUCGGUUGCAAUUUUCCCUAAUUUUUAUAAGAAUAAUCAUGUGUAACAAUAAAUGUGUGUAUCAUUCUGCCAACGUAAUCAUUUUUAUUUUAUUUUAUGUACAAUUAAAUGCUAUGAAAGACAAUUAGUGAUUUCUACCCCAAUGCUUCAUUGGUUUCUGCCGAUUUUUAUAUUUGACUUUGGUUUCUAAUUGUCUACUAAUGUUAAAUGCUAAUUUUCUAAUUGUUUUUAUAUUUUUAUCCACAUAUUAUCAAUAAUGAUUACUUUUUUUUUUUUAAAGCACGUCUUUAUUGAAUGUUGUGUCUGUAUAUGAUUUUUUUACUAAUGCAUGUUGGUAAUUAAUUUUUAUAUAUAAAUUCAUAUCUUGUCUAUAUGGUAAUUAAUAUUUUUAAUAUGAUUAAAUACUUUUAGAUGUUCUUUUAUAAAAUUCAAAUUAAUAAUUUAUCAUAUUGUUGAUUUUGAAGUACCAAACAUUAGAAUUAAUAUGUUAUAAGAAUAUUAAUCGUCGAUCUAUCUAUUACAAAUCAUUUGUUGUUGCUUCUGAAGUAGAAAAAUACUAUAAUGAAUAUUUUAGAAGAAUAUUACUUACUCUUAAAGAGUGUGAAUUAUGAUUUUCAAUAUUCCAAAAGAGUAUUGAUAUAUUACUCUUGAAGAAACAAUGACAAAAUAUAAUAUGUUCUCGGAGUAACACAAGUUUCAAAGAAUAUAGCAUUUUGUAUUAGUCUUUAUCCUUGAAUAUAUAACUCAUGUAAUGUGACAUAGAUUACUUGAUUAGUUAUUAUGUGACAAUACAAUGUUUUAUCAUACAUUCUUUAAAAUUAAUUGUAUUUUCUUUUACUUUAUUGUGUAGUUAUCAAAUGAAAAAGGCAAAACUUGAAUUUGUUUUACUUGACAUAUCCGAAAAAAAUUAUUUCUCAUGGGUCCCGAUGUUGAGGUUCACCUUGUCUCAAAGGGUCUGGGAGAAACAAUAAAAGAACUCAAAGAAUUCCCGUAGGAUUGUGCAAAAACACUUAUCUUCUUUCAUCAACAUCUCCAUAAUGGAUUGAUAUUCAAAUACCUUAUUUUGAAGGAUCAACAAGUUCUUUGAGAAUAUUGAUUGAAAGAUUUGAUCACCUGAAGACUCUAUCGUCCUCAAAGCUUGCCAUGAAUGGAAGCAUCUCCGCUUGCAAUACUUUAAAAUUGUUAGUGAGUACAAUUCUAAAUUGUUCAGAAUAUGUUGAAAAUUGACCUUGUGUGGAGAAAAAAGUUAAUGAUGAAGAUAUGUUGGAGAAAUUUUUUCUAGCUUUCAUCCUCGAGUUGUUGAACAAAAUAAUGAAUUGCUGAUAAAAAAUUAUGGAUUACAUCCGACUGGAUUUGUAAGGAUGUGGAUGUAGAUGUAAGAAAAACUAGGCAUGAAAUAAUCAACAAAACUAUCAAUUUUAAAAGGCACAAAAUAAAAGUAGCAUAAUAAAAAAAGAGCACGAAGAAAGUUAUUUUAGAUAUGGAAUGAAAGGGCAUGGUGCACGUAACUAUUGUACGGUAAAACAUCUCGUGGAUAUCUAUCGAAAUUCAAUCAAAGGACAAGAAAGAUUGGAAACAAAUUUUGCUAAUUAUUAUGGUCCAACUGAUUGACUCACCUAAUUAUGGUCCAAUUGAUUGACUCACCUAGACAUCUCUAAUUCUUUUUGUUGAUCCAAAUGGCAAUAUUGAUCAUUUGAUCGGAGGUGGUGUGCUCGGUAAUAUUGAUUAAUUUACUUUUCAGUGUCUUAGUAGUUUAUUUUGAUUUAAACGUUAGUCUGAAGUAUGUUUUUAUUAUUUUCCUCUAAUUUUAAAACAUUACAUUUUCAAACUAUUUCUAGUUGAUUAAAGUAUUUCUUAACUCCUUUUGAUUGUAAAACUAGUUUUUCAAAAUGUUUAUUUUGUCAUACAUUCAGGAUGAAUUGCCAAAAUACCUAUUAGUCGAUUGUACAACUACGAAAAAUAUUUUUCAAGACAAAAAGUAUUUUUUAGACUUGACAUGAUAAGAAAAUAAUGCAAAUACGAUAUCAGGAAUAUAAAUAUCUUUGAAGGCACCCGAAGAUCUUGUAUUAUUAUAUUAAAUAAUACAAGAUUAUAUGUUGGUGAUGCACUUUAUUCUAACAAAUGCAGAAGAAAUUUGCUUGGAUCUAAAGAUAUCCGUUGCAAUGGUUAUCACAUUAAAACGAUACAAGAAUAUAAUAUAGAUCAUCUUUGCAUAACUUCAUUUAUAUUUGGUCCGAGGCAAACUAUACAUUCAUAUAAUGAUCAAAUCAAACAUUAUCAUGAACUUGAAGUUCGUUGAUGUUUAUAAAAAUAUUGUUCGAAUUAAAAUUUCGACAAGUAUGUGGUUUGUUAGCAAGUAAUAAAGUGGAUUUGAGUUCAAAUAUCGUCUCAUAGAGAGCGAUUUUUUUAAUUUUAUUUUAACUGUUGCAACCUUAACCAAAAUAAUCUACUUAUCCAAUUAUGGGUAAGUAAACUAAACUAAAUGCAAAUUGUGUUAAAUGUAAGUUAAUGUGUUCUAAUGUAUGACAAGCACACUUGGAUCAUGAAUUCCCAACCAGUAAUCCUUUUUAAUCUUAGUUCUACACUUUAACAACACGAUUAAAUUUUUGAGGAAUCAAUGUUUCUAUUUUAUUUAACAAUCUCUCCUAAAUAAUGUUAAACCUACUCUCAUAUAUGACCCGACUAUAUUACUAUGACGAAUGCGAACAUACAAGAAUUAAUGAAUUUUUAUGAACACUUAAAGAUUCACAUAGAGUAUAGCGAUAUAUUUCUGUCCCCUAUCGGACACUAUAACAAUUUGCACCAUGUUGAGCCUAUUUUCCUUCUUUUGAAUGCAUAAAAUAAGCCAUCAAAUUUAUACAACUACCGUGCAUAAUAAUUGUAGAGAAAAUAUAUUCAUGUAAAUCAUUCAAAAUUAAAAAACGUGUUUUUUUUAUGUCAAAUAUGUAAAAUUAAAGAUUAAAAACUCAUUAUACUAGUUCAUCGUUCUCCUAGCACAAAGAAAUCUAGCCUAAGAUGUUAAGAAGAAAAUAAAAGAUAAACUUUUUUUUAUCACCCUGAAAAUCUUGAAUUCAAUCUUGAUGUUCUUUAGUCUUGAUGUGUUUUUUGCCUCCUUUUGCAAUUAAUUCUCUUCCCUCAUUAUGUUUUGAGAAUGGGCAUCCAUAAUCCCUCUAAAGAGUGUCAAAAGAUCUCUAAAAAUCAUGUAUAUCAUAGGCUAAACAGAAGUUUCAUUGUUGGAAUUGAAUUCUGAAGAAAACAAAAAAUUUGGACAGAAUUGGCUUGGGCGGGCACCGAGUAGAAAAUGGGACGGCUUCCCAGGCAUACAAAAUAGGUCUUGUAAUGGAGGUCAAGAGCCAAGAGGAUAUAACUGGGCGGUUUCCGAGUUAUAAAAACUUCAAGAAUUUUCCUUUUAGCAGUUUCUUCAUUCUUUUUUCCAUCUUGGUCCUCCAUGUUAAAUUACUUCGAUUUUGGUACUUCAACUUUUAUUCAAAUGCAUAUUAGUCUUCAAACAUCUAUCCAUCGACCAAUUGAUCAUCAUUUCUUUUCCAAUUUCAUAGGGUCCAAAAUUGAAAUAAGAUGAGACUAAUCGAAAUUAAGUAAAAAUUCAAUGUUAAGACAACACAAAAGCUUAGUAAUAAGGCCUAAAUAACGGCAGAAAAAUGCAAUUAUCAAACAUCACAAACUAAAAACAUUGUUUGUCCUCGAAUAAAACAAAACAAAACUUAGGAAGAAAUCAUAUUACUAACCCAAGCAAAUCACCAAUAAACAGAUCAAUGUUGAACUGCUUAUCAUAUGCCUCAGGCUCAAAUUUAAGCAACACUUUAAAAAGAUCCAAACAACAUCCAAAAUAAAUUUCUACUUAUCUGAUACUCGACUAAGUAUGUGUGAUUAGCCAAUAUUGAGCUCAUAACCAUACUAGAACAUAACCAAUCAAGUUUUGUCGAUUCACUUAUAAUCCCAAUCCUCUCGUGGCCAGUUUUUCCUCACACCUCUCACGCAAAAAUCACUCUUUAUGCUUUUCUCUUCAAUCUUGAGGCAUUUCUAGCACAUGUAGGUUCCUAAAAAUUAUUAUGAUGCCUUUUUCCACACAAAGUGGUCAGAAUUAGAUACUUGUAAAUUUAGAAGGGAGAUGGAAAGUAUUUAUCAAAAACACACAGCCAAACUCUAGGGUUCAAAUCUCAAAGUCGUUGUCGGGUACAUCUUGUUUUUGAUGUUUAAGAUCUCUCUCUCUUUUUAAAUUUCCUUUUUUUUUUUUUUUUUGACAUCACCUAUGCAAAACUUCUCUCCAUUAAGCUUUAUAAAUGACCCAUAUAUUGAGCUUUAGGUCAAUGACUCCCUAGUCAGAUGACUAUAGGGCACCAGAUUUUUAAAUAUUUUUACAGGUUUAUAACUCGAGUAAGAAGCUACGAAGAGGGGUAGAAGAUGUAUCAUUUUUUCUUUUGUUAUGAGAAAAUCUAAUUUUUCAUUCUUUUGAAAUCUUAUGGGCAAAACUUCUUUCCAUUAAGUUUUCUAAAUGACUCAUGUAGUGAACUUUAGACUGAUAACUCCUAAGUCAGAUGACUAUAGGGCACCAAGUUCUUAAAGACCUUAAUAGACUUAAUCAUUCGAGUCAUAAAUGCUAAGAAGGAAGUAAAAGAUGCAUGAGAUUUGAAUAUUAAAAAUGAUCAAUGCCCGUUCUAUACGCAUUAACUCAAACUCCUUCAACCAACGACGGGAUCCAAUAACUCCAAACUAUCAAAUUUCUAUGAAGACAAAUACUAAUCUUCCCAUCCUUAAACUGCUUUUUAGCGAUUUGGUUUCUAUACUAAGGAUUUAGGAAUUCACUCAAGUAUCAGUCAACAACAUCAAUAGUUAAAUCCAGAUAAUAAAGUCAUGCCCUAACAUAAAUGAUAAGUCAAUAUAAGUCAAUAUGGCUAUGUGCUCAAAUAAUUAAGUCUAGCAUGGAUAAGUACUCAAGUAAAAGCACAUGUUAUAGUGUUAUCAGUAAUCUAGCUAAAGCCAUACUCAAUUCAAACAAAUAUCAUCAUAGGUGGCAAGUCAUUCAACGCUAAACUAGACAUUAUUUUUUAGUUUUUCAAAAAAAAUAAAUAAAUUUAGUUAGACAGUUAUAUGGACUUGAUCAUAAGUAGAAGGAUUAAGUAUAAUUGACAUAAGUAUCAUGAGACCUAUCCCAUCCCAAACAAAAUAUUACGUUGUCCCCAAUGUAAAAGCAAAAUCAAUCAUUAAAUAAAUGAGUAAAGUAUCAGAUACUCUCUGGGAUGGAUGUGGAUGAGUGGGAGGACUCAGGCUGGUUUGGCUGGACGAACUAGUAGUUAUGCAGGAUUCGACUGUCCUUGCUAUCUGGCAUACGUUCAGAUCAUCCAUCUCCAAUUGACUCCCAAAAUGUAACAUCUGCUCAUGCACUUGAUUAUAAGCAUAUGUGAUGGUUCUUUGAUCAUGAUGCAUCCGGUCAUCACUUAGCUGGAAUCCUCGUACUUGUACACUCACUCUUUGCAAAUCCCUCAGCAUGUCCAGUUGCGUCCACUGCAUAGUCUCCAAAGCAUUUUUCAUGGUGCCAAUAGAUCUAUCUAACUCUACUUGGGUGACCUGCAUCUAAGCAAUCUAUCUGCUCAAGAGGGCUGGGUCGGCAACUAAAGUAUGUUAUUGUAGGGAAUGAGCUUACUCGAGGUUAUGUACUCUCUCUUCUCCUCUAAGGUGAGCUUCAGAAUUUUAUUUUCCUUUUGCUGAUUGGGAUAUCUGGAGGAGAAAUUUCUUCAUUUGACAGAAGUGAGAGCUCGACAGCCAAACAGAUCCUACUAAUAAGGCAUGGAAACAUGGUACUACAUUGAGAAUCGAUCGAUGCAGCCAACUCUCAUAUGAAAGUGAAGAUGUUGGAACCCAAGUCAAUUUUGCGACCAUUUACGAGAUGAUAAAGUAGUUGUACCCUUUAUUCAUUAGACCUACUCCAUUGGGUUGUAGGAUGGAUGUUGGUAGAGAUAAAGCUAUGAAGGAGUCUCAACUCAGAGGUCAACUGAUUAUUCAUGAGCCAAUCCAUAAGAUGUAGCCAUGUGUCUCCUCUACUGUAUAAAAAUCGAGCAACCAAUGCCAUAUCUGGCUCAAUAGUUAGUGACUUUGUAUCAGUGAGAUUAGCUCAUAAUAUCUGUUCGAUUCAUGCAUGAUGACUCUGGGGUGUCAAUUUCAGCAUUAAAGUUGGCGAAGAAAUCACUCACUAAGGUAGGAUAAGCUGCAUAAGGAGUUCCAACAACUUUACCCCAACGACAGUGGUAGACAAUCCUUUCUAAUAAACUUCCUAGAAAAUCAUCAACCAAAACUCUCCUCUCUUGGUAGAACUUUUUAUCCUUUCACUUCUUUUCAAAAUUUUCACUGUUUUCCACAUUUAAGAACCUUGGUAUGUCCCCAUUGUUAAGAUCUACAUUUGCCCUCUAACAGCGGGUUAAUGUCUUGCUAACAUUAGACUUCCCUUUCUCUUGGGUUGUAGCUUUUCUUUUUGGUGGCAUUUGUACCUAGGUAUGAAAAUAGAAAGUGUAAGCAUAACAGAUGAGAAACAUAUAAGAAGGAUAGAAUGCCGAAUACCCCCGAAUCAUACAACUCUAUGUUAAUUUUCAGGUGCCAACAUGUAAAACCUCAUGCCAUGCCGAAGAAAAUGUCAUAAUAUCCAGUAUGUAAUCAAGGACUGAGAAAAUAUUGCUCACAUUCCUAAACGAAUGAGAAAAAUGUAUUUUUUGCUUUUUAACAUAAGGCUAACCAAGGACUUUCAUCAUUGGAAAAUGUGAAGAAAAAGUGAACUUUUUUGGAGAUAUUUUUGGGCAUAUAAAAGAUGCUAGGAUGGUCUUACUCGUGUUCAAAGUUGAGGUCCAACGAGGUCGUUUAGGUUAGACGAGGGAAAGAGAAGUUGGUGACGUGAGGUGGUAGAUGCUUAGGUGAUGUCAAGCUAUGAUGAUGCUAAGUCAGGUUUGGUGUUUUCUACCAACAACGUCAAUGGAUUCCAAUACCAAAAACAACCCGUUGUAUAUCACGUAUGCCAAAUGCUAAAAUAACCCCAAUUAGUCAAGAACCUCGUAAGCAUUUUAGCAAACACAUUGAGGGCAUUAUGUUUUUCCCUAAAUUUUGGAAAAAAUAAGCAUUAAUUCAAGCUACUAAUUUCUCAUCACAAACAUAAUCAACUACUCCACAUUCUACCUAAUUCCAAUACUCCUUCUCAAACAUGAAAAUCAUCAAAGAGCACAUGUUCAGACAAUUUGGAGAAAAAGAAAAUGGAGUUACACCACAUACCUUGAUUUUAGUGCUGUAUGAUGAAUUUAAGGCAUGAGGCACUAUAAUUCAUUGUCUAGUGAACAAUUGAGUGCGUUUAUGAGAUGGGGUGAAAUGUCGUGUGCUUGAUAGGUAACUGGUACGGGUUUUGUGUUCGUGUGAGCUGAAGUUGUUGAUUGCUUGUGUGUUAGAGUAGGGAUGUCAACGAUCCGACCCGGCUCAUGAGUUGAAAUUUGAGGUUUGAGCUCGGCUCGAGUAAAAUGAUCGAGCUUUUUUUGGGCUCGAACUGGGCCGAGUAAAAGCUCAACAAAACAAAUAGGCUCAACCUGAGCUUUCGGCUCGGACCCUUCCGGGACGAGUUGGGUAUGCUCGAUUUUAGUGUGGUUUUCUUUUAUUAUUAUUAAGAACAUGGUAGCCAGGUUGCUACCAUAAGGCAACGUGCUGUUGCCUUUAAAAAAAAUUUUAUUUUUUUGUAUUUUUUUUAAAUGCUUGUGAACCCGAGCCAGCUCGAGCUAUGCCCGACACCCCAAAAUGGGGCUCGGCCCGAGCCUCGAGCCGAGUCACCGGCAGCUCGAGCUAACGAGUCUGAUUGCCAUCCCUAUGUUAGAGGGAUGGUGUCCUGUGUGCUGUGAGUUUGAGAGGUAAAUGGUGGGGGUUUGCAUAUAAAAACAAUUGGGCCGAUUUUUUUUAUUGGUCGAUCACCCAGUGUAAUACUAAACAGUCGCCCAGUUUUGCAAUUAAGGGCCAACAUUUCUAGGUGAGCUUUUGCUAUUAAAGCUGGGCACCCGUCUAGUUUACUAGCUUUUUUUAACUACAUGUUUUGUGUGUUUUGAUUAAAAUUACAAGUUUAAGCCUAAAUUAGUGCUUGUUUCAUAUAAUGAAUUUGAAACUACUAGGACAAUUUGAAAAUUAUGUAAGAGCCUGUUUGGUUUGGAUUAAAAUACAAUUUUAAUCUAAAUCAAAGUCAAACAAUCAAAAUUAAGUACAUCUUUUAUGGGUCCUACAACUUUUCAACCACACAUUUCAAAUUUUUUUAUCACAAUCUAUUAGAAGUUUUUAAACUCCACCAAACACCCUCUAAAUGUAUGAAUCUCUAAAUGAGGUCCGAAAAUACUAAUGCACUUUCUAAAACUAUAUGUAAUGGGAUGAUUAAUCAAAAUAAGUGGAGAGGGAUAGAAACAUGGGUUGCAUCCCCACAAAUGCUUGAUUUAUAAUCUAGAGCUUGACUUUUUGGUGGCUUACUCCAGUGUCACAAGAUGAAUGGUAGAAUUUUUUAUUUUUAUUUUUUGAGAAUCUACUGUUCCAAUAUGACUUUAACCAUUGCCCAUUAACCUUAAAAGUUCAUUUGGUUUCAUGAAUGAUGGCAACUAUCUCAAAAGGAAACACUUUGGUAAUCGUGUAUAGCCCUGCUCACUGGACCUCAAUUUACCUGGAAAAAACUUGAGUCUAGAAUUGUACAACAAGACUUGUUACCCAACCUCAAACUUUUUUCUUUGCAUAUCAUGCCACUUUUUUGGUGCACUCCUUGUAGAGCUUUCCAUUCUCAUAGGCUUUCAGUCGAAACUCAUCCAUUUCAUUCAACUGAAGUAAUUUCUUUUGCCUUCAGAUCGAAGUUUAUGUUCUCCACUGCCUAGUAAGCUCGGUGUUCCAACCCAACUAGAAAAUGGCACGCUCUUCCCAAAAACCAAAUGAUAGGAAGACAUGAAUAUAGGUGUUUUGAAAGAUGUUCUAUAAGCCCACGAAGCAUCAUCAAGGUUUUUAGACUAAUCUUUUGUCGAAGAACUCACGGUUACCUUAAGGGUCCACUUUAAUUCCUGAUUGGAGACUUCAACUUGCCUGCUCGUUUGAGGACGACAUGGGGUUUCUAUAUGGUAUUGGACGCAAGUGUAUGGUGUCAAGUUUUGUAAUACAAUAAUGGAGUUAGAGUGUCGAGCCCACAGAGAUUAUAAUUUAAUUUUAUACUAAGUACUAUAAUUGAAUAGCUCUUGUUUUAUCUAGAAAAUUGAAUUAUAAGAUCAAUGGUCUUGAACUAAUCUAAUGAUGAAUAUGAUGACAAAUUCAACAAAUGAAUGCAAGUUAGAAGAAUAAACAAGAUGAGAAAGCCAAGGGAUAUGAUUUCUCCUAACUAUCGAAUAAGAUUUUCAAAAACCUAAUUAUCUUUAAUCAAUUUUCCAUGUUUAUAAGAAAGAACCCUAAUAUUAUUUCACUCCCUCUCUCGAAUGUAUAUUUCAAUCCUAAUAUCUCUAUUCCGAAUUAAAACCUAGAAAUUAUGAAAUUCAUGGUUCUUAGAUGGAACAUGCUUCAAAUAAUUUAUACUUUCUCUUGAAAUCAAUAAAUUUUAGGUUGUGUUAAUCUUAUUAUCGUGCCUAAAUUCCUCUCUCUUGAGUGCCAUAAUUGAAUAGCAUCUACUCAUUUAUUUUGUGACCAAUUAAUUUAAAUCAUUAAAAUCAAUAACACAAAUAAACAAGAAGGAAAAUUUCAUAGAAAUAACUAAAAUAAAUUCAAAUCACACUCUCAAGUCUAAUCAAACCUUAGAAGAAUAGUUUAGAUCAUGAUAGAAGCCAUGAAAUCUACACAAUUCAUAAAGAAUAACAUGUUGGAUAGUUGAAUCAAUCUUCUUUGUCAAGUUGCCUUUGCCUCCUUGAAUUCUUAAAUUUUCCCCCCUUCUUGCUUGGUUGAAUUGUCCCUUGAAAUGUGACCUUUAGGUUUUUGAAGUCUUGGAAGAGUUAGGGUUGGAUUGGGCCAAGAAAAGAGUUCAAGAAAUUCAAAAUUCAACUUUCUCGCCCUUCAACGUUGUGGCUCCCACUUCUGGUAGAAAAAUAGCACUGCGUAUCUUUCAGUAUUUUUAUCAUAACCAUUUUUUUCCAAUAUCUGAUUAAAGCAAUUUAAUAUACGUUGGAAAACUUUCUCAAAUGACUACAACUUUACUUCAGAUAUCAUUUUCCAAUUUGAACAUUUGCUAUGUCAAACAUGGGUCUCAAUAUGAGACUAAAAGUCUCUAGUAUAACAUUUUUUGUUAGAAAAUGAUGUGUGCUCAUAUUUUGACUAUAUUUCAUCCCUUUAACUUUUUUCUUUAUCCAAUUGACUCCUAACACUCUCAAAUCUUCAUUGUGAGGUUCGACACAACUUUUGAGUAUUUUCACUUAAAUCCCUAAACUUUGGAUCUCUUACAAUUUAGCAUCUUUUUCCAAUUUUAUCAACUUUUGCUUAUUUCCUUCAAUUUCGUCAAUCUAUAUCACAACAUCAAAAUACACUUUAAAAUGCUCUAAAACUCAUAAUAAUUAGCUAAAUAUCAAGCUUGGAUGGUGUCUAAAGUAUGAGUAAAAUACACUUAUCAAGUACUCCCAAACUUAAUACAUUGCUCGUACUCGAGCAAACACUAAACAAAAAUAGUAACUAACUAACUAACAUUUAAACAAAUAAAUUUAAGAAAAAAAACAUAUAAACAAAUUUAGUUAGAUAGUUUGCUUUUAUAGCUCAUGAUUGAAAACCUAAUAUCAAUUAUGAACCACAUCAAAGCUAUAGUGGAAAAUCUAAAUUUUCAAAUAUUCAAUGCAAAACGGAUGUGUGUAUGAAGAGUUAAGUAUAACGAUGUACAUUAAUAAGUUGAUCUAAUUUCAGACCUAUAAAAGUCAAAUAUUUACUAAUUUCGCUCGUGGGAUUCACACCCCAAAACUUGUUUUUUUUUCUUUCCGAGGGGAAUUCUAAAGUUGAUUUUCAAUACUAAUUUUUUAUAUCACUCAAUUUUGGUCAGAUUUUACUAAUUGCAGUUCAACAAAUCAACAAAUUAGGAUUUUCCUUACUUUUGACUGCUUCAACCUCCAAGAAUCAACCAAGUUACUAACUCAUUAUCAAAGAUCUAACCCUCUAAAACAAGUAUUUGGUGCUUGAUCAUUGCACGUGGUGCGUUUUUCUAGCUAACGUGAUUUAUAUCGCAAGUAUACGGUGACAAGUUUUGUAAUAUAAUAAUGGCGUUAGAGUAUUGAACCCAUAAGGAUUGUAAUUUAAUUUUUUAUACUAUGUAAUAUAAUUCAAUAGCUCUUAUUUUAUCUAGAAAGUCAAAUUAUAAGACACAAUGAUUUUAAACAAAUCUAAUGAUGAAUAUGGUGACUAAUUCAACAAAUAAAUGCAAGUUAGAAGAAUAAACAAGAUGAGAAAAGUAAUUUUACUCUUCUCUUGAGUGCUAAGUAAAAACUAUUCCUAUAUUUCAAUCCCGAUGUCUCUUUUUCAAAUUAAAAUCAAGAAAUUAUCAAAUUCAUGGCUCGUAGAUAGACGUGCCUCAAAGAAUUAAUACUUUCUAUGGAAACCCAUAAAUUUUAGGUUGUGUUAAUUUCAUGGUUGUGCCUAAAUUCUCCCCUCUCGAGUGCUGAAAUUGACUAGCAUUUAUUCAUUCAAUUAGUGGCCAAUUAAUUGAAAGCAUUAAAAUCAAUAACAGAAAUAAAUGGAAAGGAAAAUCUCAUAGAAAUAACUAAAAUAAAUUCAAAUCAUACUUUCAAGUUUUGGCUAAUUAGAUGCUAGAAUAAUAGUUUGGAUCAUGAUAGAAGCCAUGAAAUCUACACAAUUAAUAUAGAAUAACAUAAAGAAAAAAAAUAUAAUACUAUUUUUUGGAUGGUUGAAUUAAUCUUUUUCGCCUAGUUGCCUUUGCCUUCUUCUUGAUUUCUUCAAUCUUGCCCCCUUCUUGCCCGUUUGAAGUGUCCUUUGAAUUGUGGUCUUUUAGGUUUUGUAUUUAUAGUAUUUUGAAAUUUUAGAAGAGUUAAGGUUGGACGGGGACAAGAAAAGAUUUCAAAAAAAAAAAAUUAAAAUUCUCGCCCAUCGACACUGUGGCGCCCAAGAUGGGUGUCACAAUGUUGUUGAUCUUCAACAUUAGUAGCGUUGCGGCGCCUACUUCUAGUGGAAAAAUAGCACUGUGUAUCUUUUAGUACUUUUAUCAUAACUUUUUUUUUUAAUAUUAGAUUGAGGCGAUUCAAGAUAUGUUGGAAACUAAUUCAAAGGAAUACAACUUUACUUCAAAUAUCAUUUACCAAUUUGAAUGUUUUCUAUGUCAAAAAUGGGUCUCAAUAUAAGAUAAAAUCUGGAGUAUAACUUUUUGAGUUAGAAAUUGAUGUGUGAUCAUACUUUCACUAUAUUUUAUCCCUUGGACUUUUUUCUUUUUCCAAUUGACUCAUAGCACUCUCGAAUCUUAAUUGUGAGGUUCGAUAAAAUUUUUGAGUAUUUGCACUUUAGUCCCCGAACUUUGAAUUUCUUACAAUUUGGCCCAUUUUGCCAACUUUUGCUUACUUCCUUAAAUUUCAUCAACCUAUAUCGCUAUAUUAAAAUACACAUUGAAAUGCUCUAUAACUCGCAGGAAUUAACUAAAUAUCAAACUUAAAUGGUGUCUAAAUUAUGAAUGAAAUACACUAAUUACUCUUAUGAGGAAAUAGCCAACAUAUCUUUCGUUCAUCAACCUCAAAGCAAAAGGCAUCCACUUCAAAAACCUAGUUCAUAAUGUUUAAACAAUAUCAAGCUCAAAUCCUACCCAUUUUAUGGUCAACUUCAACUCCCAGUUUUUAUUAUUCAAUAUCCAUCCCAAGCUAUUCUUUACUCACAUGAUUGCAUAUGAAGCGUCAUCAGAAAACAACAUUGAUAUUAUCAUAACAUGUUUUGUCAAUUUCUUGAAAUGGCUCACAGUUAAACGUGAAGAUUUGAAGGAACUAAGAGAAAAGAAGAUAUUCUUCAGCACCCUCGAUAGUGAAGAAAAAAUUGUGGAAGUAAUCAAAGAGAUUGAUACUUGCAAACAUGUGGUGACAGUAUUUUUAAGGAUGAAGAGUACUGCAACAGCAAGGAAGAAACAUGGAUUGCUAAACAAAUUCACACUUAUUUUUGUAAUCCGUGGACCUUGACUGCCUUACUCUCUACCACUUUUCUUAAUUUUUCUUCAGGCCUAUUAUACAAUGAAUCUCAAGUCAAGCUGUGUGUCAAAUUACUUUCUUCAAGUUUUAGUUGAGAUGUGUUUCGAUUCUUCCAAAUAGGAGAGGUUUCAUGCAUUUGAAUUCAUUGUAUUAUUAAAUGUUUUUAUUAUUACAAUUCAAAUCCAUCAAAGUAGUGUUAUAGCAAAUGUUUUUCUAACGACAUCGAGAAAACAAUGGUUGUGAGUUCUUGAAUUCAUAAUUUGAAUGAUAAGUAUCUAGAGACAAACUAUGCCUUCAAGAUGUUAGCUUAAUUGCCCCCGAGGAUUUCAUUUACAACACCAUGGUUUUCAAAUAGAAAAGUAAGGGAAUGGUGGGCAAAUUAUUGUUUCUGGUCAAUUAACUAUUCACGAUACUUAAUAUUGCUAGAAGAAGAUGGGUUGAUAGAAACAUCAACAUCUUGUGAAACAAAAAUUCAAUAGUGCAAGGACUAAAGGAAAUAAGAUUCGAAAAGAGUAUUGUUUAUGGGUACCUGCCACAAUUUAAUCCAUUAAAUAUGACAAAACUAGUUGUUAGAAAGUUCUCGGUUGUGCUUGCUGGCUGUAACAACUGCAUUCAUUAAAACUCCCUGAAAACCAGCCAUCUCAAACUCAUGAACGCCAGCUAUAGUUAUCCCUCCAAGAGAUCAACGCCAUCUUUCAGAAGAUGUGGGUGUUUUCCAGUAUUAACUGACAUUGAUGAUGCUCCUAAUACCUUCAACUGUUUAAUGGCUGAGGCUAAAUGAAGUUUUGAUGCUUUAGGCACUAUAACAGGAGAUAGAAUUUGGAAAGUAUCAUUUGAAUAAACAAGAAAAUCUCCUAUUUAAGAUUUUAGAAGAGAUAGUUCAUCAUGAAUCUUAGCAGGCACACGUCCCAGACUGAGAGGUUCAAGUUAGAAGGCAUAUUCCAAAUCCAAAUGUCGCAGACUGAGAAAGUUCAUCAUGAAUCUUAGCAGGCACAUGUUCUAGACUGAGAGUCUACAUGUGAGGGUUCAUGUUAGAAGGUAUAUUCUAAAUCCAAAUCCAAAAGGAAAGGAUGAAACAUUGCGUCAAGAAAUUUCAUGCUUUCUGUUGACAUGUGAACUCUGACCUCGUCCACAUAAGUACUUUCCAGGUCAUACCUCUUUAUAUACAGGAAGGUCAGACACAUCAUCCCUGCUAGCUUGGACUAAGGACCGUUGUAAUCUGUGGGGACAAAAUGAUGACCAAAUCUCUGCCCCACAUGCACACAUCUUCACUGGCCAAUUCAAAGAUGACACUUGGCUAUUAUGACAUCAGCACCACGUAUUUCAACCAAUCAGCAACAGUUAAUAAUUAAAAGACAUUAGCCCGUCUAGUGCAGAUAAUUCUGCAAAGUAGACAAUGAUUAUAUCCCGGCAAGUCCAACCUCUGUCACCAACCAAAAUCAAGCAAAUGGCAUACAUAUCAAGAGCAUUAUUGUAGCCGAUUUAAUCUUGGGUGGCCAAUCUGUGCGAUUAAGUCUAUAAAUAGGAAUGUAGUGGUUCUCCCUUGAGUCUGAGCUCAGCACACUUCUUGUGUACACUUCACAUUUACUUCAGCUAGUGAAAAAAACUCCUUCUUUAUCUAUCUUUGCAAUAUAACUAUGACAAAUCAUCGUUAAAGUUGACAAAAAUUAACCCAGUCAUUUUUUGACAACGAUACUUUCGAAUAUGUAAUAACAAUAAAUUUACAUAGAACAUAUUAUAUAGCAUGAUAAAGUUAACGUAUUCAUUGGCAUACAGUUUGAGAAGCUAGCCCAAGUGCCAGUUCCUUGCGAAGACCAGCAGCUACCUCUCCAUCAGCCAAAGCUUCAAUUCCUAAAAAUGGGUAUGUAGGUCCACUACCAUAGAAUAUUCCAGGAAAAAAUGAAUUCAUUAGAACAGGCCAAAUUAGCCCCAUGUUUUCGUCUCCAAAAAUGCAUAUGGCUUAUCCAAGCACACACACAGGGCAGUCACAAUGGCGGAACCCAAACACUUAAACUCAAUUAUGUCAAAGAUAAACCAAAAGCUUUGCAUCAAACAGUUUCUCAUCAGCUGUCCACACCUUACCAGUAUCUCUAAAUAACUUGGAAAUAAAUUAUCCAUCAUCUUUAGUAGCCAGGGAUCGGGAUGGCAAUGGGCCAGGACUCAAUUUCCUUUCCCGUUCUCGCCUUGUAUGGCAAUUUCGUACCUCAUCGCCAUCCCAUCCUUACUUAAAAUGGGGCUGGAUCCCUGAAUUCCUAUCUAAUGUCCUGUUGUUGUUGUUGUUUUUUUUUAUUUUUUAUUUUUUAUACAGCUAAUAAUUAAAAAAAACUGAUUUCUAAAGUAAAAAUCUCAAUUACUAAAAUCAAUUUUUUGUGAAAGAGAAAAAGAUCCCUUCGUUGAACAUUUGCUAUGUCAAACAUGGGUCUCAAUAUGAGACUAAAAGUCUCUAGUAUAACAUUUUUUGUUAGAAAAUGAUGUGUGCUCAUAUUUUGACUAUAUUUCAUCUCUUUAACUUUUUUCUUUAUCUAAUUGACUCCUAACACUCUCAAAUCUUCAUUGUGAGGUUCGACACAACUUUUGAGUAUUUUCACUUAAAUCCCUAAACUUUGGAUCUCUUACAAUUUAGCAUCUUUUUCCAAUUUUAUCAACUUUUGCUUAUUUCCUUCAAUUUCGUCAAUCUAUAUCACAACAUCAAAAUACACUUUAAAAUGCUCUAAAACUCAUAAUAAUUAGCUAAAUAUCAAGCUUGGAUGGUGUCUAAAGUAUGAGUAAAAUACACUUAUCAAGUACUCCCAAACUUAAUACAUUGCUCGUACUCGAGCAAACACUAAACAAAAAUAGUAACUAACUAACUAACAUUUAAACAAAUAAAUUUAAGAAAAAAAACAUAUAAACAAAUUUAGUUAGAUAGUUUGCUUUUAUAGCUCAUGAUUGAAAACCUAAUAUCAAUUAUGAACCACAUCAAAGCUAUAGUGGAAAAUCUAAAUUUUCAAAUAUUCAAUGCAAAACGGAUGUGUGUAUGAAGAGUUAAGUAUAACGAUGUACAUUAAUAAGUUGAAUUUCAGACCUAUAAAAGUCAAAUAUUUACUAAUUUCGCUCGUGGGAUUCACACCCCAAAACUUUUUUUUUUCUUUCCGAGGGGAAUUCUAAAGUUGAUUUUCAAUACUAAUUUUUUAUAUCACUCAAAUUUGGUCAGAUUUUACUAAUUGCAGUUCAACAAAUCAACAAAUUAGGAUUUUCCUUACUUUUGACUGCUUCAACCUCCAAGAAUGUGUCUGUUUGUGUUGUUUUACAAGUUAGAUAACUUGGUGAAAAGAAGCGGUUGGAGCGUGAAAAGGAGCCAAAGUUUAUUUGAGGGAUCCCGCUACACGUACAAAAUAGGAUGACAAAGGUAGCUUACAAAAUGACGUGGCAGGGGGGAAUUUUUUAAAAAUAAGGACAAUAAUGCUACCGUAUCCCUCACUUUUGCUUCCAAUUUUUCCCCAAAUCUAAAACCACUUUCUCAUCUCUCCCCAUUUCCUUUCUCCACUUCCCCCUCCCAUUCCAAGGUAUUUGAUUCCGAAGUACUCACCUCCGGUAGAGGCCUCACCUUCGACACUUUCAUCAUCUGUAUGCACUUCCGGCUAGCUCCACACUGUCAUUGAAGAAGCCGCCGGUGUCGGGUCGCGACAUUCGACCUUAACAAAACAAUCGGUGGACAUCCCUCGAAUCUCAACCCGGGACAAUAAACUGAGUUGUAUGAUUUGCUAAAUACGAAGGUAUUAUUUGUUAAAUUUUGUAAUUUUUAGCGAUUUGAUCUUUUGCCUUUGUUGAAUGAAAUAAGAGCUUUGAUAUCUUUUCUUCCCAGUGUUCAUGUGGGUGACAUGUUUACCACUCACAAAUCUUUUUUGGGUUUCACUUUUUGUUUGUUUUUCCUCUCAUAACGUAAAAAGGCAGGUAAAUUUGAUGCUCAUAUGCUCCAAAAUCGUGACAUUAUUUGAGAGGGAAAUGUAGUGUUGUUUGUGUAUUAUGUAGGUUUUGUUUGUAUGUGGGUUUUCGUGGAUUUUCCAUAAAAGGGCAAGCAUGGGAGUGAAGUAUGAUUUGCGGGUAGGAUUAGCUUGUGAAUUCUGUUGGCCAAUAAGGUGUGUGUGUGCGUGUGUUUUGUGAAGCUUUUCACUAUAAUUAAUGCUGUAAUAUUAUAGACAAGUUUUAAGAAAUGCCCAGGUUCUAUUUGUGGAAUGACUUAUUUUCGAAUUUAGGGAGUAGAAAUCCCCUGUUAUCUUUGAAUUCAAGUGGGAUAUCCAGUUAUGAAUGAAGUUGAAUGUCUUGAAAGUUUGAUUUUCAAAGCCCUAUUUAUUUCAAGAAGCAAUAAAUAAUUCCAUAGCUGUUGUGGUUUAAUUUAAAAGAAAUUCUUGAUUCGUAGUCUUGAAUUCUCUCUCUCUUUCUAUAUAUAUAUAUNNNNNNNNNNNNNNNNNNNNNNNNNNNNNNNNNNNNNNNNNNNNNNNNNNNNNNNNNNNNNNNNNNNNNNNNNNNNNNNNNNNNNNNNNNNNNNNNNNNNNNNNNNNNNNNNNNNNNNNNNNNNNNNNNNNNNNNNNNNNNNNNNNNNNNNNNNNNNNNNNNNNNNNNNNNNNNNNNNNNNNNNNNNNNNNNNNNNNNNNNNNNNNNNNNNNNNNNNNNNNNNNNNNNNNNNNNNNNNNNNNNNNNNNNNNNNNNNNNNNNNNNNNNNNNNNNNNNNNNNNNNNNNNNNNNNNNNNNNNNNNNNNNNNNNNNNNNNNNNNNNNNNNNNNNNNNNNNNNNNNNNNNNNNNNNNNNNNNNNNNNNNNNNNNNNNNNNNNNNNNNNNNNNNNNNNNNNNNNNNNNNNNNNNNNNNNNNNNNNNNNNNNNNNNNNNNNNNNNNNNNNNNNNNNNNNNNNNNNNNNNNNNNNNNNNNNNNNNNNNNNNNNNNNNNNNNNNNNNNNNNNNNNNNNNNNNNNNNNNNNNNNNNNNNNNNNNNNNNNNNNNNNNNNNNNNNNNNNNNNNNNNNNNNNNNNNNNNNNNNNNNNNNNNNNNNNNNNNNNNNNNNNNNNNNNNNNNNNNNNNNNNNNNNNNNNNNNNNNNNNNNNNNNNNNNNNNNNNNNNNNNNNNNNNNNNNNNNNNNNNNNNNNNNNNNNNNNNNNNNNNNNNNNNNNNNNNNNNNNNNNNNNNNNNNNNNNNNNNNNNNNNNNNNNNNNNNNNNNNNNNNNNNNNNNNNNNNNNNNNNNNNNNNNNNNNNNNNNNNNNNNNNNNNNNNNNNNNNNNNNNNNNNNNNNNNNNNNNNNNNNNNNNNNNNNNNNNNNNNNNNNNNNNNNNNNNNNNNNNNNNNNNNNNNNNNNNNNNNNNNNNNNNNNNNNNNNNNNNNNNNNNNNNNNNNNNNNNNNNNNNNNNNNNNNNNNNNNNNNNNNNNNNNNNNNNNNNNNNNNNNNNNNNNNNNNNNNNNNNNNNNNNNNNNNNNNNNNNNNNNNNNNNNNNNNNNNNNNNNNNNNNNNNNNNNNNNNNNNNNNNNNNNNNNNNNNNNNNNNNNNNNNNNNNNNNNNNNNNNNNNNNNNNNNNNNNNNNNNNNNNNNNNNNNNNNNNNNNNNNNNNNNNNNNNNNNNNNNNNNNNNNNNNNNNNNNNNUAUGACAAAACUAGUUGUUCGAAAGUUCUCGGUUGUGCUUGCUGGCUGUAACAACUGCAUUCAUUAAAACUUCCUGAAAACCAGCCAUCUCAAACUCAUGAACGCCAGCUAUAGUUAUCCCUCCAAGAGAUCAACGCCAUCUUUCAGAAGAUGUGGGUGUUUUCCAGUAUUAACUGACAUUGAUGAUGCUCCUAAUACCUUCAACUGUUUAAUGGCUGAGGCUAAAUGAAGUUUUGAUGCUUUAGGCACUAUAACAGGAGAUAGAAUUUGGAAAGUAUCAUUUGAAUAAACAAGAAAAUCUCCUAUUUAAGAUUUUAGAAGAGAUAGUUCAUCAUGAAUCUUAGCAGGCACACGUCCCAGACUGAGAGGUUCAAGUUAGAAGGCAUAUUCCAAAUCCAAAUGUCGCAGACUGAGAAAGUUCAUCAUGAAUCUUAGCAGGCACAUGUUCUAGACUGAGAGUCUACAUGUGAGGGUUCAUGUUAGAAGGUACAAUCUAGAUCCAAAUCCAAAAGGAAAGGAUGAAACAUUGCGUCAAGAAAUUUCAUGCUUUCUGUUGACAUGUGAACUCUGACCUCGUCCACAUAAGUACUUUCCAGGUCAUACCUCUUUAUAUACAGGAAGGUCAGACACAUCAUCCCUGCUAGCUUGGACUAAGGACCGUUGUAAUCUGUGGGGACAAAAUGAUGACCAAAUCUCUGCCCCACAUGCACACAUCUUCACUGGCCAAUUCAAAGAUGACACUUGGCUAUUAUGACAUCAGCACCACGUAUUUCAACCAAUCAGCAACAGUUAAUAAUUAAAAGACAUUAGCCCGUCUAGUGCAGAUAAUUCUGCAAAGUAGACAAUGAUUAUAUCCCGGCAAGUCCAACCUCUGUCACCAACCAAAAUCAAGCAAAUGGCAUACAUAUCAAGAGCAUUAUUGUAGCCGAUUUAAUCUUGGGUGGCCAAUCUGUGCGAUUAAGUCUAUAAAUAGGAAUGUAGUGGUUCUCCCUUGAGUCUGAGCUCAGCACACUUCUUGUGUACACUUCACAUUUACUUCAGCUAGUAAAAAACACUCCUUCUUUAUCUAUCUUUGCAAUAUAACUAUGACAAAUCAUCGUUAAAGUUGACAAAAAUUAACCCAGUCAUUCUUUGACAACGACACUUUCGAAUAUGUAAUAACAAUAAAUUUACAUAGAACAUAUUAUAUAGCAUGAUAAAGUUAACGUAUUCAUUGGCAUACAGUUUGAGAAGCUAGCCCAAGUGCCAGUUCCUUGCAAAGACCAGCGGCUACCUCUCCAUCAGCCAAAGCUUCAAUUCCUAAAAAUGGGUAUGUAGGUCCACUACCAUAGAAUAUUCCAGGAAAAAAUGAAUUCAUUAGAACAGGCCAAAUUAGCCCCAUGUUUUCGUCUCCAAAAAUGCAUAUGGCUUAUCCAAGCACACACACAGGGCAGUCACAAUGGCGGAACCCAAACACUUAAACUCAAUUAUGUCAAAGAUAAACCAAAAGCUUUGCAUCAAACAGUUUCUCAUCAGCUGUCCACACCUUACCAGUAUCUCUAAAUAACUUAGAAAUAAAUUAUUCAUCAUCUUUAGUAGCCAGGGAUCGGGAUGGCAAUGGGCCAGGACUCAAUUUCCUUCCCCGUUCUCGCCUUGUAUGGGAAUUUCGCACCUCAUCGCCGUCCCAUCCUUACUUAAAAUGGGGCUGGAUCCCUGAAUUCCUGUCUAAUGUCCUGUUGUUGUUGUAUUUUUUUUUUUACAGCUAAUAAUUAAAAAAAAAAAACUGAUUUCUAAAGUAAAAAUCUCAAUUAUUAAAAUCAAUUUUUUGUGAAAGAGAAAAAGAUCCCUUCGCUAAAGAUAUUCUAAUGCUCCAGCCUCCAUUUAAAUUUACAGUCAUUACAGCAAAGCCUACUUUCAUUCAUUUGCUAUUUUAAUACAAUUAAUGUUAAAAACAUAAUUUCUAAACUAAAAAUGUUCAAUCAUUAAAACUAAAAUCUUGUAAAGCAGUAAUUCAAUUUAUAUAUUAUGAAAAAAAUUGGUUGUUGGAUACUUAAUUCCAGAAAAUUAUUCCAUUACUUUGGGAAACAACGUUAACCAAUAACAACUUUCUCACAUGGAGAAAUUUGUUUCCAAAAAAAUUUAAACAAAAAAUGGAAAAACAUUUUAACUCACUAGUCUUUCAAUCAAAAAUCCCAAACUCAAACAUUUUAAACCCUUGCAAAGAACACAUCCAAAUCGACACAUCUAAACCACAAUUACAUAGUCCCAAACAGGAAACCUCAUCCAAUGGAGCCCAACAUCAAACCUAGCAACCUGAAAAUCGCUCUAUCACCAAUCGACUCCCCAAAUCGAUUAUCCCUAAAAUUGAUUUUCCCAGAAUUUUGAAGAUAGCAAAAUCAGAAAAAAAAAAAGGAAAAAAAAAACAAUAGGGUUCUUCCUAUUUCAAUCACUGAUAUAGAUCCAUCCUCGGAAACUAACUGUCGCAUAGACACCAAACUAAGUUAUUGAGGAGAGUUCUCUAUUUUGAAGACGCCGUGGACCGUUGAUAAUCUAGGAAGACAAUUUUGGGGAUGUUGAUGUGUGAGUUUCAUUGAUUAUUUGUAAAGCCACUUAACUUGAUAUUUUGGUUGUCUUUGAGCAAUUUAAAAUGUUUUAAUGUGUCUGUUUGUGUUGUUUUACAAGUUAGAUAACUUAGUGAAAAGAAGAGGUUGGAGCGUGAAAAGGAGCCAAAGUUUAUUUGAGGGAUCCCGCUACACGUACAAAAUAGGAUGACAAAGGUAGAUUACAAAAUGACGUGGCAGGGGGGAAUUUUUUAAAAAUAAGGACAAUAAUGCUACUGUAUCCCUCACUUUUGCUUCCAAUUUUUCCCCAAAUCUAAAACCACUUUCUCAUCUCUCCCCAUUUCCUUUCUCCACUUCCCCCUCCCAUUCCAAGGUAUUCGAUUCCGAAGUACUCACCUCCGGUAGAGGCCUCACCUUCGACACUUUCAUCAUCUGUAUGCACUUCCGGCCAGCUCCACACUGUCAUUGAAGAAGCCGCCGGUGUCGGGUCGCGACAUUCGACCUUAACAAAACAAUCGGUGGACAUCCCUAGAAUCUCAACCCGGGACAAUAAACUGAGUUGUAUGAUUUGCUAAAUACGAAGGUAUUAUUUGUUAAAUUUUGUAAUUUUUAGCGAUUUGAUCUUUUACCUUUGUUGAAUGAAAUAAGAGCUUUGAUAUCUUUUCUUCCCAGUGUUCAUGUGGGUGACAUGUUUACCACUCACAAAUCUUUUUUGGGUUUCACUUUUUGUUUGUUUUUCCUCUCAUAACGUAAAAAGGUAGGUAAAUUUGAUGCUCAUAUGCUCCAAAAUCGUGACAUUAUUUGAGAGGGAAAUGUAGUGUUGUUUGUGUAUUAUGUAGGUUUUGUUUGUAUGUGGGUUUUCGUGGAUUUUCCAUAAAAGGGCAAGCAUGGGAGUGAAGUAUGAUUUGCGGGUAGGAUUAGCUUGUGAAUUCUGUUGGCCAAUAAGGUGUGUGUGUGCGUGUGUUUUGUGAAGCUUUUCACUAUAAUUAAUGCUGUAAUAUUAUAGACAAGUUUUAAGAAAUGCCCAGGUUCUAUUUGUGGAAUGACUUAUUUUCGAAUUUAGGGAGUAGAAAUCCCCUGUUAUCUUUGAAUUCAAGUGGGAUAUCCAGUUAUGAAUGAAGUUGAAUGUCUUGAAAGUUUGAUUUUCAAAGCCCUAUUUAUUUCAAGAAGCAAUAAAUAAUUCCAUAGCUGUUGUGGUUUAAUUUAAAAGAAAUUCUUGAUUCGUAGUCUUGAAUUCUCUCUCUCUUUCUAUAUAUAUAUAUAUGGUUUUGAAUUAGAUUAAGAUCAUCUUUAAAUAAUCCCUUUGAAUCUGCAAGUGUGGAGAUAUAUAUAUGGUUUAUUAAGAUACUUCGAACAUGUUAAUAUAAUUGCUUGUGGCAGUAAGAAUAAUCAAAUUAUUAUGUUUUCAGCAACACAGAAUGUCGGGAAAGAAUGCCACAGUUGCUGGAGUGUUGGACACUUCUUUGGUGAUUGUCCAAUAAAACGUCCUUAGUUCGUCGGGGAAAAUCAUCUGUCGAAGUGAAAGCGAAGGGGACGGAGACGGCUUGAGUAGUGGUUAAUGAAUUGCUACCUAUGUAGGCAGUAGCUUUUCAAAUAUUUAUGCAUAUAAUGCAUGACAUUUUGUAUUGUCUUCGAUGGUUGGUAAUUGGUAAUAUCAGUACUUUGUAUCUUGGUGCUUAUUUUUGCUUGCAAAAUCAGUUUAUUACUUGCUCUACAACAAUGGCAUCUCUUUAUUUUUCUUUUCUUUAUGCUUCCUGGGAGAUAACAGUGAGAUUAUCUCCACCAAUUUAAAUUCACUUGAUGGACAGUGAGAUAACAACCUGCAUUGUACCAAUUGGGAGUGGUUCAAUAUUGACUGAGACUAGAAUUCCUUUGUGAAAACAAGCUCAAGUUCAAAUCCACCCCUAAUUUCACGCAUAGAACACCAUUUUGGUUGCUAAAUUCCUGCGACCUCAAAGGCAAAGGGAAUACUUAUUGGAGCAUAAAUGCAAUACUCACCCCCACGCAUAAAUGCAAUACUCAUUGGCACAUAAAUGCAAACAAAACUGAAGCUAUAAACAAAAGGAGAGUUCAUUGCAGCAAGGGAGAGUUCAUCACACUACGAUGACCAACAAAAGUAAUUUAUCAUACACAUCUCGUAGUCGAAUACUAAAAUAAUUCUCUAACAAAUUACACCUAAACAAAUUAUCAUAACAAUUUUCUCAUUUAGCAGCCCAUACAUCUAUAUAUAACAAAACCAGCUGCGUCCACUUUGUUGUUCUGUUUGCUUGAAUUCAAUUGGUCCCACCAUGAUGGGGUAAAUAUGGACCUAACAUGCAAAUUAGAAUUAAUGAACGAAGAGGAAGUAUUGAAAUUCAAAUGUUGUUAUUUAAAAAUUUAUAUACCUUGUGAAUUAAAAAUAACAUUUGUGGUCAUAGGAGGAAUCAAAGUAGAAGACGGCACUUGUUGUGUAAAUUCAUGGCUCACCCCAUCGGCCUAUAUCAAUUCACAGGCGGUAAGACAAUUGAAAGUCUUUAAGACACGCUAUAACAAAUAUACUAACCAAUAGGAGUUGCGAAUAUGAGAAUGGCAUCGUCAUGGCAUGUUGUUGACGAGGAGGUAGAACCUCGGGUACACCAUCGUCCAUACUACUUUGUCUCGGUGUUUGUCUCUUUCCUUUGAUUCGAUCCGAUUGUACCUAUAUAUACACCAUAACAAAUAUUACUUAGCGUAUAAAAUAAAAUACAUAAAAUAGAGUAAAGCUAAAGAAUAUACCUUUGAUUUCUUAGCACUCACCUCCAAUGACCCUUUUAUUCGUUUUCUCUUUGGCGCCCCCUUUCUUUUUUAUGAUUUCGGAUCCUUGACACUCCCGCUCAUAGGAUCUUGAGGUACAGUACACUGGGAAAUAUUAUUACUACCUGAACUCGGCUUUACCAAACUAAGCUCUUUAUUUUGAAUUUCUAUCCAAUCCAUGAUUGCACGAUAUCGCCCUUCAUCAUCAGCUGCACGGUCUGCCACUUUGGAGAAUGCCUGACACAUGUCAUCAUACCUCAAUUGUCCAGGAGUACUAGCCAACCCAUCAUAAUUAACUGCGACCCUCGUGUGUGCUCUGUUGACGUCUCUCCUCCAUCUCCGCAAUAUGUAUCGAUCCGGAAUAACAGUUACGUCAUUACGAAUUAACACUGCAAUUGCAUGCCUGCACACUAUUCCUCGGAACUCGAACAAGUGACAACCACAAAUAAUCUCACAUUUCUCUAUAUUGAAUGAGACCACAAACAUUUUUUUCUUUCGUCGUGGCAGUUGCAUAUAAACUCAGAUGUCUCUCUCUAAUGAGAUAAAAAAAAGUUUUCUUCUUCCCCUACUCAUAAUAGAGGACAUUCGCACGUACCUCAUACGUGGUCUCUGAAGAUCCCUUCGAAACAUAUAUGAGAUCACAAUAUACCUUACCCUUGAAUUCUUCUUGGACUUCUUUGAAUUUUGAAAUAGUAUACACUGAUUGAAAAUGCCUUUCGAUUUCAUAAUUCGUGGCACACGGUACAGUUUGUGGGUAUGACUUGAAAUCAGCUUGGAACUCCUUUUCGACCUUACUUCUGAGUGCUCUUUCAUAUUGUUCCACAAACUGCUUCAGAGAGGUUUUCGAAUGGACAUAACCGUCGAAGAAAGCAUUCAUACUCUCACUUCGCUGAGUUGUGGACAUCCCCGUCCAAAAAGCCGUUUUCAAAAAGCAAGGCACCCAACGACCUCUAUUAACAUACAACCCCGACAACCAUUCAUUAUCUAUCAACUCAUAUGUCUCGAUCAUCUCUUUCUAACCUAAUUCAAAUUCUUCAAUAUUCUGUGAAUCAUACACCAACUGAUGUAUAGCCGAAAAUAUGGAAACCUUAUCAACAUGGUACCCAAACUUCUCCGGCAACUUCUUCAAAAUGUGUCACAAACACCACCUAUGCUUUGUAUCUGGGAAAAUAAUCUCAGUAGCAUUUUGCAUGGCCCUAUCUUAAUCAGUAAUUAUUCCACGAGGAAUUCUACCAUGCAUGCACUCAAGCCAUGUCUUGAACAGCCAGACAAAGGUAUCAGUGUCCUCGUUCGAUAACAAUCCACAACCGAACAAAGUUGAUUGAUCGUGAUGAUUUACACCAACAAAAGGUGCGAAUGGCAUGUCAUACUUGUUAGUGAGGUAAGUUGUAUCAAAUGUGACAACAUCCCCAAACUCCUUGUAUGCUUGCCUACAUCGAUUGUCUGCCCAGAACACAUUUUUCAGACGUGAAUCGUCAUCUAAGUCAAUACUAAAAUAAAAUCCCGAGCACCUUGCUUGCAUUUUAGAAAAGUAAGACUGAAUUGCUGCUGCAUCACCCUCGCCAAGUCUUAGUCGUCUCACUUGUUCAAUAUAGUUCCGACAAUCUUUUUCUAUGCAAGUCAUAUUCUCAUAGCCCCCUGCUUCGACAACUGCAGAGUUAAAACUUUUAUGAAAUGGUAUACCAGCCAUAUCGUUCACUUCAAGCUUUCGUUUUACUUGUGCACUUAAUUCUCGGUUGCAUCGAUACAACCUCGACUUAGUAGGACUUGUCUUAUGGUUGUGGUCAAGAUGGACUGUGUUAAUUUUCCAGUAACCAUGGAUAUCGAAAGAUGCAGAGAUUCUAGCUUUACAACCCGUUUGAAUUGUUGGUUGCGGCUUCAUAGAAGUGCUUGUAUUACUAUUUCUUCGCCCUUCCUGACUACAUGUCAAUGUGACAUAUCUCAAAACACCAUCAUCAUCCUUCGUCGAACUCCUCUUCCUAAUUGGAAAACCCAUGGCAUAUGCAUAUCUUGCAUAAAAAUCGUACAGUUCUUUUUCAUCAUUGAACUGCAUACCAACCUCAGGCACAAUACAAUCAUCUCUUCCUAUAGUUUCCUCUCCCACAACAUUUACAUUGUUGUCCACAUUCUCAUUUUCGGAUUCAACGAACGAAACAUCUUCCAUAUUUUUGUCUUCUGCAAAAUGUAAAUGCUAUAUGUCAUCAACUCAUAUUAAAAUGUGAUUAAACAGUUAGCUCAUUUUAGUAUCCAUUUAUAUCAUGGUUCCAAAAUUUUCAUCACAGAAUAUAUUAGGGUAGAAGUCCAGUAUACUUGGUUAACUAAAUGAACAAAUGAAUGAACCGAUUAAAAAAGAAAUCUCACAAUUCAACCAAAAAGAUAUCAAUUUCAAUGGUGUUAUGAAUUUCUUAUACUUCAUAACUAAAUUAAUUGAUGAAAAAAAUUCAAUUUCCAGUAAGAUUUUAAAAAUUGAAAAUGCAAUUAUUUCCAUCUUUCAAACACCACGAAACUCUAACAGCUUAACUCAUACCAAGAAAUUCCAAGCUACAAAACAAAAGCACCCAUACCUUCUUAUGUGACGACCGACCAUUGUCGGAGAUGGAGAAGACAGACCGAAGAAGAUAGGUUGGACUGAAGAAAAAAAUGGAGGUGCGAGGUCGGAUGCGCCGUUGAUGCUGGGUCUCUCACUACCUAGCCAUUCUUUGGAUUUUUGACACAAUGUUGGGGAAAUUGUUGGAUGUUCGCUACCAAUCAUUGGGCGUCGCUUUUGGGUCUCUUGCUACCUGGCCAAGAAAAUGUUGGAUUUUUGCUGCAAGUCGUUCAAGAAAAUAUUGGAUUUUUGCUACAAGUCAUUGAAGAAAAUGUUGGAUUUUUGCUGUGAAUAUUUUUGGAGUUUUGCUACAGCUGUACGUUGAAGAAGAUUGACUAUUAUUAUAGAUUUACAGCAAAGUUUCCCAUUUUUGGCGCCAUUAAUUCCCACCUCUCUCUUUAAAAUCACAACCGUCCAAAUGCCUUUUAUCUCGGCCGCACACGUGUAUUUGUUAACCUAUUUUGUAAACUUCCUUUGUACAAGAGGCAUUAUUGUUAUUUGAGUGUGAAUAAGCGUGGAAAAGACCUAAAAUAAUCCUAGAAAGUUGAAAGAAAGAUAAUCAAAGUAAGAAAAAAUGAGUACAACAACCAGGUGCUGCAGCGCCUAGCCAUGGAAGUAGAAGAAACAGAAGUCUAGCGCUGCAAUGUUAGCGUGAACUAGAUCACGGUGCCGCGACAAUGGGAAGCCAGCACCGAGGCACCAUUAGCAAGGUGGAUUUUCUUAUUUAUUUAAUGUUUUAAAAAGAGCCCAAUUCGACUUCAACUCUUCUAGAACUUUAGGAGACUAUAAAUACAACUCUAAAGACCAAUUUUAAGGGAGAAUUCCAGAACGCAAAAAUCAAGAGGCAAGAGAUCAAUCAAAAGAAAAAAAGGAGGCAACAACUAGAAUAAGAAUUCUAGCAACAAACCAGUUUUUAUUUCUUUUCUUCUCAAUGUUUUAGAUAUUGAAUUUGAUUACGUCUACUUCAUUAAUCAUGUUCUAAACUUCUAAUUUAGGGUUUCAUGCAGCCAAAACUAGAGACAAUGUUUUGAUUUUAUUUAGUUAUUCCUAUAAAAUUUUCCUUUCAGUUUAUUUAUGUUAUUGGUUUAAUGUUUUCAAUUUCUUGAUCAAUAAUUGAAUGAUUUGAUACUAGCCAAUUUCAACAUACGAGUUAGGGAGAUGCGAUCUAAGAAUAACACAAUCUAGGUUUUAUAAGGUUCGAGAGAAAGUAUAAAAUCUUUGAAACUUGAUCCACUUAAGAACCACGGACUUAAUAAUUUCUAGAUUUUACUAUGCAAUUGAGAUAUUGGAAUUGAAAUAUACAAAUAGUUUUUACUCGGCACUCGAGAGAGGGAGUAGAAUUACGUUAGGGUUCUUGCUUCUGAAUUUGAGAAUAUCGAUUAGAAAUAAUUAUAUAAUUGAAAAACAUUGUUGGUAGUAGGUUAAAUUCAUACCCAAGGCUUGUCAUAUUGAUUUAUUUCUUCAAUUUUGCAUAAUAUUGUUGAAUUGUCAUCAUAUUCAUCAUCUUUUGAUUUAGUUAGAAACAUUGAUUUAAACAUUCAUUAAUCUAGAUGAAAUAGAGGCUAAAAUAAUUAUAGUACUUGGUAUAAAUCGAAUUUAAAUCCCUGUGGGUUCGACAUCCAUACUUGAUCAUAAAUUACAAAACUUGAUACCGUAUACUUACGGUAUAAUUACAUCAUAAAACGUGUAAUAUAUUUUUGACACCAUUGCUGGGAUUGACAUAUUUGAUUUCAUUACUGAUAUUAUUACCAAUUAGCUUUUCUUUUAAUUUAGAUAUUUUAUUUUUUAUUUUUCUUUAUUCUCUAAUACUGUCUUGAUUUUUAUUUUUAGUUGUUUAUACAAAGAGCGAGGAAUCUUGAACUACUACCUGUUGAUCUUAAACUAGAAUGCACUUUCCAUUUUUCUAAGGGGUGUACAAAGAAAUGAACGUGAAAUAAUGGCAAAACAGAAAACACCACAGCUAGUGAAAAUAAUUAUCAAAGGGCUGUUUGGGCUACAUUCAACCAAUUAUAAAUAACUACUUUGGUAUUACACACUAGAUAAUAGCUACAAACAACUUUGACUUGAAGCUAGAAUUAAUACACAUGGUUCAACAGAAUCAGUUUGGGGAAGGUCCACAAGAUGAUCCUAACGCUCAUGUGGCUUUUUUUCUACAGAUUUAUGAUAUUGUGAAGAUGAACAGAGUUACAGAAUAUGUCAUCAGAUUGUGUUUGUUUUCUUUCUUCUUGAGAGAUAAAGCAAAAGCAUGGAUCCAUCACUACUUGGGAGGGAUAAGCCCAGAAAUCUCUUACUAAAUUCUUUCUCCCUUCGAAGUUAGCUUAAUUGUAAAAUAAGACCUGCUAGUUUAGACUAUUAGAUUUCGAACCAUUCUAUGAAGCCUUGGAUAGAUUUAAGGACUUCUUUCUCCCUUCCAAGUAAGCUCAAUUGCAAAAUAAGAUCCACUAGUUCAGACUAUUAGAUUUCGAACCAUUCUAUGAAGCCUUGGAUAGAUUUAAGGACUUGUUUACAAAAUGUACUCAACAUGGUUAUCAAAGUUGGAUGCAAAUCAAGAUCUUCAACAAGGGGUCGAAUGGUAAAAAUAGACAAAGUUGAUGCUACUACAGGUGGUAAUUCGAUAUCUAAAAACAUAGAUGUUGCUUCUUUACUGCUAGAUAAUAUAGCUAUCAACAGUUAUCAAUGGCUGGGUGAGCAAUCUAGUGCAAAAAGAGUUGCUGGCCUUUAUAAGAUGGAUCACAUCACUGCCUUUACAGCUUAGGUUUCAUUACUUACAACUUAGAUAGCUACACUAACCACUUAAGGAACUCGAUAGAAGGCGAAAUCAACUAUGAUUGCUCAUACACUACAUCAAAAAACUGAUAUAGUGAAUGAGUGAACUCAAUUUGUCAACUGCAAGAACUUCAAUCAGAGAGAAAACUACUUAUACAAUCAUUAUCAUCCUGGCAUUGGAAAGCAUGAAAAUCUAUCAUAUCAAGAAUGGAUUCCAGCUACCUCAUAGGUUCAAUAAUAAAAAAUCUGAAGAAAAACCAUCCCUAGAACACAUCCCUAUAAUUUUUAUUUCAUAAACAAGAUCGAUGUUCAACAAAGAUGAGUCCUUUUUAAAUAAUAUUUAGACUCAUAUGACUAACAUGGGAUCUUUAUAAAGAAUCUUGAGAUACAAAUUGGUUAGUUGUCUACUUCAAUAAAUUAUCAAUCGAAGGGAAUUUCCAAGUGAUAUAGAGAUUAACCUAAAGGAAUGCUGCAAAGCCAUUACAUUGAAGAGUAGCAAGGAAGUUGUAGAGAGUAUACCUAUAAAAGCAUCGAUUUCUACACUUGACGAACAUGAAGAGCAGAUAGUUGCAAAACAAGAGAUUAAGGUCAAGAAAACAAAAAAGGCUUACAAGCCUAAUUCUAUAGCAUUCCUUGAUAAUCCACUAAUCAUAAAGCCAACACUUCUAUUUCUUCAGAGAUUUUAGAAGAAGAAAUUUGAUGGGCAGUAUGUCUAGUUUCUCGAUGUUUUCAAGAAUAUUCACAUCAAUAUUCCAUUUGCAAAUGCCUUUGAACAAAAGCUAAAAUACACUAAAUUCAUGAAAUGUGUGAUGUCAAAGAAGAGGAAGUUGGAAGAAUAUGAGAUGGUGAAGUUGACAGAGGAAUGAAGUCUAAUUCUUCAAAAAGAAGCUCCUUUAUAAAAGGAAAGAUUCAAGUAGAUUCACUAUUCCUUGUACUAUUAGAGGCUCCGCUUUUGUUAAACCCUUUGUGACUUUGGGGCUAGAAUCAAUUUGAUGCCAUUGUUUGUUUUCAAAAAGUUGGGUCUCGAGAAAGUCAAGCCAACAUCAGUCUUUCUUUCGUUAGCCGAUAGAUCCCUCACAUACCCACAAGGGAGUAUUGAAGAUGUUUUAAUUAAAGUUGAUAAAUUCAUCUUUCCAGCUGAUUUUGUAGUUUUGGAUAUGGAAUAAGAUUAGAAAAUUCCACUAAUUCUUGGUAGACCAUUCUUGGCAACUGAAAGAUCUCUAAUUAAUGUACAUAGAGGCUAGUUGACAUUGAAAGUUAAUGAUGAAGAAGUGAUGCUCAACAUCUAUUCGGCCAUGAAAUUCCUAGUACUUACCAUAGAAUAGACUUUAUAAAUUCUAUGGUGGAGGAGGAGAAAUUGUUCAUUGAAGACUCCCUAGAGCAUUGUAUGAUGAUCAGUGCAGCAAGAGAAGAUAUUGAUAUUGUUGUAGGGUACACAUGAAGAAGAUACUUAGUUGAUUGUAUACUAGCACUUGAAUCCUUGCCAGUUGAAAAUAAUCCAUCACAAAGUAAAUACAUUCAGCAGCCAGUGAAUAAAGAUGAAACCUAAGGAAAGAAAAACACCAAAUCUAAGUUAAAGCAGCUUCUAGACCAUCUUUGAUAUGCAUUCGGGGAGGAGGAUCUUACAUCUUCAGUAAUUAUUUCUUCAUUACGUAUCAAAGUUGAAGAGGAAAAGUUACUUAAGAUAUUGAGAAAACAAAAGGCUGCAUUAGGUUGGUAUAUUGUAGAUAUUAAGGAGAUCAGUCCUAAAGUGUGCAUGCAUAAGAUCCUUAUAGAGAAAACAUAUAAAACAUCAAAGGAGAUUGAAUCCAGCUAUAAAAGAAAUUGUACUAGUAGAGGUACUAAAGCUACUAAAGGUUUUUAUCAUAUUUUCUAUUUUAGAAAGUGCAGCGUUAGUCCAGCACAGGUGGUGCCAAAAAAAUGUGGAUUACUAUGGUUAAGAAUAAUAACAACGAGCCAAUUCCUAUAAGAACAGUUACAAGUUGAAGAGUUUACAUUGACUACAAGAAGUUGAACAAAGCAACUAAAAAAGAUUGCGUUCCAUUUCCAUUGAUUGAUUAGAUGUUGAAUCGGUUGGUAGGCUAUUCUCACUACUAUUUUCUUGAUGGAUAUUCUGGAUAUAAUCAAAUUGCAAUCGCACCAGAAGUUAAGAUAAAACUACUUUAACUUGCUCUUAUGGGACUUUUGCUUUUCAAAAGAUGCUGUUUGCGUUAUGCAAUGCAUCUGCCACUUUUCAGAUAUGCAUGAUAGCCAUCUUUAUAAACAUUGCAGAGGAAAUUAUGAAGAUGUUUAUGGAUGAUUUUUAUGUUUUUGGUAUAUCUUUUGAUAAUUGCCUUCACAAUCUUUCUUUUGUGUUAUAAUGUUGUGAAGAAAAAAUUUUAGUUUUUAAUCGAAAAAAGUGCCACUUUAUAGUACAAGAAGAAUUGUGCUAGGCCACCAUGAUUCUACAAUAGGAUUGGAAGCUGAUAGAGCCAAAAUUGAUAUAAUGGUGAAGUUGCCACCAUAUAAAAACGAAUUCAAAGUUUCUUGGGAAAUGUUGGGUUCUACAGGAGGUUCAUUAAAGACUUUUCAACGGUAGCUAAACUUCUAUACAACCUUCUAGAGAAGAAUAUAACAUUUGUCUUUGAUGAAGAUUGUCUUAAGGAUUUUGAAACAAUUAGGGAAAAAUUGGUUACGUUAUUUUGUUAUGAUAGUGCCAGAUCGAAGUCAGCCAUUUGAAGUCAUGUGUGAUGAUGAUGAUUAUGUGGUGGGAGCAAUUUUCGGAGAAAGGUGUGAAAAGGUCUUUCGGGCAAUUCACUAUGCUAGAAAAGCUUUGAAUGGGGCUCGAUUGAAUUACACCAUAGCGAAGGAAGAUAUGUUAGCGGUGGUAUUUUUGCUUGUGAUAAGCUCUGGCGAUCAUGCAGUAAUUUAGUAUUUUCUUGCAAAGAGAAAUGCAAAGCCUCGCCGAAUUCGAUAGAUUUUGUUAUUACAAGAGUUUGAUGUGGAGAUCUGAGAAAAGAAUGAACGUGAGAAUGUAGCUAUUAAUCAAAUCUUGCGAUUGGAAAAUGAAGAGGUAAAACUAAAAGUCCAAUUCAAGGAAAUCUUUCUUGACGAGCUCUUAUUAUAGUUUCAUCCAAAUGUUCAUGGUACGUUGAUUUUGUUAAUUACUUAGCUUGUGAGAGGAUGCCACAUGACUUGACUUCUCACAAAAGAAGAAGUUCUUGCAUGAUGUUAACUUAUAUUUAUAGGAUAAUCUACCAUUCUUCAAGCACAUAUAUGAUAAUAAGAAGGUGUGUUAUUUUGGAAGAAACAUAUCAAUUUUGGAGCAGUGCCAUGCAUCAUCUUAUGGAGGUCACUUCUGUCCUACAUGUACACCAUCUAAAGUAUAACAAUCAGGAUUUUGUUGGCUAACUCUUUACGAAGAUUACUAAAUUUUUGUAAAGACCUAUGACUGUUGUCAAUGCACUGGAAACAUUUCAAGGCGUUAUGAACUUUCGUUGACUAACAUGUUAGAGGUUGAAAUCUUUGAUGUUUGAGGAACAAUUUAUGGAUCCUUUCCCACCAUCUUUUGGCAACUUAUAUAUUCUCCUUAUAGUGGAUUAUAUUUCAAAGUGGAUUGAAGCCAUUUGCUAUACCAACAAAUAAUGCAAAGCUAGUCUUAAAAUUCUUAUAGAAUAAUACCUUUAUUUGAUUUAGCAUACCUCGACCAAUUAUAAGUGAUAAAGGUGCACAGUCUUGCAACAAACUCUUCAACUCUCUCUUGGUAAAGUUUAAUGUAAGGCAUAAGUUAGCACUUGGCUACUAUCCCCAAUCAAAUGGACAAGCAGAAAUCUCCAACAAGAAGAUAAAACAAAUAUUGGAGAAAAUAGUAAUAACCAGUCGAAAAGUCUAGGCUCACCAGCUAGAUGAGGCAUUAUGGGCAUUCUAAACAACAUUCAGAAUGCCAAUUAGAAUGUCACCUUACCGAUUGGUAUUUGGGAAAGUAUGUCACUUACUGAUGGAAUUAGAGUAUAGAGCUUAUUGGGUUGUGAAGAAGCUCAACCUUGAUAUGAAAAUAGUGGGUCCAAACCGUUUCUCAACUGGAGGAGUUUCAGAAUGAAGCAUAUGAGAACAUAAAAAUCCACAAAAAGUGAACCAAAAUGUGGCAUGAGAAGAGGAUUUUCAGGAGAGAAUUCAAGCCUAAGAAAUAAGUGCUUUUUCAAUUCUCGUUUGAAGCUUUUCCCUGGAAAGCUUAAAUCACAUAGGUCAGGACCAUUCAUUGUCUAUAAAGUGUUUUCCUUUGGCUUCCUGGAGUUGUUGAGUAAAGAUGGGACAAUAUUUCGAGCCAAGUGUCAAUGUCUUAAACACCAUUAAUAUGGAGAGCAAAAGCGGAACGUAGAAUAAAUCUUUCUUGGAUAAUCAACCUAAAACUGCAUCAAUGUCAAGCUAAGGAUGCCAAAGAAGUGCUUCUUGGGAUUAACCCAAGUUUUAUCCCUCUAUUUCAAUUAAUUACAUAGGAGUUUACUUUUAAAGUCGAAACUAGGCACUGUAGCACCAUAAUUCAGGUACUACAACUCCACAACCUAGGCAUCCCGGCGUCCCAAACCCAAAGCUCCUUUAACUUAGCAUUAUUUUUUUUUUCUUUUCAAUUUUACACCCCCUUAUAUACUACCCAACUCACAAAUCAUAUUUAACCCCAAAAUUCCAAAUCCCUAAAGCUCCAACUCUCCAUCUCCAUCUUUUCACUCUAGAUCUUCAUCUCAAUCUCUACCACCACCUGCACGUCUCAUACAACCACCUCCAAUUUCUUAUACAUUUGGCCACCCUAUUAACCCUAGGAUCGAAUUUUCAUCUCUUAGUUUCAAUAUUUUAACCACAAAAAUUGUAACUUUCAUUCAUAAAUCAACCCAUCCAAGACACUAUAUUAUACAAUUAGAGGUUUGCUUGGGCUUUGAUUACUCUACCACAACAAGGAUUAUUCUACUGAAAGUAAGUGGUUUCUCUCUCUCUCUCUCUUUUGGAGUUAGUGAUGGUGUUGUUGGGGCCUUUGGUUAUAUACAUUGUGAAUCAUUGGUGAUAAAGUGAUUGUAGCUUAUGGUUUGAUUUGAAGAAGUUGGGUGACAUUGUUCUUUGAAUUGUUAAAGGUUGGAAUAGAUGCUCACUAAGUGUUUUACAAAAUUCUUAAAAGAAAAUCUAUAUCUUUGUUGCGAAUUUGGGUUUCAUAAUUGGAGUUUACAACAUAAGGGCAAUUUGACUUGGGUAUUGGUGGUUCGAAUUACUAGUUGCGCGUGUACUUUGAGAAAUUGACAUGGUUGAUUGAAGCAUUGCGAAUUGUUGACAUUUAAAAGUUUAAAAUGCUGUUGAAUAAGAAAUCCAAAACCAUGGCAUCUUUAUCCUCUACUUUAUAUGAUAAGAAAAUUUUAUAAGUUCUACUGUAGAAGAUAGGUACACCAAAAUGUUAGUAGAUCGAUAUUCUAUAAAGGAAGGGGCGUUGAAAACUAUAUGGAGGAUUAGAUUGCUAGUAGGAAUUGACAGGUAUUUACAAAAUAAUCAAGUUCAGCCUUGAUCCCAUUGGUAAGAGUAUUUUUCGCUAAUGCCAUGAAGCAUUCUUUUUACAGUUCAUCUAUCAACAAAUACUAUAAAGUACAAGAUCUACCUAAUGAUGACUACUUAAGAAUCCCUAAAGAAUGUGUUGACUGAGAGAAUACUCAAUGUAUUGGCCAAGAAAGUGAUUGAAGAGAAACGAUGAUCCACUGAUGUGAUGAACUUUCCAACGUCAAGUAUGAGUCUCGAGUGCAAAAUUUAGCACUACUUCAUCUCAGCCAAACUCCUUCAAACCAGUAACAUUAGUAAGGCAACCAAAGAAAGAGUAAUACUGAAUUAUACUAUUUAAGGGAUUACUCAAUUGAUAUUUGGAAUGUCAUUCACAACAACAUUCUAGCACCUAAUGGGGUCUACCACUGCUGGUUUAGGACAUCCCUCAUUAAUAUAUGAUUUAUGUAUAAAAGUGAGUGUCAUGGUAGAACCAUCUGAAGAGGUAGUACAUCCCAGACUAGUUCUCACGCCGCGCCAUAGGAGAAAGGUUUUUAAGUCAUUGGGGCUCACAAGUGAUUCUUCGAUACCUCAGGCACCUCAUCCAUCUCUACCAGCAAGAGAAACUAGUAAUGACAUUACUAGUCAACUUCAAGCCAUGAACUUGCAAAUGAUGCAAUGGCUGGAAAGAAUGCAACUGCAAUUGAAUCAAAUGCAGAACUCAAUGUACGACUAAUUUCUCUUAUCAGAAUAAUUUCAACAAAGCUUUUGGCGUCCAUGUUCCCUAAUCAGACUUUUCCUUAACCACCAUUAUUUCCUUAUCAUUCUCACAUUCUAGCUCCACCAAACCAAGAUACCAUGAGGACGAAAAUAAUUAGUGUCUUCAUUCGGGUCAGUUAUAUCUCGUCUUUAAUUUUACAUUGAAGAUAAUAUUUAGUUUAAGUUUGAGGAUGUAUUUUACCUUAGUUGUUUAUUUAGUUAAUAGUUUGUGUGUGAUUUUUAUUUUUUUCUUUCUUAUGUUUUAUGUGUUAUUAAGUCUGAAAUGUGAAAAAAAAAAAAUUCUAUGCUUUUGCAUGCUUGUAUGAGUUAGUUAGCAUUGCCAUUAACGAUGCAUAUAUUUGAGAAAUUAUGUCAGUCUGUGAAUUGUGAGUACAUAAUGUGCUUUAGUUAAGAUUUUGCUUAUACUUGUAAAAUGUUAAUAUAAUGAUGCAGAUUAAUCAAGUUAAAGUUGUUUAGGAAAUAUGUUUAUUCAUAUAUGGUUUAAGUUGAAUUAGUCUUGCAUACUAAAUCCAAAACAGUCAGUAAAAAUCUUAUAUCCUUAACCCAAUCUAGUAUACUUUGAGUGGUUUAGUUAUAGGAAAACUUGGAGAUAGAUGAGGAUUUAGUGUGUGUAUAUAUUGUGUGGAUUGUCUAAGACCAAUGUGAUGAAAUUUGGGUGAAAACCUUAAAUGAGAGACCGAUUUUUCAAGAAUGAGUGUUUAGUAAGAUGAAUUGCACUAAUUACCACUUCAAAGGGAAAAAGAUGCCUUGUUGUGGGGCUGUCCUAAAAAAUCUCAAUGAGGACAACUAUAAUAAUCUUCUUGUGAAACGUCUCUUCGUAGCCUUUAUGACUUGAGUGAUUAAGUCUACAGUGGUUUAAAGCCUGAUGCUUUAUAGUCAUCUUAUUUGAGAGUCAUCAACCAAAAGUUCGCUACAGAGGCCAUUUAGAAAGUUUAAUGGAAAAAUGUCCAAUUAAUUAGUUCUCCAAUUAAUUAAUUGCUUCGACUGUCAAGACUCAAUUAGGCUAAUUAUCCUUCAUCGAAAGUCAAAUUCUCUCGAACAAGUGUUAGAACUUAACAAGGUAAUAAGUGCUUUUACUUCUUUCAUGCACUUGCUUUUUCUAAUUUUUAAAAGAAUUUUUUUUUGGCACUCCCCCAUAAGCUUUCUAGAUGAUCUAUGUACCAGGCUUUAGGCUGAUUAUUCCCAAGUCAGACGACUUUAGGGCACCAGAUUUUCAAAUACCCUUACAAGCUUAAUAAUCUAAGUAAAAAAAAAAAAAAUUUCAAAGAGAAUAAUUUUUUUAUUUUUUUAAGGACAACUUCAUCUAUGAUCACUUUCUAAAUGAUCCCUGUAGUGAGCUUUAGGUUGAUGACUCCCAAGUCAGAUGACUUUAGGGUACCAGGUUUUAAUAUACCCUUGUUAGCUUAAUUACUCGAGUCAUAAAGACUUCAAAGAGAAGGUUUAAAUUUCAAAAUAUAUGCCUUGAUUAGUGAAAUGACCCUUAUCACACACCUAUUUAAGCAAAUCGACCUCCAAUUUAAGACUUUCAUCCAAUUUUAUCCUGUUAAUCUAAGACAAUCCAUACAAACUUUUUCACAUGAGGAAUCCAUAUUCACAUCCGUAUCUUCCUACAGAAGCAAGGUUACCCCCAAAUUGUACUAAAUUUGGUUUAAGGAUAAAUAAUAGUAUGGUUUAGGUAAAGCAACUAUUUCCAGCUUAAUCAAUCUAUCGCAUGCAUGAAUCAACUUAUUUCAUCAUAAUGUCAGCUCAGUUUUAGUGCGCAUAUAAUAUCAAGUUUUGCAAGUUUAAACUUCAAACAAUCUAGCAUGCAUCCUAUCCACAAUUCAUAAAUCAACACUAAAUCUCAAAUUUUAAUCAUCAUUUUCAAUCAAACUGUUUAGCCUACACAAGCACACAAUUAGAAAAAAUAGUAAUUGAACGAUUUUAUUAUUAUUAUUUUUUUACUUAACACACAAUUUUUUUAAAUAAACACACAAAAACAAACGCACAAAAAGAUACAAAAGCCAAAAGUAAGAAUAUAAAGAAAUGGGGAAGAAAAGAAAGAGAAUACUCCCUGAAAUUUUCUGUUGAAUGUGUUAGGCACUAUGGAUGAAGGCUCAACAAUCUCUUUCAUCAUACUUUUCCUCUGGUCUAUGUUGGUUUGAGUGUUCUACCAUGUCAUGUUCUUGCAUUUGACGGUCAAAUCAAAUGUUGGAGAUCAAAUAAUCUAGAACAUGUGUUACUAAGCCCAAACAAUCAAAAUAACCAACACUAGAUUCAAGGGCCUAAAAGGAACAUCGAGGAUGGUGAUACCCUACAAAUUGAAACAUCUUAAGUAUAAUGCAGACUAAUAAUCAAAAUAAAUCUACAUGCAAAUGUAGUGCAAAAAGUAAAAUAAAUAAAAGAGAUAGGAGGUUGGGUUGCCUCCCAAUCAGCAUUUAAUUUAUAGUCUUUAGCUGGACUAUCAGAUCGAUCAUUUUGGGUUAUGAAGUUGGAUGAGUGACUUCUCUUUAUCAAAGUCACCACCCUAAUAUGCUUUCAAUCGCUGCCCAUUUACUUUGAAGGUUCCUUUUGUCUCAUGACUCACUUCAACUACCCCAUAUGGAAAGACUUGAACAACUGUGAAUGGUCCAGACCAUCUAGAAUGCAAUUUUCGAAGAAAAAGUUUCAACCUAGAAUGGAACCAUAGUACUUUUUAACCUGGAUUAAACUUAUGCCUCUGGAUGUAUUUAUCAUGCAAUUUCCUCGUCCUCUCCUUGUACAGUUUUGUAUUUUCAUAGGCAUCCAUCCGAAAUUCAUCUAACUUAUUUAACUAUAGCAUCCUCUUAUCUCUAGCUAUUAUCAGGUCCAUGUUUUACUGCUUUAUUGCCCAAUAUGCUCGAUACUCCAAUUCCACUAGAAGGUGACAAGCUUUUCCAAAUACAAGGCGAUAUGGUGACAUGCCAAUUGGUGUUACACUACUCGAAUGGCAUCCUUCUGUAUGUAAAAGUACCAUAAGGGCAUGUAAAUGUAGUCUUCUCUGAUCGUUUGGAGCUACUGCAAUCUGAUUGUAACCUAAUUACCUAUCCAAGAAGCAGAAGUGUAAAUGUCCAGCUAGUCUCUCAAACAUCUGAUCGAUAAAAGGCAAAAAAAAGUGAUCUUUUCUAGUUACAUUGUUCAGUUUUCUAUAGUCUAUAUAUAUUCUCCAUCCUGUGACUCGUCUUGUCGGUAUUAGCUCAUUGUUCUCAUUCUUUACCAUUGCAAUACCUCCUUUCUUUGGAACAACAUGGGUUGGACUAACCCACUUACUAUUUGAGAUCAAAUAGAUGAUGCCUGCAUCAAGUAGUUUCAAUACCUCUGCUCGCACAACGUCCUUCAUGGUGGGAUUCAAUCCGCGCUGAUUUCCAUUGUUGGCUUAUACUCUUCUUUCAUCAAGAUUUUGUGCAUGCAUAUCGAUGGACUGAUUCCUUCGAUGUUUGCUAUAGACCACCCAAUGGUCGUUUCGUAUUCUCGUAAGACUCUUAGUAAUCUCUACUCUUCCAACUCAGUCAUCUCAUUUGCAAUGAUCAUGGAGAGUGUAGAUGACUAUCCUAAAAAAGCAUGCCUUAGAUGUCAUGGUAAUUGCUUGAGCUUAAGAUUUGGUGCUCUCUGGAUAGAAGGUAGUGGUUUACUAUGUCCAGUAUCAAGUUCCUCAAACUGUCUUCUUCUGAUGGAUGGCGCAGACUCUAUAAUGUAGGUAACUGACUUAUCUCUUCAACUGUUGAUGUUUUAUCUCGUGAAUGCACAGGAAUAUUUGUUUCAGCGUUACUCGCAAUGUUCCUGGUAGUCUCUUUGAAAGUGCCUUGGCUAUUUGUCCCACUUGAUUCUCCAAAUUUUUUAUGACAGCACCUUGAACUUGCAAGCUCUUAUCCGUACGUUACAUGUGUUGAGUGAAUAUUUCUAGUAACUUCAUCACAAGAUCUUCUAGCAAAGAUUUUUUCUCAUUUUGUUGAAAUCCUGGUAGUGUAAUCUAUUAUGGCGCAAUCUGAGCUCCCUAAUUAUUGCUCCAUUGAAAGUCUGGGUGAUUUGUAAUAUGUGUGAGGAUUUUGAUUGUGUUGUUGCCUUUGAAAAUUCUAAGUGUAGUUAAUGCCUUCUACUGUUUGAGCAAAAAGGGAUCCUACAGUACAGUCAACACUUUCGUGGCUCGUUCCACAAUGUUAGCAUUUCGGUCCCACCGCCAGGGCUAUACUCAUCUGAUCUACCUUCUGUGCCAAUGAUGCCAAUCGUGCUAAAAUUGUCGUUAAAAAAUCAACUUCGAAUACCCUAGCAGCUUUCUUUUCACUUGUUCUUUCUAUAGGCCAAAGUGCACUGGUGAAUACUAAAUCCUCCAUUAUUUGGUAGACCUGAUCCGUGGUUCUUUUUGCGAUAGAACCAUCGCAUGUAGAGUCUACAUUAGCACUGCUAAUCAGGUUCAAACUAAUGUAAAAGUAUUGCAUUUGAGACCACUUCUAUAAUCCGUGUUGUGGGCAUUGGGGAAAUAAACCUUUGUAUCAUUCUCAAGCCUCUGAAUAGCAUUCUGAGUCCAUUUGUUGAAAAGUAGUGAUCUUGUCCCUUAGUUUUACGAUCUUUUUUGGUGAAAAAUAUUUGCUAAGAAAUUUCUGACUCAAUUGUUUCCAUGUUGUGAUGCUCUAAGGUGGGCAAGUGUCUAACCAUGCCCUCGCUGAGUCCCUCAAUGUGUAUGGGAAGAGCCUUAGUCUGAUUGCUUUGCUUGAAACCCUUGGAUACUCAAUUGUUGCACACAUGUCCAAAAAUCUUGAUAUAUGAGCGUUGGGAUUCUCCGUAACUUUCCCAAAGAAUUGUAGCACAUUUUAGAACAUGUUGAUAACAUCUAUUCUCAGGUGGAAGUUUGCUUGACCAAACACUAGAUAUAAUAAACUAGACUGGCUUUCCACUAUCGGUGGAACCAUAUACUCUCUCAUGAGCCUUGCGUUUUCAUUUACUACAGUUAUAUUCGGUUGUACUACUCCUAGAUUAGCCCCAAUGGCUAUUUGAUUUGGAUUUUCAUUUGUCAUAUCUUCCUCUUUCUGUUUUUGGUGUGUUUCAAACUGUUGUCUUCUUCGAAGGUUGAAUGUUCGUUUGAUCUCUCGGUCAAAUUGAGCAUGAUCACCGGUUCUCGAGCUUCGCAUACAACAUCCUAAGAAUGAGAGUAAGAAACACUGUAAAAAUUUUCUAAAUUAAUAAACUAAAUAAAAAAUAAAAAAAUAAAAAAAAUUAGAUUAAAGGUAAAAUUAGUUAAAACUCAUAAAAAACUAUAGUCCCCGACAAUGACGCCAAAAACUUAUUCGUUUGAUUACGUACAAGUGAACAGGAUCGUGAACAAGUAAUAUAAUAGUGUAUAGAGUGUCAAACCCACGAGGACUAUGUGUUUGAUUGAGUUAAACCUAAAAAUUCCCUUAAUCAAAUAGCAAAAUUGAUUGUAACUAACAGUAUUAAAUCUAUUAACUAAAUUGAAAGCAAUGUAAAAAUUCAUCAAAUCUGAGAGACGUAUUACUAAGAUGUAAAAUCCCCCUUGCUAAUCCAUUUUUAGUUCAACAAAUUAAAUUGACAAUUUGAAUCAUGCUUGUUGGUUAAUGUUCCUAUUUUAUUUAAAAGCUUCUCUCGAUAGCAAUUAAAUCUAUUAUCCUCUUUUGACCUUCCCAUCUCUCGAUGAAAUAUGCGAACAUGGUAAAUGCUACAACUUUAAGGUUGCAAACCCAAGUAUAGGUUGUCUCAAGUAUAAACUCGGAAGUCCGAGGUAGAACCACAUGAAUUUGGAAGGAAAUGAACUAUUCUAUGAGUGGUAAAUGAUUGGUGGAAAUGCGAUAAAGAAGAACACUAGAGUAUUGGGGAUUCACUUCGGAUAAUUGAGUACAAAUUACUCUUGAUCUUUUAUUUAACUCAUAUGAAAUAUUGAAGAUAAAAUAUUGAUCACAGAUAUACUAAAAGAUAGAUCUUGAUAAUUGUUUGAGAGAAUAUGUCAAAAUAAGUUGUUGGUAUGUAGAAAUUAUCUAAGCAUUUAUUGUGCCAAAAUUUAUCAACAAUAAAUCAAAGUUUUUAACAAACCAAAACUAUUUGUAGAACAUAUACUUCAACCAAGUAGGAAGAUGAACAUUGAAGAAUAAAGUGAAAGAUCAAAAACAAUACUAGAUAUUUACCAAAGUUUCACCCCUAGCUCUAGCUAAAGUUUUAAAAAUACAUAAUGAAAUGCUACAAAGAAAAUGAAGGAAACUAGAAUAUGAUAAAGAGGAAUUGAUGCCCUCAAAAUCUUGGCCAAUGUCCCCCUUUUAUAGGCAAAGGAACAUCUAAAAUGCAAGUGAAUAAUGCAACUUGUUUCUGUUCCAGCUUCAAGACAGUUGGAACAUGCAAUUUGAUACCAAUUUUUAGAUACUUUGUGUAGUGAAUUUGGAAUUAUGAUCCCAGAUAAAUUGUUGUCACUUGAGUUAGCUUUCCAUUGGUACAAACAUCAGGUCCAUUGGAUCUCUAUAACUUCAGAUAUGGCAAAAAAAUGAGUGCUACUCAUAGUUAGAAAAGUUGUAUCCGGUAGGUAACAACUUAGAUUUUGCACGAUAAAUUUGACUGCCUUAUGAUGCUAAUUUGACUUCUUGGUAAACAUGAAAGUUGUAAAUACAUAUCUUAUCUUUCCAACUUGACUUGAAUAACCUUGUUUUGAUAGCUAAAGCUCGAGUUAUGACCAUUUUAUCGAGACAACUAAUCAUUUUUUACUUUUCAACAUCUUUUCUCCACUUGUUCUACCUUGGAAAUACAUGUGACAUACAUCAAACAAAUACUCUUUCAAAAUUAUAAUACUCAUGCCACAUGUAUUUAAAUACAUAUUUUGAUUAAUUGUACUUUUGACCAUGUAUUUAUGAAAAUUGAAUUUACGGUAAGAGAAUUGAAAUUAGAGACUAACAUUAGUGUUUUUAAACAAAGUGAAUGAAAAAUGCAUGGUAAAUAAUAUAUUUUUGAAACACUUUUAGACACUAAUCAAUAAAUGCAUUAAAUGAGUUACAACAUCUUAUAACAACCAUAUGAAGUAUAGAGGUAUGUCUCUACUCUUUAUCGAACCUCACAAUGCUUAUUACUAUGUUCUAAUGAUCUUAUUACCUCUCUCGAUGAUAAUAAAAUUUACAAACAAUUCAAUUAAUGACCAAUUAAUUGAAAAGCUAACGAAACAAUAAUAAAUAUCCAAAUAAUUAAGAAAUUAUCAUCAAAUUAAUUAUUCAAACUAAGAAAUUCACAAUAAGGGUUCAUCACAUCCUAGCAAUAUUAAAAAGUUUAGCCAAGCAUAUUGUUGAAAUUAAAUGCACACAAGCUAAAAGACAUCACCAAACUAUGACGGAACGUGAUUAAUUCUCCCUAUUAAAGUUGCUUUCUUCUUCCUCGUAUUUUGUCAGUUUCUACCUGUCUUCAGUGUGUGUAUAAUAAAAAGGCAGUAGGCAACUCGUUUCUUCUUUUAAACUUCUCUCUCUCUCUCUCUCUCUCUCUCUCUAUAUAUAUAUAUAUAUAUAUUAAUUAGUUGUUUUGAAUUCUUUUGUUUUUUGUUCCAGCAGGCAGUUUCUUCUUCUUCCUUUGUCUGCGUGUGUGUAUAACAUAUUUCUUGGUGCCCAAUUUCUGAAUUUUUCCUUUCUUCCUUGGCUACCGUUUAUGUUGUGUGUAUAUAUUAAUUAACUUCAAUCGGCAGCCCGUGUUCUUUUGUUUGCAGCAGCCCAAUUUGUCUCCCAAAAGUUUAACUCUAAUUCUUUCAGCAGCAAAACUGAUUUUUGUCUCCCAACCGCCGCCUUCAAUAUAACUGAUUUUUUUCUCCCAACCGCCGCCUUCAAUAUUUCUCUCCUUUUUCCUCCAACUUGGUGCCAUAUUUUCUAAUGUGUAUCCCCUUCUCAUCCCUAGCUUCCUGUGUGUAUAUUUAUAUCUACUACAACAGCAAUAAGUUGGAGUCCAGCUUGGAGUGAAUUUCUUUGGAUAAAACACACCAAAAACUAAAGAAAGUUCAGCCCACUUUUGUUUUCAAUUUCCUACAGCUUGAUUGGCUUUAUUCCAGUUAAAGUCCAAACAUGAGGCCCAUUUAAUGUAUACUUUUCUUCAAGCCUUCCUUUCUUUUAAAAUAGCGCAAUUUAGUCCCUCUUUCUUUCCAGUUGCUUCAAACAAGUCCAUCACUGAAAUAAACAAAAUUAACUCAAAUUAAGUAUAAAAUUCACUAAUUUGACAACAUACAAGUUUAGUACUAUAUCGUAAAUAAGUGCACAAAAUGCACUUAUCAUUAAUUAAGGUAUGCAGUGCAUCUUUUGUUUAAUGCAGCUAUUUUUUUCGAACUUGCUAUGUGUAUUCUAUCUAAUGCUCUAGCACUAUCCCUUUUGAGUUUCUUUUUGGGAUAUUGAAUAUUUCUUCUCACUAGGAUUAGGUUCACAACAUGACAAUUUUUUUCCUCUUUAUGCAAUAAUUAGUAUAAUGUCACUCAAUAAAAACACAGUAUCAAGAACUAACCACAAACUUAAGAUUUUUAAGUUUUCAUCUUGUAAGCUGAUAAGUGCAUUUUGCACACUUAUCUGGAUCAUAUUACUAAGCUUUUAUAUCAUGAAAAUGUUUACUUAACUUGGUUAACUUUCAUUUAUCUCAAUGAUGGAUCUAUUCCUAUUGCAAGUGGAAAGGAAAAAUGGGAAAUCUAAAGUACGAGGGCAAAAUUGCAAUAUUUUAAUAGUUGAUUCGGACCAUAAAAUGAAGAUUAAAGAUAUUUCGGGUUCAAUUGGAUGCAAUUAGAAGUCAAAGGGUUGAAAUUGCAAGAGAAAGGAUUUAAAAGAAUUAAGAAUUGAAUUUGAAAACUAAAAUGCAACAUUCGGAAGUUUUUAUAAUUGGGCGACUGCCGUGUUAUUUAGAGUGGGCGACAACCCAACAUCAACGAACGGUUAUCAAGGUAAAAAACAUAGCUUGGUUGACUGUGCCCGGGUUUUGCCUGGGAGAUUGUCCAAGUCAAUCGUGGGGAAAAAUUAUGAUUUCCUUAUCUGAUUGAAAUUCUUAUGGAAACAAAUCUUGAAAAGUAUUUUAAAACCCUAAGGUCAUCCCUAAGUAGGCACCACUCAUUCUAAUUGAUUUGUAAGAAUUUGGAGAGCAUUGACGAAGGCAAGAAACAUGAAGAACAACCCGAAGACCCGAGGAUUCAAAUCAAUAAUUAAUUUGGUGAUGUCGUUUCUUCAAGAUUCCUUUUUGUUUUCUAACUACCCCCACACCUUGGCUUGGUGCCUCCGAGCCUCGAGCCGGACCGGUUGGGCUUUUUUUGAAGCCAAGCCAUGGUUGGCUUGAGCCGACGAGCCCGAUUGCCAUCCUUACUCUCGAUGUUUGUGCCUCGAAUUAGCCAACAAAUUUUUUUUUGUCUACAAAGGGUUUUUUGCACAAAUAAAAACAUUUCCCUAUGAAUAAAUUUUUUAGGAAAAAUGUAAAAUUCUUGUAGUACAUUGAACCACUUGUUCUUCGCUAGUGGCAGGCACCUAAUCCUCCUUGAUCCGUUUUGUUUUUUUUAUAAUGAUUUCUAGUAGCUAAAAUCUAUAUCUCUUUGUGAUGGCUUGAGCUUGUUCCUCUUUUAGUGACAUAUAAGCUCGAAUGGGGAUAACUAACUUGACUAAUGGUGUCUCAAUAACUACAUAAUCUACAACUUUAAUUGCUAAUAACGGUUGUUCUUCUUCAUUUUUUUUUUUUUUUUUGUCACUUGGAAAGGUACUUGUGUUAUUUUUUACAAUGAAGCAGUUAUUGGCCCACCCGAGUUUCCAAAUUACUGAUUGCUACCUGCUAGUUCUAAAAUUAGUCUCAGUCUUUUUAAUGUAUUGAGUCAUUAGAUCUCCUAAAGAUGACUUCUUCUCUCGUUCCUAAAAUCUUGGUGGUGUUAUCAAGAAUCUUUUUUCCUAAUCUAGUUUUAUUAAUGUUUUCUCGACAAUCGAUAUACACGUUAUAUUUCUUCCUGACUCGAUCAUAUUUCUAGUUCGAAUUCAAAUGAGUAGAACACAUUCAAUUAUACGAUUAUCUAAAUGAUUGCACAUGUGAUAUUGUUACCCUAAUAUCUAUUGCCCGUAUGUUAACCUUGUAGCAUUCUAAACUUAGUUUUGAAAUAAUUAAUUCUAGUAAUAACAAAUUUUCGGGACUUUACAUGUUACUCAUGAAGGAAGCACCGUUUUGUGUUCAAAAUGAGAAAGAGAUUGACGAUGACAGCAAUGACCAAAGUUUGAGUUUUUGAAAAUAUAUAUAUAUAUAUUUACCACUUAUUUCAAUGACUUCCUACCAAGUAUUAUUCAUGUUACUCAUCCCUAUUAAAAUUUUACAGGUUGAUUCGAGGCAUGGUCGUGAUUUGGCAUAGUGGCAAGUGCUCAGUGAUUUAAAAAGGUGUCAACUUUCUAGUAAAAUUUCCAGUUUGUGUAAAUGUGUUUUGAAUUCUUAGAUGACACUUUUAAAAAUGUUUAGAUGUCUAUUUAAUCUAAUUUUAUAUGCAUUGUACGUCGACCAUAAUUGAAAAAUGUUGUAUUUGACUAUGCAUGAAGUUUAAGUAUUGCUGUAAUGAAAUUUCAGAUUCUUCCCUUUCACUCAAAGUAGCAUAACUUGGGUGACAGUACAUAUUUUAGAGUGAAAUCAGUGGGAUUUGAAAGGUUUACGAGUUUUCUAAUAGUGACCACUGGAAUUACCCAAAAAUAUUAUCUAGAUAAAAUGUUAUGCCUGUUUUAGCAAACUACGUUGGGUCAGAUCCGAAUUUUAUGUCCAGCAUAGUCGAAUAAUAUUUUCGUGCUUCAAACAUUGUCGUCGAGACCCCAAAUUUUUAUAUGUUGUACAAAUAUGAAUGUUUUAGUCUCUGUUGAAAUUUCAAAAUUUUUAGUCAUGAUUUACUAGAUCAAACAUAUUUUUCUUUCCACUGCUACGAAACUGGUAAUUGAUGAAUUUUUUCCAAAUGUUUUCCAAAAAUCAAAUCUUACCAUAAGUGUCUAAGUUUACAUGGGCAAAUUUCUCUCAUUAUUUUUCAUAUAUUUCAAACUCCAAAAUUUUUCUCAUUUGCAAUUUUUUUUUUUUUUGGUUGACAUCAAAGGGGUCAAACCAAAGAAGGAUUGAUUUUAUUUUAUAACGCUUCAUGUUCCGAGAGUUCGGGGCAAUAUAGGGCAGAGAUCCCCUGAGUAUUUGAUCACGUUCUUGAUUUAUAAAAUGUGAAAUUAGGUUAAGAAACACAUCCAAAUUCGCUAUAAAAAGAGUCUCAAUCAAAUAAAGAAAAUUAACUUUGCGUCGCUCGUGGCCAUGUUUGUACAUACCCGUCAGUAUUUUUGUCAUAUCUUUCUCUUCCAAUGUCCAAUUGAGGUGAUUCAAAACUCAUUGGAAACCUAACUCAAACGGUUACAAUUUUUAUGCACUAUCAUUUUUCCAAUUCAAAAGUUUUCUAUGGAAAAGAAAAGCCUCAUUUGAGGUCAAAAAUCUAAAGCAUAACUUGUUUAGUUGGAAAUUGAUCCUUUGUAAUCUUCAAACAUUUUCUGUGGUCCAAAUCAAUUGUCGGAUAUUUUUUCUUUGGUCCCCAAAUUUUGGAUUUCCUUAGUUUCAUUAUCUUUGCUUCUUUUGUCUAAUCCCUUCAAUUUGUAUCGAAUUUCACCUAACGAAGCUGCGCCUGAAGCAGAAGUUUUUUCUCAUCAUAUGAUAGAAGACAAAUCAUUGGAAGAUCACUUAGUUGUGUUUAAAGAAAUUAUCGCUAAUUUGAGGACUUUAGAGGUAAAGUGUGAUGAAGAAGAUUUAGCCUUAAUUCUUUCAUAUUCAUUGCUUGUUUCAUUUACAAUGUUUAGAGACCUGAUCUUGUACUGUCGUGAUACUCUCAACAUUCAAGAUACAUAUAAGACUUUGUUUUUAAAGGAGAAGAUGAAGCAUCUGGUUGGAUCUGAGGCUAGAGAUGAAGAAGGCCUUUUUGUUCAUGGUGGUCAUAGAAAGUGCAGGUUGAAUUCUAAUUUCAGUAAUCUAGUUUUUAUUGCAAGAAGAAAUGACACAUCGAGAUCGAUUGCAACAAGUUACAAAAUAAAGGAAAUUUGCUACAAAUCAAAAGGUAAGGCAACCAGAAACUUUAGGUGAAGUCGAUGUUGUAGAGGACUAUUUGUGUGAUGGAUAUAUCUUGGUUGAUUCAGACAACGACUCCAAUCCUAGCGAGGAUUGGAUUCUGAAUUCAACUUGUGCUUUUUAUAUCUCGAUCUGGAUUUGUUUUCAACAUAUGAAAAAUAGUUUCAAAAUGUGUCAUGGUCACGAGAAACAAUGCACAUUAUCGAGUAGCUGAUAUUGGUAGAGUCAAACCUAAGCUGUUGGAUUGGAUUCUGGAUUCAGCUUGCGAUUUUCAUGUGUCCCAAUCUGGAUUUAUUGUAAACAUAUGAAAUAGUUUCAAAAUGUGUCAUGGUCAUGAGAAACAAUACACAUUAUCGAGUAGAUGAUAUUGGUAGGGUCAGAUUUAAGCUGUUGGAUUGAACAUUAAGAACACUUGAUCACAUUCGACAUGAUCCAAAUUUGAAGAAAAAUCUCACAUAGUUGGCUACUAUUGAUUCAGAAGAGUACAAGUUCAUUGGUGGAGAUGAAGCUUCUAAGGUUUGCAAAAGUGUUUGGUUGUACUAAAUGGGAAGAAAAAAAUCCCAGUUAUACAUCUUAUAAGGUUGUGCAGAAUAGUUGAAGAACAAUCAACAAAGGUUUAGUACCAUGGUGGGUAUUCAGUUUGGUACAGUACUGUUGGGAUUUGAUUUAUGGUCUGUGUUGGAGAAUACGGCUAAGUCGAGUUUAGAUAAUAUGGGUAAUGCCACUUUGCCACCCUCACCUACGGUGCCAUCAUAUCCAAAUGUUAGGAACAAACCCAUUGGAUAAAGGUAAUUCUGCGGAGCAAUGCUUGGAUUCAAUUAUCCUAGUUGGAUAUCAUAAAAGAGGCAGAGAAUUUUUGGAUUGUUGGAAAAGUUAAUUCAGUUCUUGUUAAAGUGUUGAAUUUAUUCCUUGCAAUCGAGUUUUUUCUCCACGUGGAGAAAUUUUGAAGCUUUGUUUGUUACAGUGAAAUUUGUAUCAAGGUAGAGAUUACCGAGUUUGUGACCUAAAUUCAUCUAGGGUUUGCCUAAUUUGGUGUAUUGGGUCUUGAAAACGUCUAAAUAAGGUUCAUGAAAAAAAUGGAAUGACGACGCUAGCCUACUACUAGUUGGACAUUUGAGCGGUGAGAUAAAAUUUUCAAUAGAGAACCUACCACUCGUUUACCACUCAAUUGGGGGUUAAUAACUCAAAUAGUCACUGAACUUUGCAAAAAGUUUUCAUGGGGUCACUGAACUUUAAAAAUUAUCAAAUUUAUCACUGAACUUUGCAAAAGGUUCCACGGGGUCACUGAACUUUAAAAAUCAUCUCAUUCAUCACUAAACUUUGUAAAAGGUCUCCAUGGAGUCAUUGAACUUUGCAAAAGGAUUCCUAGGGAUCACCGAAUUAGUGAUCCCCUGGAAUUUUUUUUGUAAAGUUUAGUGAUGAAUGAAAUUAUUUUUAAAGUUCAGUGACCUCAUGGAAACCUUUUGCAAAGUUCAGUAAUCUCGUGAAAACCUUUUGCAAAGUUCGAUAAUGACUUUGAUGAAUUUUAAAGUUUAGUGUUCACACGAAAACAUUUUACAAAGUUCUGUGAACAUUUGGGUUAUUAACUCCUCAAUUGGUACUCGAAUUAGGAGCCUAGUGCUCGCUUGGCGCUUGAGCAUCGCUGUCAUCUAGAUUUUCAUUGUUUUGUUUAUUCCACAUGAUUUUUGACCUAGUUUCCAUCUUAAAAACUAUUAUUGGGUUUGAAAUGUACCCCUUUAUAUAUUUGGCUUAUCCUCAUAAUUAGAAUAGGUUUUACCUCAUUAUUACUACAAGUUAGAAUUGUGCAGAAACACAAUAUUGUUAUAAUUUCUAUCUCCAUUAUAAUUGAAUAAAAUCUUCAAUUCCUCUACCAAAUUGAAUUCCUACUUCAUGUGUUCUUGUUGUGUUGUGAUCGAUACUUCAUAUCAUGUCAUAUACCUCAUCCCGACCCCCAACAAGUGAUAUCAAAAAAUCAUAAUCCUUGUUCAGUUUCUAAUAGAAUUGAAAUUCAAAUCUUUACGAAUCCAAAAUAUUAAGUGUAUCUUUGAUAAGGGUUUUUUUUUUUUUGAGAUUAUAUGCUGUAAAUUUUAUGAAAUGAGUGAAUAUAAAGUAGAUAUAUGUAACGCCCUGAAAAUUUAUGGAAAAUUUUGUUUGUACUCUAUACUAUAUUUUUAUAUUUUUGAAACUUGAGGGGAAAAAGUGCAUUGUAUUAAACUCAAUUUUAUUUUGGCCAAAUAAUUAAAUUUUUUAGAGCGAUAUUUAGUAUAUCAAUAUGGGGCUCGUUGAAUAGCUCGUAAUUAAUCAUGUAUAUUAGGCUCUAGAAAAAGUUAAUUCAGAUAAAUGAAGCCUAAGUUAUUAAAGUUUAACGAAGUCGUCAAUAAAUAUUAUUUUAUUACUUACGUUUGUUUUGUGGAAGUGGUAGCCACGUGGGAUUGUUGAGAUUGAAUUAAAAUGGGUUGUUUUAUUUGAAUUGGAUAGAAAUUUUGGGUAAAUUAGACUUCUACUUUCUAUAUACACACACACAUACACAUACACAUUUAUGCAACUGUUUCCCACAAAGAGAAAGUCAGAUUUCCUUUCACCAUACUACAUAAUUUUUAUAAACACAGAAGUAGGCCGAAAAUAAAGUUGGAACGUGAUUUUGGUUUUAUUUUUUCAAAAAUUCAUUUCAUCUAACGAGGUGUUGUUACUUUUAUCCCGUUUAAAUUGUUUAAUUCAUGUUGUUGAAUUAUUAUGCUUAUAAAAUUUUAAAAAUAUGAUAUGAUAUAUAUGUUAUGGCCAUUCGAUACCAAAGAUAUGAUGUUUAUUGAGCUCUUACUAGUUUCUAAAUAUAUGAUGAUGAUAUGAUAUUUUUAACACAUGUAUUUGAAUUUUUUUAUUCGAAAUUGCACCAUGAUUUUUUCAUGUUCUAUACUGUUACUGUCUUCUUCCGCUUGGACGCCGACCAAUCAGCUAUCUCAGAAGUGGUAAAGAAACUCGUUUUUCUUCCUGAGUGAACGCAGUUCCGAAUUGAAUUCUAUGCACUCACCCUUUUUUCUACUCCUCGCAGAUUAAAAUAGGUCAUUGGUUGACUGUCAAUGCGGUGUCGUAGUGAUGCCAGAAAUUAUGGAAUUCAAUAAAAAUAAAUCCAGAGUAACAUGACUAUGGACUUUUAUUUUUUUGCGUGAUUUCAGUUUUUUAUUUCCAUGUGAAAUUUGGUAUUUAGGAUUUGGGACAUGUUUCAAUUGAUUAUGUCACAUAUAUUUUUUAUUUAUUUUACUGAUGGAACUAAAAAUUUUCAUGUUGAGAUGUUUGAAUAAUUUAUUUAAUUGUGGAAUAAAAGUUCUAGUAAUGAUCUAAAUUAAUAUUUUGGAUUGUUACAGUUUUGUAUCAGAGCCUAGGUUUAAUUUUUUUGUAGAUCCAUAUAUGUUUUCAUAAUAUGAGUUUUGAAAAAUAAAUUAAUUAAUAAAUAACAAGAAUAAACGAAUUGGGUGUAAAGAGGAAGGAUAAAUAAACAAAUAAAUAAAAAGAGUUGUGUGUAUUAAAAAAAGAACAGUGACAUUACUGUUCAUUGGUUAACAGUGAGUAAAAAAAAUCAAGAACAAAUAAUAAUAAAAUAGAUAAAUAAAUGAUAAAAUGAGAGGGUGGUUGUUUAAAUGGUUUAUAUAUGUGUGUAUACGUAUUUGUAAUUUUUUUAAGAAAUACUUCUUUUGAAUAAGUUUUAUGUUUAGCCACAAUGGUCACUAAAUUAAUUAGUUACUAGGUCCUUUUUUUUCAAUUUGUGAAAUUUCAUAAUAUUCCAUGCACUAGUUUGUUAUAUUUUCUAGUUACUGAAAUUACGAAGUUGUCCCUAUGUUAAAAAAAAUUGAAUUCCCAUUUUAUCCUUAACAUAGCUUGGAAAAUAAAUUAAAGUUAUGUGAACAUGUGAAAAUAUUUUUAAAACAUUAGUUUUUAUAUUAAUUUUAGUUGUUAUGUAUAAUAAAUGAUUACAUGCUUAGCCUAGAAUUUUCAUGAUAUUUGUUGAUAAUUAAUAUUUUUUAAGAGAUAAAUUUUAAAAAUGAUAAUUAAAAAAAAAAGAUCUUAAAUACAUAAAAAUAUGAAAGACCUUGGAACUCAACAACCACCGAUCGGCCACCAUCCAAUGGCUCUAAGGUAUGUAAUAGGUAACGAAAUAAAUAACUAUUUAAAUAUUUUGUGUAACUUUACAUUUUCGAUUUGCCUCCUUACAGAUUUGAUGAUAUGCAUAUUUCUCCUGCUAAAUUUAUGAUUCAUGUCUCAAGUAAACACAUGAUUCUGUUACUGGUAUAUGCAAGCAUGAAGUACAUUUUGUUACCAUAAUAAGAAUAUAAACAUGAUAUGUUGACCAUAAUAGAAUUGUACUAUAAUAUAUAGAAGAUUGACAUGGAUGGUAUUAUUAUUAUUAUUAUUAUUAUUAUUAUUAUUAUUAUUAUUAUUAUUAUUAUUAUUCUUAUUAUUAUUAUUAUUAUUAUUAUUAUUUUCAAAUGAGGAUUUUAAGACCAAGUAUCUAAAACUCCUCGAUUAGCCAAAUAAAAUUUCGAGGAUGGAAUUCUUUUAAGAAGGGGAGAUUGUAACGCCCCAAAAACUUAUCGAAAAUUUUAUUUGUACUAUAUGCUAUAUUUUUAUAUUUUUGAAAGUUGAGGGGCAAAAGUGCAAUAAAUUAAACACAAUUUUAUUCUAGCCAAAUAAUUAAAUUUCGUUAGAGCGAUAUUUUUUUCAUCAAAAAUUAUAGAAAUGUUGUUAUUGUUGUUGUCGUCGUCGUCGUCGUCGUCAUUAUUAUUAUUAUUAUUAUUAUUAUUAUUAUUAUUAUUAUUAUUAUUAUUAUUAUUAUUAUUAUUAUUAUUAUUAUUCUGGCUGUAUUUUUAUGGCAUGAGAAAUAUAAUUUUGUUAAUAUAUGUUUAGGAUCUUUUGGUCAUGUAAGUAGUAGUUCAAAAUUUUAUUACAUUGUUUUAAAAGUUAAGAUCUAUAUAUUGUUCAAAAUCAAAAGUUUGUAUUCUUUAAAAGUCGAGUUAGUAUUUUAUUUUAUUUAUUUUCAAUAGGAAGUUAGGAUUCUACUGUAUUAUUCACCUAAUUGGUUAACUCGUAAACUAGUUACAUUUUAUUAUAUGCAUCACUAACAAAGAAGAAGAAUCAAAGUUAGCUUGCAAUUCCAUAAGUUCCUGGAGAGAAAUCAGCCGCUUCACAUUCAGGAUGCUUCGCAUAGGAAAUGUUGUAGUGUCCGCAUUGAUAUGUUAAUUUAAUGAAAUCACUCGGUGUUAGACGUAAAACAAGUGCCAUGUGAGAAAAGGUGAUACUCUUUGCUCCCAAAGAGUUAGGAAGGUAAUUAAAGAUAUUAGCUGUACACCAUCAACCUAGAUUCGAUGAUGUUACAAAAAGCAGCCCAUUCACUAUUACUUCUUUUUGACUGACAUCGUUGAAACAAAACAAAAUUUAAGUGAUUAAAUUAUAAUGUUCAACAACCACGAGAAAUUUUGAUUUAAGUGCCUAGAAACUACUUCGAUUAUUAAGAGUACCGUUGAGAACGUGGGGAUUUUAUUUUAUUAACAGUGGAAAACACUGUUCAGUUUGUAUAAACAAUAAUAAAGCAAGCUUACAGCAAUUGGAAAUUUCGGUUCUUGAAUCUAAUGGAAGACCAACACCCUUCAGCAGAUAACACCAGAGAUACCUUUUGUAAAAUUCUAAUUACAGAAGAUGAAGGUGAAGAUCAUCAUCCGUAUUUCGAUGGUCGCCAAAUGCACAGAGUGCCCAAACUUGUGCGAUUCAAUAAACACAAGAAAGAGGAUUACUACACUCCUAAAAUGGUUUCCUUUGGCUCUUAUUACGAUCGCUUUCCAGAACUUCGCAUGGCAGAAGAACUCAAGCGUAAAGUCCUUGAGGAAUUUGUUUCAAGCAGCUGCAAAGAAUUAUUCAACCUCCAGAUCUGUGAAGUGAUCGACCAGAUUAGAAAUUGUUACAUUGGGGUUUCUAGAGAUGAAUAUGAUGAUGGAGCACUAACAGAAAUGAUGCUUCUAGAUGCAUCUUUCGCUAUAUAUAUCAUGGAGAUUGAAUUGGGAGAUAUCGAUAAAUUUAAACACUCCCGUCGGCAUCUUGGAGCAGAUGCAACGCCAUUUGUAUCCAAGGAUCUGAUUUUAUUCGAGAAUCAAAUACCACCCAGGGUUAUUAAGCUCCUGUGUGAAUUAAUGCAUGGAAAUGAAUGCACUUUAAUUUGAGACUUCUUAAGUUUCUUUAUGUUUAAGAAGAAUUCCGGGAGUAAAAGAAGGGGAACCACUACACCUUCAGGAUGCUUAUUGAAAGAACGAGAAAACUUCAUGAUUAACUACAGUUUUAUGAUCAAGCCAUACAAUAACAGAAAUAAAUGCAAAAACUAAAAGAAUCAACAUGAGGAUUUUUUCGGCAGUAGCCCCAGAGGUUCGGCGACCACUUUCUAACGACUAAUCCCUAGUUGAGCAUCCAUUAUAAAUGGAUAAAACUCGGUUGCACUAAUAGCCCAAAACCGGCAACAAGUAUACAAGAAUAUUCCAGAAAUAUUACAAAGAACUAAACCACAAACACUUAUCUUUGCAAGAGCUACACAAUAGGACAAUAUUCCACAAAGGAAUUGAACAGAUCACAAAGAUCUUUCAAAGGACCAGAACUGCACACGAUGAAUCACACGGAUUCAUCCAAACACCACACGGAGUAGCGCACUAUUACGCAGAUCUAUAAUAUCACAAAGUAUUCAUGCAUUUAUUCACUGAAACACUCGAGAUUUAUGAACCCUAAUCACCAAGAAAAGGAGUAUUCUCACGCAAAGAAAAGAGAGAACAGAGAGACGAGCGACUGACUCCAAAAACCCUCAAAAGUGAGCUGAAAAGGCAUGUUUGGUAUACUUAGAGAUGGAAUGAUCUAGAAGCUCAUCCAAGGGCCAUUACAUAGCCACGUGUUUCAAUCCGGUCAAUUCCAUUUAUUUCCAAAAGUGUUAAUCCAAAAACACGACUUCAUCACAAUAUUUGGAAGCACACUUUUAUAAGUGAUGAGAAGACGGUUCGAAUCUCAACAAUCUCCACCUUGCUUCCAAAUUCUUGGCCAUAGUGCAGACAGGAGCUUCACCAGCAGUUUAUAAUUUCAUUUACUCAUAGUACCCACAUGAUCAAUAAGGAGAAUCAAUUGAUAAAACCUUUAAGCAGUUUUGAAACUUGUUCAAAGGUAUUACUUUUGUUCCCAUGUCAGAUGGAUUAUGCAAUAUAGCAAUUUUACCAAUCUUUAAUAAUCCUUUUGAUAUUACAUCUCUUAUAAAAUGAUAUUUAACAUCAAUAUGCUUGGUUCUAUCAUGGAACAUGAGAUUCUUACUCAAAUGAAUAGCACUUUGAUUGUCAGAAAAUAAGGUUGGAUUAGUGUCCACAAAACCAAGUUCAUAUAGUAGGCCAUUUAACCAAAUACCUUCUUUAACAGUAUCUGUGGCAGCAAUAUAUUCUGCCUCAGUGGAGGAUAAAGCAACUAUCUUUUGUAACUGUGAUUUCCAACUCACGACAGUACCACAGAAAGUAAAGUAAUAAGAUGAGGUGGAUCUCCUAAUAUCUUUAUCUCCAGCAAAGUCUGAGUCAGUAUAACCUUUUAGUGUUACCCUCUCUUUAUUUAUCUUAAACACUAGACAUAUGUCAGAUGAACCUUUUAAAUAUUUCAACAACCAUUUUAAUGCUUCCCAGUGACUUUCACAGGAUUGGCCAUAAAUCUGCCUAAAACACUAAUAUUAUAUGCCAAAUCAGUCUAGUACAUAUCAUUAGAUACAUUACUGAUGCUAUAACAAUAACAUAAGGAAUUCUAUUCAUUUUAGCCGAUUCUUCUUCAGUUUUAGGACAUGCAUCUGAGGUCAGUAUAAAAUGAUUUGCAAGGGGCAAUGUUACAUGUUUACACUCAAACAUAUUGAACUUUUUCAAGAUUUUAUUCACGUAAUCUUGUUGAUUUAAGAACAACAUUCCAUUUUCUUUAUUUCUAACAAUUUGCAUACCAAGUAUCUUCUUGGCAGAGUCAAGAUCUUUCAUGUCAAAUUUUGAUUUUAGCUUUUGCUUAAUGUCAUCAAUUUCAGAUUUACAAGCACUAGCAAUAAGCAUAUCAUCAACAUAAAGAAUCAAAUAAAGAGAAUUCUUACCACCACACCCUUUACAAUACAAACAUGUAUCAUAAUUGCUUCGAUUAAAACCAAGUUUUAACACAAAGGAAUCAAAAUAUUUGUACCAUUGUCUAGGGGCUUGUCUUAACCUAUACAAUGAUUUUUUCAACAGACAAAUAGUUUUAUUUGGAUCACCUUUUCAAAACCUAUUGGUUGUCUCAUAUAGAUCAAUUCAUCCAAUUCUCCAUAUAGAAAAGCCUUUUACAUCUAAUUAUCUAAUUCCCAUUCAAAUUGAGCAACCAAAGCCAGAAUGCAUCUUAUAGUGGUAUACUUAACUACAGGGAAAAAAAUCUCAUCAUAGUCAAUCCCUUCUCUUUGGAUGAACCCUUUUGCAACAAGCCUAGCUUUAUAUCUAAUAUUAUUGUUGCCCCCUUCCCUUUCUUUUAUUUUAUAUAUCCACUUGCAAUCUAUCAAUUUUUGAUCCUUAGGUUUGUCAACCAAUUCCCAUGUUUUAUUUUUAUGCAAUGAGGCCAUCUCCUCUUCCAUAGCAGCUAACCAAAUUUUUUGAAUCCUUAGUUUUUAUGGCAUCAUUAUAUGAACAAGGUUCAGAUUCAAUUUCAUAGUGAUAGGAGAACAAUGAGACAAAUUCAUCAGUAUUAUACCUAGCAGGAGGUCUAAUUUGUCUUCUUUCCCUAUCUCUAGUUAGCUGGUAUUCAUCAGAUGGUAAUACAGGGUCAUCAUUGGGUUCAGAUUCUGCCAGUUCAACAUCAGUACCAUUCAAGUCUGCAUCAGUAUUUUCAGUUUCUAAAGGGGCAGUAUUAAUGUUGUCAAGCUUGGUAGGCUCCACCUCAAUUUGGAAAUCAUUAUCAGUUAAAUUUUCUUUCUUUCCCUCUAAACAUGGCAUACAAGACUCGUUAAAUAUUACAUCUCUCCUUAUAAUAACCCUAUAACCUUUUUUCCCAUAAACCCAUAGCCUAUAUCCUUUAACAUUUUCAGCAUAACCCAAAAACACACAUUUAAGGGAUCUAGGUUCUAGUUUCCCUAUGUUUUAAUGAGCAUAUGCAGUACAACCAAAUGUUUUCAAGUAGGAGUAUAUCACAGGCUUUUGUGUCCACACAAAUUCUGGCACAUCAAAAUUUAAAGCACUUGUAGGACUUCUAUUAAUCAAAUAUGCAACAAUUUUAACAGCUUCACCCCAAAAUAAUUUGGGAAAGCCAGAACUCAAAAGCAUGCAGCUAACUUUAUUCUGCAAAGUCCUAUUCAUUCUUUCUGCAAUGCCAUUUUGUUGGGGUGUAUAGGUCACAGUUCUAUAUCUUAAAAUGCCAUGCAGUUUGCAAAACUCAUUAAACUCAUAAUUGCAAAAUUCUAUACCAUUAUCAGUUCUCAAUGUUCUGAUUUUCAGAUCAGUUUGAUUUUCAAUUUGGGUUUUCCAAUCUUUAAAUGUGAAAAAAGUUUCAUCUUUAGUUUUCAGAAGAAAUACCCAAAAUUUUCUUGAGAAAUCAUCAAUAAUAAGCAAAUAAUACUUGUAACCAGACAAUGUAGAGGUGGAUCCAGGACCCCAUAAAUCAGGAUGUAAGUAUUCUAGAAUUUGCUUUGAUUUAUGAGUACCAGUGGGAAAAGGUAACUUAACUUGCUUUCCAAUCAAACAUUGUUCACAUUUAGUCAAAUUACCAAUAUUUGAUUUUCCAAAAAUACCUUUAUUUUGCCAAGCCUUUAAGCCUUUUUCACCAAUGUGACCAAGUCUAUAGUGCCAUAAUUUUGCAAGAUUAAAAUUGUCAUCUAACGCUACUGCUGAAAGGCCCAACAUAGGUUUUGCAUUUAGAAAAUAUAAGCCAUGUCUCUUUGGGAUAGAAGUGAUCAAAUCACUGCCCCUAAACAUUUUUAUGUGUCCUUGACUCAAUUUUAUGUCAAACUCCAUGUCAUCAAACAUUCCUAGAGAUACUAGGUUUCUUUCUAAUUCUGGAACAAAUCUGGCACGUUUCAGUAACAAAAUUCUACCAUUUUCCAAAAGUAAUUUUAUUGUUCCAAUACCUUUCACUUUUCCUUAGCCUUGGUUUUGUAUUUCAUUUUGUCAUUAUUUCUUUUCUUAGGGUCAUUUGAAAACUUUGAAUGAAAAUUAGAUUUACCAAUAUUUUUGACUUUUAACAAAAGAUUUUCUCCACUUUGAUGGUUGAUAGAAUCUGCUUUUAAUUCAAGAACCCUAUUUCUCAAGGCAUUUAUAAUGAUAUCUGUAGUAAGACUAUCUCUUCCAUAUUCCACGGCAUUCUUUAAGUCUCUAUGCCUAUUACUAAUGAAGUUUAACAAGACCACUGCCAACUGAUCUUCUGAUAAUUUCUCAUCACAGUUGGCAAGGUCCUGGGUCAGUUUAGUAAAUCUAUCCAAGUUCUCAUCUAAAUCAACUGAAGGGUCCAUUUUGAAGGAAAAGAAUUGUUUUAGCAAAAAACAUUUGUUUGGAACAGUUUUCGGCUCAUAUUGGGCUUUCAAUUUAGUCCACAAUUCUUCAGCAGUUUUAGUUUCGCCUAUAGUCCUGAUCACAUUGUCUGAAAGGUACAGAAAAAUUGUACUCCAUGCUAUUUCUUCUAACUCAAUUCUUUUACCAGCAGACAUUUCAGCAGGCUAAGAAUUAUCUAAAGCUUUAGCACAUUUCAUUUGCAUCAAGAUAGCCCUCAUUUUUUGACUCCACAUAUUAAAGUCCCUCCUUCCAUCAUACAUAUUCAUUUCAAACUUAGCAGUAGCCAUAACAGAAUGUCAGGAUAAUGUACAAAGCACAAGUUUGAAUUUCAAGAAUACACAAAGGGUCACACAGAACAUGACUACUUACAGAUCACAGAUUAGUGUUAAUCAAUAUUGUACUUAGUAAGAUAAUCUCAAAACAAUGAUCACUCGAUUCACAGUAAAGAAGCAGGAACAGAAAAUAGAGAUUGCUAUCCUAUGUAUCUCAACUGAAUUUCUCCAGCAAGACCUUCCAAUUGUACUCCUCCACCGUGUUAUUAUCUCAAAUUCUCAAGACUUCUUGGAGUCUUUGGACAAAGACCAGUCACGGGAGGGUUUUACAAUACAAGGUAAAUCAAGGAAAAAUAUUCAGGAAAUACAACAGGUAAAAUUACCAGACACGAAGUAUAGGAAAGAUCUCACCAAAAGAAUUUUAAGAACUCAAAUUCCUUCUGCUCGAGUUAACACAGUUGAGGCAGCAUUCGAAUGCACAGUUUCCUCGAGGAUCAGGUAUCAUUCAAAAGGCCAUGUCUCUGAUACAACUAAAAGAACGAGAAAACUUCAUGAUUAACUACAGUUUUAUGAUCAAGCCAUUCAAUAACAGAAAUAAAUGCAGAAAAUAAAAGAAUCAACAUGAGGAUUUUUUCGACUGUAGCCCCAUAGGUUUGGCGACCACUUUCUAACGCCUAAUCCCCUGUUGAGCAUCCAUUAUAAAUGGAUAAAGUUCAGUUGCACUAAUAGCCCAAAACCGGUAGCAAGUAUACAAGAAUAUUCCAGAAAUAUUAUAAAGAACUAAACGACGAAGACUUAUCAUUGCAAGAGCUACACGACAGACCAAUAUUCCACAAAGGAAUCGAACAGAUCACAAAGAUCUUUCAAAGGACUAGAACUGCACACGAUGAAUCACACAGAUUCAUCCAAAUACCACACGGAGUAGCACACUAUUAUAAUAUCACAAAGUAUUUACGCAUUAAUUUACUGAAACACUCAAGAUUUAUGAACCCUAAUCACUAAGAAAAGGAGUAUUCUCACGCAAAGAAGAGAGAGAAUAAAGAGACGAACGGCUGACUCCAAAAAUCCUCAAAAGUGAGCUGAAAAGGCAUGUUAGGGAUACUUAGAGAUGGAACGAUCUAGAAGCUCAUCCAAGGGUCAUUACAUAGCCAUGUGUUUCAAUCCGGUCAAUUCCAUUUAUUUCCAAAAGUGUUAAUCCAAAAACACGACUUCAUCACAAUAUUUGGAAGCACACUUUUAUAAGUGAUGAGAACACGGUUCGAAUCUCAACACUUAUUAUCAACUACUUGUCAUAGAAGUGGAUAAUGCAGUCAUAUUGUUCGAAGGAGAAAGUUAUACUCCAGAAACAACAAACACAGAAGAAAAGCCUUUUAACCAAGAAAAUUCAAAUGAAUACAAUCGUCAAUCUCUUUCAGUCACCGAGCUCAAAUCAAAGGGCAUCCACUUCAAACCUAGUUCAUACUGUUUGAAGAAUAUUAAGUUCAAAUCCUACACAUUUUAUGGGCAACUUCAACUCCCAAUUUUCUAUUUUCAUGCUAAUUCCAAUCUAAGAUUUAUGCAAAUGAUUGAACAUGAAAUGACUCGAGAAAAAAUGACUCGAGAAAACGAGGAUAAAUUUACUGUAUUAUGUUAUGUUAAUUUCAUGAAAUCGCUCAUUGUUAAAUCUGAAGAUGUUAAGGAACUACGAGAAAGGGAGAUACUCUUCAGCGACCUCGACAGUGAUGAACAGAUUGUGGAAGUAAUCGAAGGGAUUGAUACUCGCAGACUUGGAACUGACUUUAUUUUUGAUGGGGUGAAGAAGAAAAUUGAGAAGCACUGCAGCAGCAAGGCAAAAACAUGGUUUUCCGAACUAAUUCACCCUCAUUUCCGUGGUCCGUGGAAUCUUAUUGCCUUACUCUCUGUGACUUUUCUUCUUUGCUUAACUUUUCUUCUGACCCAUUACACAAUGAAUCUUUCCAAGUAAAGGUGUGUGACAAAUUCCGUUCUUCAAGUUUUAGUUGAGAUGUGUUUCGAAU